rnacentral:lncRNA from 1 species
AAAGAUUUGGCUGUGGAAUGCAAUGCUUGCAAGCUACCAAUCUUGGGUCCAGGUUAUACAUGUCUUGAUUGUUUCAAUAUCAAAAUUCAUGAAUCUUGUCUUGCACUUAUGCGGGAGAUGCAGCUCAACUUUCAUCCAUUACACCUCCUUCAUCCACAAAUUGGCGAUUGGGAAAAUUGUUUUGCCUGUAGAUUUAAAAUCAUUGAAAGUAUCGAUUAUAGUUGUCGACAGUGUGAUUUUCACCUUCAUCUUCAUUGUGCUAAUUCCCUGAAGCUGGCCUUAAAAAUUAAGUCUCACGUGCAUAAUCUCUAUUAUUUUGGACCAGAUUAUGAGAAAUCCUACCAAUUAUGUAACAAAUGCAAAAGUUACAUUGGUAAGGAACCUUUCUAUUAUUGCGUGGAGUGCAAUAUGAAUUUGCACUUAAAAUGUGUUCCCAUACCAUGUUCAGUUAAAUCCAAAUGUCACAUGCAUCGUUUGACUCUUAAAGAUCAUUUUGUGGAAGAUGAUUCUGGAGAAUACUAUUGUGACAUUUGCGAAGAAGAAAGGAACUCAAAAAAUCAUUGCUAUUAUUGUGAAGAGUGUGCUGGACAAUUUGUUGCUCAUAUCGAGUGCGCGCUUCUUACAGUAAGUUUAUCACUAUCAUUUUCUCUGUAGAAGUUUUUUAUACCAUAUUUUGAAUUUUUAAAGGAAAAUAAAAAUCUAAGUUACACAUCACAUGAUCGUAUCCACCACUUCUUUGAUUGAUUGGACUUUAUUAAUGGUUAAAGUAACUCAUAAGUUCAUAUAUUAUAGAUUUUUCAUUAAUUUAAACUUUUUACCCAAAAGUGGUUAAUUUAGUCUUUAUACUUUCAGAUUUUAUGUAAUGGACUAAGUUUGCUUAGCUUUAUCUAAAGUAACCAUUAGUGGUACUAGUGUUACAUUGACAUGUAAGAUAAAAAAAAGGAAAUUGGCCAUGUGGUAUUUUUUUCUUUCCUUUUUUUUCUUCACUUAUUUGUUCAAAACUACAUUGUUUUAGAGUAUUAUUUAAAAGCACCUUUAGUUUUUAUUUUUCAUUUUCAUUCUUUCCUUCUCUCUAGCUCUUUUCUCUCCCUUUGAAUGCAAAUUCUGGCUGUCAAUCACUAGUGGUAUGAAAAUUUAAUAAAAAAAUAAAAAAUUCAUAUUUUUUUGCCUUAUUUCCCAUAAUAAAAAUAGCUUUUUCAAAAUCUAUUUUGAUUUUCCUAGAUUUAAAAUCAUAAACUUGUAAAAAAUAAACUUGUUUCUUUCCACUGCUAUGUUCUUGACUUGAUGUUAAUGAUCAAUGAUUGUGUUUUUAUGUUGUAGGAUUUUGAAUUUACAGAUGAAAAUUUUCAUGAAUUUUUCAACUUGAAAGAUGUUGACUCACCUAUUGAGAGUUCCUCUACGGAUGAGUUGCUUUCCCAACCCCAUGCUGAAGUUUACUUGAACCAAAACAGAAUGGUAGUUAAGUCUUAUUUAAGUUCAUUUUAAAGAUUUCAUCUUUUAUGCGAAAAUGAAUUUUAUUUUAAGAAUAGUUAAAUGAAAGAAAAGUUUCAAAAUUUUGUGGGUGCCAUUGUUGUUGCAGAAGUACUGGGUGGAUAAGAAAUUAAACAAAUACUGCUUCAUGUUGUUUGCAAGAGAUCUUUCAAUCACUUGGGCAGAAAACCACCGUUACUGGCGUUGGUCAUACCAAAGAGAAACAAACAGGUUAGCAUAGAUUUAUUAUCCAUUUAGAAUCUUUACUUCAUAGAUCUAGCUUGACAACUUUUCUAAUCCACAAACUUUUGAUUUUGCAGCGAUGUGUUGAUUGAUGUUGCCGAACUUCUAGAUGUGUGUUGGCUAGAAAUGAAUGUGAAAUUCAACGUAAAAAAGCUCUCACCGAAAACAUUGUAUGGACUUGUGUUCGUGCUUAUGUUGACAAAAGAAGCACGUGGAUGGGAAACUCCAGUGAACUUCGGAUUCACUCUUCCAAAUGGGUACAAGGUUGAACGCAAGGAAACUUUGAAGUCCAAGCCGAGAGGAGUAUGGAUAGAAAUCCCCGUUGGAGAAUUUACAACUUCAUCUGAAAUUGUUGGAGAAUUUGAUAUUUACUGUCACGAAUAUGCUACAGGGAAUUGGAAGAGAGGACUUAUUGUUAAAGGAGUUACUAUUCUGCCAAAGAAUUAAACAACAAAUUAGUAUUUUCUCACAAUAAAUCUGAAAGUACUGUAGUUUUUCUAUUUGUUCAUAAUCUUGCAAAUUCGAAAAUGACAUGAACCUAAAAGGAACAAACUCAUCCAAUUAUCACUUCAACAACCAGUUCUUUGGUCCUCAUUUUAAUGUAUAGGUUCCAUGCUAAAUGCAACAAACAAGGCCAUUGAUUUUUUUGGUAUUUUUUAUAAGAUUUUAUGACCACUAGUGGCUAGUGGUUGGCUGUUGAAAUCUGGGUUUGGGGAUCAAAGUCUAAAACAGAAUGAUUAGAUAGAGAGCAAGAGAGAGAAGGAAAGAAGGAAAAAUGAAAAAAGAGAAAAAUAAAUGUCCUUUAAAUUGUAGGUUUACAAUGAUUGGUUUUGGACAAAAGAGAGAAAAAAGAAAAAGAUAAGCCAUGUGACCAAUUUCUUCUUUUAGUCUAACAUGUCAACAUUAGCAUUUUUUUUUAUAUCAAUUUAACUUUAGUAUCACUAAUAGUUAAUUUGGAUGGAGUUAGACAAAGAGACUCAAUGGUACAAAUUCUGGGUAUACAAGGACUAAAUUAAUCAGUUUUGGAUAAAUGGACUAAAUUGACAAAAAAAAAUCUUUAAUAUAGGGAUCUAUGAGGUACUUUGACCAUUAAUAAAUUUCAAUCAAUCAAAGAGGUGAUGGCUAUGAUCAUGUAAUGUGUAUGUGUAAUUGAGAUUUUUAUUUUCCUUCAAAAAAAUUCAAUAAUGUGGUAUAAAAGAAAUCUAUAAAGAGAAAAAAUAAUUGUUGUCUCCUCAGCAUUUUUUGAAACCUUUUCAGCACUUUGAAGCUUUGUCCAUUAAUUAAUCAGCUUGUUUUAGGCAUGUUCAUAUAGUAACACAAGUCUUUACGUUGUAUAGAACCUUUUGUUCCUUUUUGAACUCCUAUAAUCUUGCGCAAGUUGUGUAUAUAGGGAGAUACAUGCCUAAGCUGCAGGGAUGGUUUUUGUUCACCUGCUUUUUUGUAUAUUGAUUUUGCUUAAGGUAUAAAGAUAUAGAAUUUUAAAAAAAAGAUACAAAAUUGUGGGAUUAGCAAAUUGAUAGCCACAUUUGGAAUAAAAAAGUAGCAAUUAAAAGAAGCAUUUUAUCUUUAAUGAUGAGUAAGCUGUCUUUAGCUUUUUUCUUUUUUAUAUUCUCUCAAUAAUUUCCUACUUUAAAUAGAGAAAAAAAACCACCGUUGACAGGGCAUGAAACACAUGCCACUUUCUUGUUUUUGGUAUAAAGGCUUGAGGGAAUCUUUGUUUAGGUUUUAUAUUUAAAUACACUCUCUCAUUAAGAGGCUAGUAGUUGAUCAUCUUUCUCUUCAUCUACCUAAAUUUCUUUCUUUGUUUGUUUCAGAAAACAAGAUAGAGAUUGUUCUGCUAUGAGGAUAUUCUGUACUUGUUUUUGACAGAAAUUUAGUACCUCCUUAAGUCCUCAACCGUCUUGGUGUUGCAAAAAGGGGGUUGUAGCUAGAAAUUAACAACAAAAAAUAUGCAAGCAAGGCUGUUGAUGUGAAUGAUUUAGCUUAGUUUGGGUUAUACAAGGCACAACAAUUCUUUGAACGUCAAAUACACUUUCCUAUAUUUAAGCUUUUUCUUCAUAAUGUGUAGGAUUGCAGGGCAUUUUAUUCAACUAUAUUUUGGUUAGAUUGUAGGGAAAAAGACAUAAAGGAGAGAAACAUUUUUAGAUAAUGAUUCAAAAUUUAAUUUCAUUAAUAAGUUAAAAAAUUAUAGCAAAUUGUCAAAAAGGUUCAAAAAAAAUUUUUCUGCUCCUUUUAUUCUCUCUUAGCCAGAAGCGAUGUGCAUUCUCGAACUAGUGAGUUGCAAAUAAGUGGCUGCUUUCCUGCAUAUCUUUGAGUUGAAUGACCAUAUACUUAUUUAUUUCGUAUAUUUCGAUAAAUUUAUGUUAAUAUUCAAGUUUUUAAUAUUUAAAUGAAUUUAUAUUUGAUGCAUUAACAAUGUAUAUAAGAUAUAUGUCAGUAUAUCAAAUAUGAAUCCUAUUUAAAUAGAUUAAGAGUACAUAGUUAAGAAUUACAGGGAGUUUAAUUUGAGAUAGUAGCUUUUUGUAUGAAAGAACAAAAAUAAGAUUUUAUUACUUUUUUUAUUUGUUUUUGUUAAUUUUAUUGUGUCAGCUUGAUUUUAUGUCAAUAGACCUAUUAAUUCAUCAUGGUUAGUAAUCAACUGCUUCAAUAACGAUGCUUCCCAAGUUUAAAAGGGAAAAUAGGAGAUUCCAAACUUAAAACCUUCAUGUCCUUGAUGCUUUUCUUAUUUCUCUGUCCCUUUUUAUUUGUUGUUUUAGUUACAAAAUUGUGGAAGUAGAAUCUUGAUUGUUGCAUUUUCAAUAAAAAGUACCAAUUUACAGAAGCAUUUUAUCUUUAAUGAUGAGUAAGUUUUCUUUGGCCUUUUUCCUUUUUUUGAAAGACAAAGAGAAUAGUAUUUCAUAAAAAAAGGUACAUCUUAAUUAAAUUAUUUGAAGGCAAGAAAUUAAGAUUAGCAUCAGUAUUCACUUCCAAAUUCUCACAAUCAUUUCUUUUUUUAAAUAAAAAAAAAUAAUGUUGUUUUUAUCACCCACUCAAUUAAUUAAUCUGAAAUUGUCGUUGUAUUAGUAAAAUGAAUCGUAAUCACAAUAUAUGCGCGAUGUGUUUUCAUUGGGCAAGUAAUUGUUAUAUAACUAAAGCAAAAAUAAAGUAAUUGCUAUAUAGCAUUAUUUUACUUAGAGGGAAAUAUUUAAUUAAAGAAAAAAAAAGUAAUUCCAAACUUAGAACCUUUAUCCUUUUAAAAACCAAUGAAUAGAGUAAUGUUGAUUCUCUAUAAAGUGAUUUGAUUUCAAAAUGCCAAAGGUCCUUGAUGCUUUUCUUCUUUUUUAAACAAAACACUCCCCUUGCUAAACUAAAGUGAGAAUCAAUUAAGUUUGGUACAACUUAUAGAUACAUUUAUGCCACUAGUAAUACUUUGUUUCAGAAUUAUCUUUUCUUUUUAAAAACAAUAAAGAUGAAUUAUAUAUUAAAAAAGAGUAUUCCUUUACAACUUAACAAAAAAGACCCACGACUACAUCAAAGGCAAGCAAUGGGACUUAAAAAUUUGGGUAGACCAGUACUUGCCUAAGGUCCCGCCAACUAGCAUUAAAAAGAAAAUAUUACAAAAGGUAAGAAAACUCACUCUAUACAUAACAAAAGGACCUCCGAAAAAGUGUUCAAUCAAUAUCCCUUAAAAAAAAGGCAGUAUAAACGAAGAAACAUCAGUGGUUCCAUAAAGGUAGCAGCAAGCAUUAUGAUGCACAACAAAAGUCAAUAAAGCAGGGGACAGAAUACCCCACACUAGGUUAAUGUAUAUUCUUCUCCGAGGUUGGCAGAGAGUCAUUGAUCCAAAACAAAUCUGUUGAUCUUGAGACACCUUCUUUGGCUAGGGUGUCAGCUUCUUCAUUAGCAGACCGAAAAAUGUUUUUAAUCACCAACCCAACGUCCUUGGUCAACUUCUUCCACAUACGUUGUCCAAUAAAAAUCACUCAAGUGUCUCGCAUUGCUUGAAAAGGACAAAAAGACUGCCACGUGCUACCUUAUUGGCAAUUGCUACUAGCGUUCUCCACCGCCCGCUUGGUGUCGCCUGUACAGCCAGAACCACAACCACCACCAUUUGCAAUUCUCCUGAGUCUGAAUUCUUAUCACAUUACUACUGUUGGAAAAGUGUUUGACAAACAACUUUCAGCUAGUAAGUUAGACUCACUAUAACCUUUAUUAUCAAAAAUUUUAUACGCAUCGCUUUUGGAUUACAAAGCAUUACAAGGACGAAUUAUAAAGCAUUUUAAUUCUCAUGGUUUUUUUUUUUUUUUUAAAGAGUGAUUUUGGGUUCAACUUUAAGAAAUUGUCUGCCACUUGUUCAUUGUUACAAAACAGGGUCGGAAGAGAAGCAGCUUCAACAUCAUCCACUUGUUCAGUCAACCAAUAAUUAACUGCUGUUUUCAUUAACCAAUUUACAUUUGAGAAACAACAAAAACAAUGGCAAAAGCACUUCUUUCCAUGAUCCUGGAGCAGCAGUUGGGUGGUUCGUUCAUUCCUCAAGAGAUAAAGCAUCAUGUCGGAUUGGCUGUAGGUCUUGAAGAAGAAAUCCAAAAACUCACCAGCAACUUUGACGCCAUUCAAGCUGUGCUUGAAGAUGCGAAAGGAUAAACCAAACAGGGCUUGCCUAACCCAAGGCGCGGAGGAUAAGGCAUACCGAUGUGGAUGCGGCCCAUAUCCCAAGCUGUUUCCCCACAGACCCUCCAACAGUGUCCCAUAACUCUAGUCCUACAUCCACCACGGAAGAAUUACAAGACUCCCAAGGAGCGGAGGACGGCAAUGGAGGCGGCUGGCUCCGAUUCCGAUGGCAGAGAAUUCAAGAACCCACAGGAAAUGUGGAGGGAGCAAAUUGGAGAUGCAGAUGCAGGAGAUAACCAUAAGAAGACUCAGUGGUACCGUGAAGGCGUUGCCUAUUGGGAAGUAAGUCUUUCUUAACUCUGGUUCUUACAUUUGUAUGUGGGUACCAUUACCGAACUCAUAAUAUAGUUAUUGGUUUCUUUGGUUGUGCUAAGAGAAGGGUGUGGAGGCAUCGGUAGAUGGGGUGUUGGGUGGAUUUGGGCAAGUAAAUGAGGCAGAUGUCAAGGGUAGUGAGGUUUUUCUCAAUACCCUUUUGCAUGAAAGAUUCUCGAUGGCGGUGGAAGAAAUCACCAUCUUGUUGCUCUUGGUACUUCUCUGUCUCUCUCUGUGUGCUCAACUUUAUAUUGUUUUUAUGAAGUUAUAUACCCAUAUAUGUUCUGUUGAGGUAGUUUGGUUUAUGUUAUUAUUAUUUUUUUUUUUUACACUAAAAAUCAACCUUAGGUUAUUAUGCGCCAUUAAAUGUGGAAGUGCAAAGUUGGUGAUGGGAUCCUACUUCAUUAGAAUGUAGCAUUGGUGGAAAACCUAAUUAACUAUAAAUUAAACAAAAAACAUAGUGGUGACAGCAGAAAGGGAUGUUGUGAUAGAUGAAAUUUUGAGUUAAAUAUCCGCAAUUAGUGCUUGAAACCGGAAACCAAGAUAACUUGAUAACACAACCAUGAAGAGUUUAUGUCCCAUAAUCCCACCCCAUAAAAGAAAAUAAAUAAAUAAAGAAGAGGAAAGCAUGGAAAUUUGCAUGAAUAUGCAUUUUCUGAAUUAAUUUGCAUGAUAUCUUCACCAAAAAUCAGUCUUAGUAGUGCAAGAAUUAUGUCAUGCAUUAGAGGUGUUGCUUUGAUUUAGAAUGCCAGCGUUAUAGGUGUUGCUCUUAUUUAGAAUGCCAUAAUGCAAUUGAGAAUUGGGUUUACUACAUGCUAUUUUGCUUAAUAAAAAACCAUCUUUAAGCAAUAUUCUUUUUUAAAUUUGGGAAGAAGCUUGCUGGGAGUUCUCUCUGUCUCUUAAGGGUUGUGUGCUUGUGGGGGGUGGGGGAUGGGGCACCCCUGGACCCAAUUUGAGGCCGUUGUGAGUGCUCAGAAUAAAGGAAAGAAAUUUCUGUGUUUAAGAUUGAAAAAUUACUUUCACAUUUCGUCAGCAGCGAAGAUGCUCUAUCUUGCUAAUAUUCUGGAACUUGUUAUCCUUUGAAUGGCAAAAAUUAGAUAUGUCUUCAGUAUGUUUUAUUACUAGGAGAUUGAUUCUUCGACAUGAGUAGGAUCUAUAAUUGCCUAUAUAUGAAGUUGGUCUUAAUACUUGUGAGUUGGUGGACUAUACUGGGGCAACUGACUGAAAUCUUGCGAAGGGGAAUUGUAGGGGAAAUUAUUUAGGAAACUAAGCAGUUGGAGUUUGGCUUUAAUAUAAAGAUAUUUAGAUAACUAAGCAGUAAUGGUUUGGCUUUAAUAUGAAGAUAAUUAAGUGAUUUCCACAAGUUUUAUUUUAAGUAAUAUGAUAUAAGAUGCACUUAAGCACUUGGCUCUAUGAUAGGUGCAUGUAUCCCCUGCUAAAAGAGCUGGGUUUAAAUUACCAUCACCAAAUAAAAUAAAAUAAAACAUGAUAAUUGAUGGUUGUGCCCUCAAACUUUUGCCUUCAUGUGGUUUAUGUUGGUGGAAUCAAAACAAACUCUUUUGAUGAUCUCAGUGCAGAUGAAUCUGGUACAUUUUAGGGCCUAGCAUACUAAAUUAAACUACGUCAUAAUUCUCAAAACACUGCAUUGCUGACCUUUAUUUUAAGUCCAUACAUUUAAGCAGUAGUAAUACCUGCAAAUGGUUCUAAAGCAUACUUGAAAUAUUGCUGGAGUACUGAUCUGUUUGGUAUUUCAUUUUUCUUGAUGUUUUUAAUUCUAAUUGAAAAUCAUAAAUCUAGUUGACAUUCUGAGCUUUUAGUUUCUAUGUUAAUUUAACAUACUGCAGAUUGUGGUUCUAGCAUAGGGAGAAUAACCAAUAAUCUGUUUGGUCAUUUUUCUCUUUCUAUUAGUUUAUUUUCAAUAUUCCUGACAUUUACCAUCUUUUCAAUUAAUUGAUAACAUGGUUCAUAGUGCAUAAUUUUUACUAGCUAAUGAAUUUCUCUGAUGUUUUUGAAUUGAAAGCAAAAUUGGGCGGUGCCUUUUAAAAAAUUCAAGUAGGACAUGAGGAGGGUAUACGUUAAUUUCGAGGUACCUGAACCCUAAGCUUAUAAAAAAUCAAAUACCCAAACCUUAUUAAUUACUUGAAUAAUUUUAAAAAUUACUACUUUAACCUUAACCCUAAUACAUUUUCACUGUUCUAUAAUUAUCCUAAUCUGUUAGAAAACCCCAAUUAGAUAAAAAAAUUAUUAAAAUGUUCUUCAUGAGUACCCAAUUACUCGAACCCAAACCCAUAUCCAUAUACAAUAAUAUUUAUCCUACAUAUUUCAUAUAAUUAACUACUAAUUAAAUUAAUAAAAACACAAAUAAUAAAAUUUAAAUUUAAAUAAUAAAAAAUUAUAAAGUGUGUUUAUAAAUGAACAUAAUAUAUGAUAUAAAUCAAUAUUAUUUUAUUAUUCAGUAAUUAUUAACUUAUAUAAUAGUAAUUAUAUUCUUUAUAAAUAAACAUAAUAUAUAAUAUAAAGUGUAUGUAUUAAAAGACAUUAAAAGUUAUAUACUCUAAAGUGUGUAUAUAUAUAUAUUAUAAUUAAUAAUUUUAUAAGUUAUAAUUUUUGUAAUGUUAACACAAAAUAAAAUGUAAAUAUAUUUAUAUUUAAAGUANNNNNNNNNNNNNNNNNNNNNNNNNNNNNNNNNNNNNNNNNNNNNNNNNNNNNNNNNNNNNNNNNNNNNNNNNNNNNNNNNNNNNNNNNNNNNNNNNNNNNNNNNNNNNNNNNNNNNNNNNNNNNNNNNNNNNNNNNNNNNNNNNNNNNNNNNNNNNNNNNNNNNNNNNNNNNNNNNNNNNNNNNNNNNNNNNNNNNNNNNNNNNNNNNNNNNNNNNNNNNNNNNNNNNNNNNNNNNNNNNNNNNNNNNNNNNNNNAAACAUAUCUCAGAAGUCAGAAAAACAUCACAGCCCCUUCCUUUUCAGCAUCAAAUAGAAAACAGCCCUGCCCCCUCAUCCAAUAAGUACCCAUUCUGUGCAACUCUGGAAGAAGAGCUCAAAUCAUGUGCUCUCAUUCUGCUUUCGUACUCCUGAAAAUACUCACAUGUACAGCAUAUAUUUGUUAAAUCUACAUUGCAUGGUAUAUGUUGUUGUCACCAGUAGAACAGGGAAGAGGCCAUGAAUCCUGCGGAUAAUUGUAUGGAACGUGCAGCGAAGAGGCCAUGGAACAUUAGUCAAUAUUGCAAUUUUGUAGCGUUUUUUCUGAGAUAACCACUCCACAGACUAGGCUCCAACUCAACAAAAGAAAAAAAAUUGCGGAGUCAUAGAUCUCCCAUGUUGGAAUUUUGAUUAGUGAUUUUCUCUUAACCAAUUCAAAACAUGUUAAUUUCUAUAUUUGUUGACCACAUGAGGCUAGGAAAACUUUCACCAAAACGUUCAAGGAAAAAACAGACCAGAAAUGGAAGUUUACCUACUUGAUUGUUCAGAGUGACUCACCUUCCCCAUCAGAAUCAAUUCUCCACCACCAUGAAUUGUCUCUUCCUCCUUCAGACUUUCACUGAUUUCGCAGUUUGCCCCCCUGCUAAGCUGCUGCACUUCGCACUGCUUCCUUGAUUGGGUUGACUAUCGCCAUGCGGAUUAUUAUUUGGACCCUUCUUUUUAAUGGGCUAAAACAUACCAGCUUAAUUCACAUCGGCCAAACCCAACUACAGGAGAGUGGCUGGUGGAUCUCUCCAUGGACCAAGUUAUCAGCAGAAGCCUGCAGGCCUGAUAGGACAGGCGGCCUGGAUAUGAUUUUCUAGGCUCAGGUUCUACAAGGUUUGACCCAAGAAUACUGUUAUUUUUAUUAAUAAAUACUUUAUUUUAUUAUAUUUUAAUUCUAAAAUAUAUUUUCAAAUACUAAUGUAAAAUUAUUUAAUAUAUAUAAUAAUAAAAUAUAUAUAAACGAGUAUUGGAAUUGGGUUUGGGACGGGUACCCACGUAACCUGAAUAUUAACAUAAUCAGGUUCAGGUAGCGGGUACUCAAGAGAUAGUACCUGAAUCCGAUAUGGGUAGUGAAAUCACUAUUCGAACCCGUCUUAAACCCGAUUAUAGAGUAUCAUAGUAUGAGUUGGAGCUAUGAUCUUAAUAAAGCUGCAUAGUACUUUGUGAUAGCUAUGCUUUCUGACCCCUCUUCCGUUUACCAUUCUCCAGGUUGAUCUACUUGAGCCAGUUUCACAUUUCUUAGAUGCUGCCCGUCAAAGUUUGUCUCAGGAAUAUUUUGUAGCCUCUGAUGCGCACAAAGCAAGUAAUUUCUACUGUGUCCCCCUUCAGGUAAUGUAGUUCAAGACUAUAUUCACACAUAGAUACAUGCUUCUUGAUGUGUUGAAGUAUUCAUAACUAUGGUUAAGUCUAUGUAAGCUAUGUAUUUCCAACUUUUCACUUUACCCUUUAUUGCGGAUGUAGCCAUGUAAUUGACACCUCAAGCAGGCAUGUUGUUUGAGUACAAUCCUGGGAAAAACUUACAAAAUUUAAUGUAAACAUGUUAAAUAUGGGUUUGCACCUGGAACUCGCAUUUGAAUCUGGGCAACAUAGUCUGUAUUCUGUAGGCGGCUUUAGUCAUGAAUCAUUAUAGGUAUAGCCUAGAAGAGUUAAUAUGACUGAUAUUAUGGGGAUGGGAUGGGUGGGAAGGAGAUUGGACAUGUGUAGCUUUAGCUUGCAAUGUGAAACUUAGAUGAUUAGACAACCUUUGGAUUCAAGUAAAUUUUUGCAAACAAUUAUUUACUCUUUUGUGUGUGUUGUGGGGGGGGAAGAGGGGAGCAGCAUAUUGGGUAGUGAAUGAGCUCUCUAAGUUGGUGACAUAUGUACUUGUCUUCUUCUGAUGCUUCUGGCUGCUAAAUUUUACUUUAUAAAACAGAAAUUUGACAACCAUAUUUUUUUGUCUUUUUCUUUUUCAGGAGUUCACCCCUGAUGCUGGAAGGUACAAUGUUAUUUGGAUUCAGUGGUGUAUCGGUCAUCUCACAGAUGAUGACUUUGUCUCAUUUUUUAAGAGAGCAAAGGUGAAUAAAUCUUCUUCUUGAGACAGAACUUACUUUUUAUUUGACAUGUUGUGCUGUGUGGAAGUGCAUGGAAAGAUCAAAAUUAUGUAUUGAAAUUUUCUUGCCUGCUGUCUACUAUACAUUCGAAUUGCCUUGUUCUGAUUUUUGAAUUAUGAACUGUCAGAUCAUUGCAAUGGUAUCUCAAAUUUUCCUUUUCCAAAUUUAUUGCUUCUAGCUUUCUCUCUUGUAACUUCUCUUAAACCUUCUUACAGCUAUAGGAAUUAAGGUUGUCUAGAGAACAUAACAUAGCAAACACCAGAAGGAUGAUAUAGUCAAACUCUUUUUUCUUUUUGUCCUUUCUUUUUUUAUUUUAAUUUUUUUUUUUGCAAUGUGUCGUGUUGUUCAUUCUAUUCUUCUUCCUGCUAGGUAAGUAGCGGAUUUGAUGGGUUGGUUUGGAGUGUUUGGGCCCAUCCCUAGCACCACAGAAACAAGGCUUGAUAAUGCUUUACAAUUCAUACAGCUAUUUUGCUAUCAUCCGUUUUCUCACCUUACAAAAGCUUGUGACCAAAUUUUGUUGUGCCUUGUGCAUUGAAAUAAGUUUUAAGAAAUGAUGGUAGUUUGACUUUUGUCCUUUAAGUUUGUAAAUGGUGGGAAAUAAAAUUAAAUCUAGAAAGUGCCAUAUUCAUUUCAUGGCACCUUGAGUCCCUACUCUCCUGCUUCCCUUGCUGCAACCUUUUUUUUUUUCCAGGUGCUGUUGAGCAUAACUUUUUGCUCUGCCUUCAAUGUAUUUUCAUCAAAAUUAAGCAAAACAUAUUAAUAAUAAAAAGCUCCAACAUGGAAAUUCUUGGGCAUGUGUAUGUGUAUGUAGUUUGGAGGCCUGAUCUCUAAGUUGUGUCCUGGAAAGACCCUUGUUGAAAUUUAUUAUUCUUGCAUAUAUGAUUUAAAAGAUUAUAAUUUGCACUUUAAUUUGAUACAGUAAUUAAUUUGUUGAUUCCAGGUAGGCCUUAAACCUGGUGGAUUCUUUGUCCUGAAAGAGAACAUUGCUAGAAACGGUAUUGUCUUUAUGACUCUUUGAUUUUUCUAAGCAUGUUUGUUUGCCCUCCCUCCCUCUCUCCCUCCCCUUUUUAAGAAGUGCUCAAGUUUUGUUUAAUGCAUUCCUCAAACUUUCUUAUGUUUUGGUAUUCUGUGGUAAAUUUUCAUAAAGUUGUGUUUUUCUUUUUUGAAAUGCCGCAUGUCAUCUCACGUAUGAGAAGGCAUAAAGUUGCUUUUUUGAGCUGAUAUUACUUUCUAACUUUGUCUUAUUAUGUAAUUAUCUGGCCCCUCUACAACUUUGAAGUAACAUCAUAGUUAAUAAUAAUUAAAAGAUAAAUGGAUAAAGGAAAUUUUAAGCUCCAUUUUCUCGUUCCAUUGCUUGAUACCAAGGGAAGCAGCAAGUUUUUGUUUUAUGCAUUCCUCAAACUUUCUUAUUUUUUGGUGUCCUGCUGUAAAAUUUUCAUAAAGUUGCUUUCUAGAGCUGAUAUUACUGUUUAAAUUUGUUUUAUUAUGUAUUCAUCUGCCCGCUACUGCUUUGACUUAUUCUAGUUAAUGUUUUAAAUGUUGAAUUAAGGAUAAACGGAUAAAGGAAUAUUUAAGCUCCAUUGUCUUGUUUCAUUGCAUGAUACCAAGGGAAACAGCAAAAAAGUGUUGAAACUUAUAAUUCGCAGGUUCAGGGAUGAGUCUCAUCUGCUCAAAUGGGUAUGGGGUAUAAUUUUACUAUGCUACCAAUUUGGGACACCUUUUGGUAACACUGUCUAUGUACAACUUUCUUCAGUGAAAAUUCAUGAAGGAAAGAUGACCUAGUGAUGUAGUGAGGAAGUAGAAACAAUAACAAGAAACCAAAACAGUGAACAAAACCAGAACAAAGGUUAAAAUUGAUGUAAAAUCAAAGUCGGAACAAGUUACAAGCCAUUAGGACCAAUUGUCGAGCAUCUUAAGGUUAAAUAAACAAGUCACUCCCAUCUGUAAUAGAUUGAUUCAAACCAGCUAGAUAACAAGAAGUCAACUGCUCAUUAGUCUCUUUGAAACCAACACUAGGGAAAGGUUGUUGAAACCUGAAGUGUACUCCUCAAUGGACAUACUAUUUUGCUUGAGUGAAUGAAAUAUCUCAUUCAACUCCAUUUAAUCAGCUGGCAGAAAUUUCCUCAUCUUCAUUUUCAUGUGUUCCCAAGUGUUGAUUUUUGGCUUGCCUUGAUGUGCUUGCCGCUCUUCAACGCUCUUCCACCAUUGAAGUGCAGUCCCUUCAACUUAAGCUUCACAAACAGCACCUUUCUUUGUUCUACCAUUGGUUUCUACUAAAAAUAAUUUUACAAACUCGCUUUCUGGUCUAAAUAAUCUUUUGCAUGCAUCUUUUUCCGGAAGUCAUCUACCUUAAUUCUAACUCCACCACCAUUUAAGUCUAGGCAUGUAACAAUCAGCCUUCCAAUCUACCACAAACAGCAUUAUUUGCUGCUCGAGCAUUAUGAAAAGGGUUUUCAGCCUCUCCAUAUUCAAUUUCAUCCUCAAGACCACCUUCCGGUAAACCGAAAGGGUCAGGAUUGCCUUGCGGAUUCUCCAUUCGGGCUCCCAUUGGUUCCUGUCACUUUAAAGCUUGCUCAGCCUGCAACAAAUCUUCAAUCAUACCCUUAAACUCAGCCGAUUCUGUUUGCUGGUCUUGAUUUCUUUUCCACGUCCACUAACAAGUCCUCUAACACGAUUAGCCAUGGUUUAUAAGCUAAAAUCCUAGUUCAACUUUAAGAUCUGUUCAUCUGAUACCUCUUUGAUGUAGCAUGGAAGUAGAAACAACAAAAACAAAAGAAAAACAAUGAAGAAAACCAGAACAAAGGCUAAAAUUGAUCUUAAGAUCAAAGUAGGAACAAGUUACAGCAGCUUUUAAUUGUAGCCCUUCGAUACAAACAAGCCCAUCUAAUCCUAGCCAUUCAAACUAAUUAAAAAUGAUCACAUGCUGAUCACGACACAUGACUAGAUAGAAAACAUAAUUACAAACUUUUAACUAAAGUAAAACAUAAUAAGAUAACCAAUUGGAGAUAAAUUUAAGAAUGCUCUUGCAUAACCUAGCCCAACAAUUAAACUUGCCUAAGGCUUGACUUAAACUAGGACUCAAGUCUCAUAAUUUGCUUGCAUUCAACUCACAAAAUGCUUGGAUUCAAUCAGUUUAUUGUUGAGUUAUUCUUGAGCUCAAGUGACCAAUCGAGUCUAGUUCAAGUGUUUAUAUUACUCAGUCAAGAUGGUUCAAGAGCGUAAUCAACUUUUAAUUUUUUAAUAUAUUUUAAUAUUCCAUGUAUGUAAUACUCGUAUAACACUGAAAAAUAUAAAGCUCUAUCAAGUCCAGCUUGGAGGUCUCAGACAUAUGUACCCUCCAAAAAAUUGUUCAAGUUGAGCUUCAGGUCUUAGUUUUGUAAUUGAGUCGUGUCAAGUUCAAGGUUGUCAUUUUGUCAACUUGAUUUGGCUCAGUUAUGCACCUAGACUUUAACCAGCUCAAACUGACUAAAAGGUUACUGAAUUGAAAGUUGAGACAGGGACAAUUCAAACACAAAGUAAUCUGGAAUUCCAAAAAUCCAAACUUAACACCUAAAAACCUUUAAAUGACAAGUGGGUAGUUAUACCCCUUUCGCAGUAAUUGCAUAAAUUCACUUAACUUGGCUUGCAUGUGGAGAACUUGUCAGUGGAAUUGUUCAGUGGCAAAAUGAGUUUCACUGAGCUAUCACUUGUUUGCAGGAUUUGUCUUGGAUAAAGAAGAUUGAAGCAUCACCAGAUCUGACUUAUACUUCAAGGCCCUAUUUCGUCGAUGUGGAUUGCACCUGUAUAAAAUAAAGGUACCUUCUAUUGCAUAUUGACCACUUAAUAAGCUGUUGAUAACGCUUUUUUAAACUGAAUAUUCUGUUAGUUUACUCGUAAAUGCUUUUGACAGUUGUUGUUUCAUGAGGCCUAAUCCUAACUAUAUUUUGACUUUGAAAGAAUAUACAAUACAUAAAGCUACACAGGUCUGCUGUGGUAUCUUAAAUGGUGCUCAAAGUUCUUAAUCAGCCCCAACUUCCAUUGUUUUGAUUCUGAAAAGCAAAACCCCCCUCACUGGCUAAAAUAAAGUGGGAAUCAAUUCAGUAUGGUACAAUUUAUAGAUAUGGUACAUUUAUGGCACCGAUGAUACUUUGCUGCAGAGUUACCUAUAUCAUGUAUUCUUUUAUCUUCCCUAUUAUCAAUCACUUUUACAGAGAAAUUAUGGUCUUGAAGUCAAAACUGGAUACUUUAAUAAUUAAAGUUAUAAUCAACCUCAAAAUUGUGUGCUGGGUUAUGGCGGUAAAGGGGUCAACUUGAUGUAAGUUACGCAACUUGGACUCACACCAUAAAACUCAACCAAAUUCCAACAAAGAUUAGUUGCCAACCCAUCCAGUUGUGUCUGUUACACAUAACCUUUGACUUGCAACAUAACAAUCCCAAGAUGACACAUUGAAAACUGAUAAGUUUAUAUAGAUCAUGCACUAAUAGCCUCAUAUGUUGCCAUUGUCUUAACAACUAAGUCUCUAAGCCAACAUUCAAAAAUUUAGAUCUUGAAACGUUAAAAUACAAGGUCUAGCUAAAAAUCCAAUGAUAGGUGCGGGCUUUAUAGGAUGAGAGAGGGCUUCUCCUAUUGUGAAGCCCUCGUUCCAUUGACUUUCAGAUGUGCCCCAAGAGCAUAACAUUAGUGAGAGGCGUUGUGUGAUCUAUGUUGUUUGGUAAGUUUUAGAUAUCAUAUCAUCUUUUGUAUCCUUAUAUUCUUAUUUGAUGUUGCUGAGUUGAAUCGAUAAGGGUGUGAUUUCUAGUUGCAUGUUCAAAGUUUCCAUUAGAAAUAGGGGCAGGUUUGGUUUGCAAUCCCCCUACUUCAUUUUAGGGUUUUCAACUAUCAUAAUGUAUCCUUCCUUUUGUUAUUUAUUUGUUUGUUGUUUUGAAAACAGGACCAGAAAGGACUCCCUGAGGAAUUGUUUGCUGUAAAGAUGUAUGCUUUAACAACUGAAGGGCCAAAGAAGGUUCUCAAGACAAGAUCCAAGGCGCAAGCCAACAGACCUGACAUCAUCAAAUGAUUUGUUGCCUCUACCUUGUUGCAUUGUUGUAGGAGUACUCAAACUUUCUGGUGUAGGAUGUGAUUGUAUCUUCUUCCUAUGUAAUUUGUUAGCGUAUUACCUCAAAUUGUUUUUACUUUACAAGCUCCUUGUGGACUAGUUUUGUUCUUUUUCGUUUGAAGCUGUAUAUUUAUCCCCGGCAUACCUUUGAAGCUGUAUAUGUUCCUAAAUUCAAUUAUUGCUUCCAUAUUUUAAUUUUAUCUUUAAUUUUUUUUUUUUACCUUUCAAACAAAAAUGAAGAGUAAAUUUUACUAUUCCUUUUUACCAAUUCUUUAAUCCUUAGUCUAAUGAUACUUUAGAUGGAUACUUUUGCUCCUAUUCGCAAGACCAGCCCUCACCCUUUUUGUAGUGUUAUUUUCCAAACGGUGCCGUUUGGCACUUUGCUCCUUACAACCCUAACUAUAAAUUCCUCCUUUUCUCUCUCUCUCUCCUUCAUUUUUCCCCUUACUUUCUCUCUCUACCGCCGGCGGCUCUCUCUCAUUUCUCUCUGAACCUUCAGCUCACUUUCUUCUCUCUUUCUCUUUCGCUUGGAAGUAAUGAGAAUCUCCCAAUCCCAAAAGAGGAAAUCAACUUUCUCUCCCGCACACUGCCAGAACCUUCCUUUCGCUCUCACAAAUCAGUCCCCAACCGAACCCAUUUCCUAGAUCUACGUCUUUGUAAACAUUGGAUUUUUGUUUUGAUGCUUUUUGCUUUUCUUUUUUUUUGCCUUUUGCCAUUUUGGUUGUGGUAUCCGGCUGCUAGAUUAAAAAGUUAGAAGUUUUUGGCUUCUAGGUGUUUGCUCUUUUCUGGAGAUUUUUGUUGAAAGAGCCCCUCCUUUUGUGAAGAUUUCUGCUUUUAUAUAUAUAGGGGCCGAAAAUUCUCUCCUUAGUACUCGGUUAGCCAUUGAUUUAUCCUAAUUUUUAUUGAAUAAAAAUGAAAAUGAAAAAUAGAAUAAUAAGGUAAUAAAAAUAGUAAUAAAAGUACAUAAAAAAAUAGUAUCUACAGCUUGAGGGAAUCUAUGUUUAGUUUUUUAAUAUGUAAACACCCUUUUCCAUGGAAAGGUUAAAUUUUUUUUUCUUUGUUUGAGAUGGAUAUCAAACCCUUUCUUCAUGAACACCACUUGCUCUUUGAUGACUACAUUGAAUCAGAGGCACCUUGUAAUAUAUGCAAUCAGAAAAUUGAUGGUUUGGCUUAUUAUUGUGAAAGAUGCAAGAUUUGGUUUCAUAAUCCCUGCGUUCAUCAUCAGCUACCUCUGCAGAUAAGUGCACAUCCUUUCCAUUCUCAACACAAUCUUAGUCUCUUAUGGUCAAAUCACAUAGAUUACAUAUGUGCUAAAUGUUUCAAUCUUUCUCGAGGUCAUAGGUACCAUUGCAAAGAUUGUGAUUUUAGCCUUGAGUUUCAAUGUGCUUUUUCAAUCAAUGAUGAGAAAAAUAGACUCAGUGACGAGACAUCCAAAAAAAUUGGUCGUUUCAACAAGUCGUUGACCCUCUUUAACUAUAGGAGAGUGAGAAAGUAUGAGUAUAUAUGUAGUUGGUGUGAGAAUCAUUUGUCUGGAAUGUCUUAUGGUUGUCUUGACGAUGGAGUUUAUAUCUGGUUCCACGAUUCGUGCCUAAUCAACAUGCCUAGCAUAAUCUUCAAACACCCUUUUCAUCCAUCACACCCUCUUUCAUUAUGCAACAUUCAUUUCGAUAAUAGAUUGUGCAAUGCUUGUAACCUACCAAUAUGGGAGUUCAGAAAAGCCUUUUGCUGUAGAAAAUGUAAAUUCCACCUUCAUGUUCAUUGUGCUGAACUACGACCCAGUCUGAAGGUUGAGUUACAUGAGCAUAAUCUUACUUAUUUUCGAAUAAAAGCUAAUAUCUCUACCCACCUAUGUAGGAUUUGUGGUUUUAAUUUUGAUGCUAUAGGGAACGAAAGUGCUUUUUAUCGUUGUGUUGAGUGUAAUUUCAAUUACCAUUUCAAAUGUCUUACAAUACCACAUUCUACUUCACACAAGUAUCAUAGGCAUGAUCUCAUGCUUAUGGAUUCAUUUAUAGAAGAUGUUUCUGAAGAAUAUUAUUGUGAUAUAUGUGAAGAAAAAAGAAAACCCAAGCAUAGUGUUUAUUGUUGCAAGAAAUGCAAAUUUGUUGCUCACAUCGAAUGUGUACUCAAUAAGGUAAAGAGAAAUUUACUCUCUCUCUAAACAAAUUUAAUAAAUGAUUUUUUUAUUAGAUAAUCUAUUAAUUAUUUGAUCAUAGGUCACAUAUACUGUGCCAUUUAGAAAAAUUUUGAUGUUAAAUAGUUUCACUUCCCCAGGUUAUAGAUAUAAAACUUGAUCAAAGUGUGACCUCUAGUUUGUUGGAUGGCGAAGCUUCAACAUUGAAGGUGGUGUAUGUUGAUAUUAUUGUGAUGCUUUCACUUGCCAAUAAUUUUUUUUUGAAGGUUACAUCACUUUAGGUCUUUUAUAAUUCCUUGGAUUUAUAUAUUAUAAAGAUUUUUUAGUAAUAAACACUAUUUACGUUUUUGAAUAAAAUUUAAUGAAAAAAAAACUAAAAAAUGUAAAUAACAUAGGUAAGAAACCUCUACUUAUAUAGCAGUAUUCAAAAUCAAUUUGAAGAAGGCUUUAGUAAAAAUAUUGAAUGUUGAAUAAAAUAAAAACAUAUACGUGCAUCAUGUUAAUUUAUGAACAUAUAUAUUUGAUUAUUUAAUUAUUACUUCCAUAUUUUAGUUUUAUUUUAAAUUUUCAUUUUUUUUACUUUUCAAACAAAAAUAAAGAGUAAAUUUUACUAUUAAUUUUGACCUAUUUGUAAUUUUUCGUUUUCAUUUGCCAUUUUGAAUUUGUUUCAAAUCCAUCUGUAUAUUAACAUGCCAAUAAAAUGGAAGUGAAAUUUGUCACGUAAAUUCCACAUAUUAUGUGAAUUAUGUGAAAGUAGUCACAUGGACAUAACUGUAGUGUUUAGAUGGCAAAUUCGUUCCAUAUUUAAUAGUGUAUUGAUGGAUAGAUGAAUUUAAAAUAAAUUCCAAAAGAUGUAGAUGAAAAAAAUCGAGUUUGUUUAGUCAUAAAUGAAAAUAAAAUAUUAUGACAAUUUACAAAUUAAGGAUGCACUCUGCUUAACAAAUGGUGGAAGAUUAGUAACUUUCUUCACUCAACCUGGUUGUGCAGCCGCAGAUUGAACAUUUUGAUCAUCAACAUCCCUUGAGCUAUAAUGGGGCAAUUGAACGGAAUGAAAGUCUUCUCUGCAAUGCUUGCUGUCAAGAAAUUUUUGAUCAACACUAUGCUUGUGGAGAUUGUAAAUACUACUUACAUGAAACGUGCACUGCAUUGCCGUUUGAGGUGUCACACCCUUUUCAUUGCCAGCAUCCUCUCAAGCUCUUCACAGAUAUAGUUGAAUUUACAUGUCAUGCAUGUAGGGAACAUUCUAGUGGGUUUGCUUACAUGUGCCUUCCAUGUGAUUUCCAACUUGAUGUAAACUGUGCUACCACUCCAAUCCCACAAAAAAAUGAGGGGCAAAAGCUGAAAGAGAUGGAGAAAGUUUCCAAGUUGUGCCCUUUCAAUCAAAAUCAUAAGCUAGAUUUCUUCAAUCGUAGAUCCAGUCUCAAAGAUUUGGCUUUGGAAUGCGAUGCUUGCAAGCUACCAAUCUUGGGUCCAGGUUAUACAUGUCGUGAUUGUUUCAAUAUCAAAAUUCAUGAAUCUUGUCUUGCAUUUAUGCGGGAGAUGCAGCUCAACUUUCAUCCAUUACACCCCCUUCAUCCACAAAUCGGCGAUUGGGAAAAUUGUUUUGCCUGUAGAUUUAAAAUCAUUGAAAGUAUCGGUUAUAGUUGUCGACAGUGUGAUUUCCACCUUCAUCUUCAUUGUGCUAAUUCCCUGAAGCUGGCCUUAAAAAUUAAGUCUCACAUGCAUAAUCUCUAUUAUUUUGGGCCAGAUUAUGAGAAAUCUUACCAAUUAUGUAACAAAUGCAAAAGUUACAUUGGUAAGGAACCUUUCUAUUAUUGCGUGGAGUGCAAUAUGAAUUUGCACUUAAAAUGUGUUCCCAUACCAUGUUCAGUUAAAUCCAAAUAUCACAUGCAUCGUUUGACUCUUAAAAAUCAUUUUGUGGAAGAUGAUUCUGGAGAAUACUAUUGCGACAUUUGCGAAGAAGAAAGGAACUCAAAAAAUCAUUGCUAUUAUUGUGAAGAGUGUGUUGGACAAUUUGUUGCUCACAUCGAAUGCGUGCUUCUUACAGUAAGUUUAUCACUAUCAUUUUCUUUGUAGAAUUUUUUUAUACCAUGUUAUUGAAUUUUUUAAAGGAAAAUAAGAAUCUAAAUUACACAUCACAUGAUUGUAUCCACCACCUCUUUGAUUAAUUGGACUUUAUUAAUGGUUAAAGUACCUCAUAGGUCCAUAUACUAUAGAUUUUUCGUUAAUUUAAUCUCUUUACUCAAAACUGGUUAAUUUAUUCUCUAUAUUUUGAGAUAUUAUGUAAUUGACUCAUUUUGCUUAACUCCAUUCAAAUUAACCAUUAGUGGUGCUGGUGUCGCAUUGACAUGCAAGAUAAAAGAAAAAAAAAGAAAUUGGCCAUGUGGCAUUUGUUUCUUUCCUCAUUUGUUCAAAACUACAUUGUUUUAGAGUACCAUUUAAAGCACAUUUAGGUUUUAUUUUUCAUUUUCCUUCUUUCCUUCUUUCUAGCUCUCUUAUCUCUCUAGAUUCCGACACCUAAAUGAAAAUUUUGGCUAUCGUUCAUUAAUGGUAUGAAAAUCUAAUAAAAAAUAAAAAAAUUCAUUUUUUUUGGCCUUAUUUCCCAAAAUUAGGAUAGCUUUUUCAAAAUCUAUCUUGAUUUUCCUAGAUCUAAAAUAAUGAAACUGUAAAAAAGAAAUUUGUUUCUUUCCACUAAUGUGUCCUCAACUUGAUGUUAAUGAUCAAGGGUUGUGUUUUUCAUGUUGUAGGAUUUUGAAUUUGCAGAUGGAAAUUUUCAUGAAUUUUCCAACUUGAAAGAUGCUGACUCACCUAUUGAGAGUUCCUCUAUGGAUAAGUUGCUUUCCCAGCCCCAUGCUGAAGUUUACUUGAAUCAAAACAGAAUGGUAGUUAAGUCCUAUAUAAGUUUAUUUUAAAGAUCUCAUCUUAAUGCGAAAAUGAAUUUUAUUUUAUGAAUAGUUGAAUGGAAGAAAAGUUUCACGAUUUUGUGGGUGCCAUUGUUGUUGCAGAAGUACUGGGUGGAUAAGAAGUUAAGCAAAUACUGCUUCAUGUUGUUUGCAAGAGAUCUUUCAAUCUGUUGGGCGGAAAACCACCUUUACUGGCGCUGGUCAUACCAAAGAGAAACAAACAGGUUAGCAUAGAUUUAUUAUUCAUUUAGAAUCCUUCAUAGUUCUAGCUCGAGAGCUUUCCUAAUCCAUAAACUUUUGAUUUUGCAGUGAUGUGUUGAUUGAUGUUGUCGAACUUCUAGAUGUGUGGUGGCUAGAAAUGCAUGUGAAAUUCAAUGUAAAAAAACUCUCACCAAAAACAUUGUAUGGACUUGUGUUCGUGCUUAUGUUGGCAAAAGAAGCAUGUGGAUGGGAACACCCAGUGAACGUCGGAUUCACUCUUCCAAAUGGGUACAAGGUUGAAUGCAAGGAAAUUUUGAUGACCAAGCCAACAGGAGUGUGGAUAGAAAUCCCUGUCGGAGAAUUUACAACUUCAUUUGAAAUUGCUGGAGAAUUAGAUAUUUACUGUCACCAAUAUGAUGAAUUGAUAAGGAAGAGAGGACUUAUUGUUAAAGGAGUUGCUAUUCUACCAAAGAAUUAAGUUAUAAGUUAGUAUUUUGUCAUAGUAAAUAUGAAAGUAUUAUAGUUUUUUUAUUUGUUCAUAAUCCUGCAAAUACCAAAAUGACCUUAACACUGGAACCAGUUUUUCGGUUCUCAUUAUACAAUAUAGGUUCCAUGCUAAAUGCAGCAAACAAGCCCGUUGAUUGGGUUUUUUGUAUUUUUUAUUAGAUUUUUGGACCACUACUGAUCAGCGGUCAGUGAUCGAAAUCUGGGUUUGGCGAUCAAAAUUUGGGAUGGAAGGAUUGGAUAGAAAGUGAGAGAGAGAAGAGUGUUAGAGAGAGAAGGAAGGAAAAUGAAAAAAAAAAAAACUAAAUGUGCUUUAAAUAGUAAGCUUAAAACGACGUAGUUUGAGACAAAAAAGAGAAGAGAGAAAAAUAAAAGCGACAUGAUCAAUUUUUUUUAUUAGUUUAACACGCCACUUCUACGUUAGCACUUUUUGAUAUGUCAGUGCGACGUUAAUACCACUAAUGGUUAAUUUGAAUGGAGUUGAGCAAAGAGAUUCAAUGGUACAAAAUAUGAGAGUACAAGGACUAAAUUAACUAGUUUUGGAUAGUUGGACUAAAUUGACAAAAAAAUCUUUAGUAUAAGGACCUAUGAGGUACUUUGACCAUUAAUAAAUUCUAAUCAACAAAAGAUGUGGUGGAUUUGAUCAUGUGAUGUGUAUGUGUAAUUUAGAUUCUUAUUUUCUUUUAAAGAAAUUCAAUAAUGUGGUAUAAAAAAUUUCUACAAAGAUAGAAAAAUAUUGUUAGCACCUCAACAUUUUUUAAAACCUUUUCAGCACUUUAAAGCUUUGUCCAUUAAUUAAUCAGCUUGUUUUAGGCAUGUUCUCAUAGUAACACAAGUCUUUACGCUGUAUAGAACCUUUUGUUUCUUUUUAACCUCCUGCAAUCUUGAGCAAGGCUGGUUGUGUAUACAGGGGAGCAUAGUGGUAUAUCCCAGCACAGUUGUGUAUAUAGGGAGAUGUAUGCCUAAGCUGUAGGGAUGGUUUUUGUUCACCUACUCUUUUGUAUAUUGAUUUUGCUUAAAGUAUAAAGGUAUAGAAUUUUUAAAAAAAGAUACAAAAUUGUGGCUUAGCAUCUUGAUAGCCACAUUUGGAAUAAAAAGGUAGCAAUUAAAAAAAGUAUUUUAUCUUUAAUGAUGAGUAAGCUUUCUUUGGCCUUUUUCAUUUUAUAUUCUCUCAAUAAUUUCCUUCUUUAAAUAGAGAAAAAAAAUGUUGACAGGGCAUGAAGCACAUGCUAUUUUCUUGUUUUUGGUAUAAAGGCUUGAGGGAAUCUUUGUUUAGGUUUUACAUUUAAACGCCCUCUCUCAUCAAGAGGCUAGUAGUUGAUCAUCUCUCUCUCUCUCUUCAUCUACCUAAAUUUAUUUCUUCGUUUGUUUGAGAAAACAAGGCAGAGAUUGUUCUGCUAUGGGCAUAUUCUAUACUUGUUUUUGACAGAAAUUUAGUACCUCCUCAAGUCCUUAACCAUCUUGGUGCUGCAAAGAGGGGGUUGUAGCUAGAAAUUAACAACAUAAAAGAUGAAAGCAAGGUUGUUGAUGUGAAUGAUUUAGCUUGGUUUGGGUUAUACAAGGCGCAACAAUUCUUUGAACGUCAAAUACACUUUCCUAUAUUUAAGCUUAUUCUUCAUAAUGUGUAGCACUGCAGGGCAUUUUAUUCAACUAUAUUUUGGUUAGAUUGUAGGGGAAAGAAAGGUAGAGAAAAAGACACAAAGGCGAGAAACAUUUUUAGACAAUGAUUCAAAAUUUAAUUUCAUUAAUAAGUUAAAAAAUUACAGCAAACUGUAAAAAAGAUCAAAAAUUUUUUUGUCUGCUCCUUUUAUUCUCUAUUGGCCAGAAGAGAUGUGCAUUCUUGAACUAGUGAUUUGCAAAUAAGUGACUGCUUUUCCUACAUACCUUUGAGUUGAAUGACCAUGUACUUAUCCAUUCUGUAUAUUUCAACAAAUUUAUGUUAAUAUUCAAGUUUCUAAUAUUUGAAUGAGUUUAUAUUUGAUGCAUUAACAGUGUCUAUAAGAUACAUUGUCAGUGUAUUAAAUAUAAAUCUUAUUUAAAUAAAUUAAGAGUACAUAGUUAAGAAUUACAGGGAGUUUAAUUUGAGAUAGUAGCUUUUUGUAUGUAAGAAGAAAAAGAAGAUUUUGCUGCUUUUUAUUAUUUGUUUUUGUUAAUUUUAUUGUGUCAGCUUGGUUUUAUGUCAACAGCCCUAUCAAUUCAUCAUGGUUAGUGAUCAACAGCUUCAAUAACGAUGCUUCCCAAGUUUAAAAGGGAAAAUAGGAGAUUCCAAACUUAAAACCUUCAUGUCCUUGAGGCUUUUCUUGUUUCUCUGUCCUUUUCUAUUUGCUGUUUUAGUUGCAAAAUUGUGGAAGUAGCAUCUUGAUUGCCACAUUUUUCAUAAAAAAGUACCAAUUUAAAGAAACAUUUUAUCUUUAAUGAUAAGUAAGUUUUCUUUGACCUUUUUCUUUUUCUCAAAAGACAAAGAGAAUAGUAUUCCAUAAAAAAGGAUAUGUGUUAAUUAAAUUAUUUGAAGGCAAGAAAUUAAGAUUAGUAUCAGUAUUCGUUUCCAAAUUCUCACAAUUAUUUCGUUCUUUAAAUAAAGAAAAAAAUAAUAUUAUUUUUGAUCACUCACUUGAUUAAUUAAUUUGAAUUGUCAUUGCAUUAGUACAAUGAAUCGUAAUCACAAUAUACGCGCGACUUGUUUUCAUUGUGCAAGUAAUUAUUGUAUAACUAAAGCAAAAAGAAAGUAAUUGCUAUAUAACAUUAUUUUACCUAAAGGGAAAUAUUUAAUUAAAGAAAAAAUAAGUAAUCCCAAACUUAAAACCUUUAUCCUCUUAAAAACCAAUUAAUAGAGUAAUGCUGAUUCUCUAUAAAGUGAUUUGAUUUCAAAAUGCCAAAGGUCCUUGAUGCUUUUCUUCUUGUUUAAACGAAACACUCCCCUUGCUAAACUAAAGUGAGAAUCAAUUAAGUAUGGUACAACUUAUAGAUACAUUUAUGCCACCAGUAAUACUUUGUUUCAGAAUUAUCUUUCCUUUUUAGAAACAAUAAAGAUGAAUUAUAUAUUAAAAAAGAGAAGGAUAAGAGUAUUCCUUUACAACCAGUCAAAAAAAAACCCACGACUACAUCAAAAACAGCCAAUGGGGCUUAAAAAUUUGGGUAGACCAGUACUUACCUUAGGUCCUGCCAAGUAGUAUUAAAAAGAAAAUAUUACAAAAGGUAAGAAAACCAUAACAAAAGGACCUGUACAUAAUCUUUUCCUAGAAGAAGGAUCCAAAAAAGGGUUCAAUCAAUAUCCCUUAAAAAAAAAGCAGUAUAAACGAAGAAACAUCAAUGGUUCCCAUGAAGUUAGCAGCGAGCAUUGUGAUGCACAACAAAAGUAAAUAAAGCAGGGGACAGAACACGUCACACUAGGUUAAUAUUCUUCUCCGGGGCUGGCAUGGAGUCGUUGAUCCGAAGCAAAUCUGUUGAUCUUGAGACACCUUCUUUGGCUAGCUUGUCAACUUCUUCAUUAGCAGAACCAAAAAUGUGUUUCAUCUCCCAUCUUCCAAUCUUACGAAGAGUAUUAAAUGUUUGAAUUAUCAGAGUCUUCGCUCUCCAUAUCUUCUUUUUGUCUUUCUUAAUAUUAAUCACUUUUACAAAGAAUUUAAUUUUAAUUUUACAUUUGAAUUGUUGCGCUAGGGUAUGGCCGUAGAGGGGUCAACUUGAUGUAAGUUAAGCAACUUGGAUUUACAGCAUAGAACUCAACUAAAUUCCAACAAAGAUUAGUUCCUAGCCCGUACAGAAAAUUUGUAUAUGUUACUUGACUGAUUUACAUUGAAGAAGUAAAUUUGCAUAUCACCCACAUUAUAAACUAAUCAAUUACUGAAAAUAAGAAAUUACCACUAGUGCUUGCUAAAUCUCAUAAAUAAAUCAUCUUAAUAAGCAAUAACUAUGUAUGGGAGGGCUAAUUAUUGUAGUUAACAUUCCUUGAAUUUUACCUCAAAAUUUGUGUUAAUAUUCUAGGUUGUGAUCAAGUCAAAUAUUCAAGUUUCUAACAUUUAAAUAGAUUAGGAGUACUUCAUGAAUGAAGGGGUUUAAUUUGAAGUAAUAGCUUCAAGUAUAGAAGAAAAAAAACAAAGAUUAUGCUGCUUAUUUUUUUUUAUAUUUUCUUGUCUUAGGUUGAUUUUAUGUCAACACUCCUAUCCACUAUUCGGUAAUUUUGGACGUGUGUAUUUCUGUAGCAAUGUUUAUGAAAUGGUUUGGACAGCAUUGAUAGCUGUGGAUCAUGAGACAUAUAUACACUUUGGACAGCUAUUUAUUGAGACGUGCUGGAAGGUGAUUUAAUUAUUUCUGUUGAUUGGGUUAUGUUUUCAGAGAUUGGGCGGAUUUGUUAAAGAGUCCAACUGGACCUAUUUAUCCCCAAAGUUGAGUUUAAUUUUGGCAUUUGGCAUGUGGCAUUGCCAAAGCUCCUCAAGGAAGAGCACUAUGCGAUGAGUGAAGGCCAAAUAAAUAAGAAGAAAAAAGAAAGAAAGAUAGUACACAUCUUGUCAUCACUCAUCAAUUAGACAUUCCAUCCCUCACCAACCCAACGUCCUUGGACAACUUCUUCCACAUAUGUUGUCCAAUAAAAAUCACUCCAGUGUCUCGCAUUGCUUGAAAAGAAAAAAAAAGACUCCCACGUCCUACCGUAUUGGCGAUUGCUACUAUCGUUCUCCACCGCCCGCUUGGUGGCGCCUAUACAGCCACCACCACCACCACCACCAUUUGCAAUUCUCCUGAUUCAGAAUUCUUAUUGCAUUACUACUGUUGGAAAAGUGUUUGAUAAACAACUUUCAGCUGGUAAGUUAGCUUCACUAUAACCUUUAUUAUCAAAAAUUUUUUACGCAUUGCCUUUGGAUUACAAAGCAUCCUGGUCAAAUUGUUUCCGUAGUGACGUAGAAGUUGUCAUUCAAGAAAAAUUACAAGGACGAAUUAUAAAGCAUUUUAAUUCUCAUGGUUUUUUUCUUUAAAGAUUGAUUUUGGGUUCAACUUUAAGAAAUUGUCUUCCACUUGUUCAUUGUUAAAAAACAGGGUCGGAAGAGAAGCAGCUUCAACAUCAUCCACUUGUUCAGUCAACCAAUAAUUAACUGCUGUUUUCAUUAAUCAAUUUACAUUCGAGAAACAACAAAAACAAUGGCAAAAGCACUUCUUUCCAUGAUCCUGGAGCAGCAGUUGGGUGGUUCGUUCAUUCCUCAAGGGAUAAAGCAUCAUGUCGGAUUGGCUGUAGGUCUUGAAGAAGAAAUCCAAAAACUCACCAGCAACUUUGAGGCCAUUAAAGCUGCGCUUGAAGAUGCGAAAGGAUAAACCAAACAGGGCUUGCCUAACCCAAGGCGCGGAGGAUAAGGCAUACCGAUGUGGAUGCGGCCCAUAUCCCAAGCUGUUUCCCCACAGACCCUCCAACAGUGUCCCAUAACUCUAAUCCUACAUCCACCACGGAAGAAUUACAAGACUCCCAAGGAGCGGAGGACGGCAAUGGAGGCAGCUGGCUCCGAUUCCGAUGGCAGAGAAUUCAAGAACCCACAGGAAAUGUGGAGGAAGCAAAUUGGAGAUGCAGAUGAAGGAGAUAACCAUAAGAAGACUCAGUGGUACCGUGAAGGCGUUGCCUAUUGGGAAGUAAGUCUUUCUUAACUCUGGUUCUUACAUUUGUAUGUGGGUACCAUUACCGAACUCAUAGUAUAGUUAUUGGUUUCUUUGGUUGUGCUAAGAGAAGGGUGUGGAGGCAUCGGUAGAUGGGGUGUUGGGUGGAUUUGGGCAAGUAAAUGAGGCAGAUGUCAAGGGUAGUGAGGUUUUUCUCAAUACCCUUUUGCAUGAAAGAUUCUCGAUGGCGGUGGAAGAAAUCACCAUCUUGUUGCUCUUGGUACUUCUCUGUCUCUCUCUGUGUGCUCAACUUUAUAUUGUUUUUAUGAAGUUAUAUACCCAUAUAUGUUCUGUUGAGGUAGUUUGGUUUAUGUUAUUAUGAUUAUUUUUUUACACUAAAAAUGAACCUUAGGUUAUUAUGCGCCAUUAAAUGUGGAAGUGCAAAGUUGGUGAUGGGAUCCUACUUCAUUAGAAUGUAACAUUGGUGGAAAACCUAAUUAACUAUAAAUUAAACAAAAAAACAUAGUGGUGACAGCAGAUAGGGAUGGUGUGAUGGAUGAAAUUUUGAGUUAAAUAUCCGCAAUUAGUGCUUGAAACCGGAAACCAAGAUGACUUGAUAACACAACCAUGAAAAGUUUAUGUCCCAUAAUCCCAACCCAUAAAGGAAAAUAAAUAAAUAAAGAAGAGAAAGGCAUGGAAAUUUGGAUGAAUAUGCAAGAAGCAUGUCAUGCAUUAGAGGUCUUGCUUUGAUUUAGAAUGCCAGCGUUAUAGGUGUUGCAACUAUUUAGAAUGCCAUAAUGCAAUUGAGAAUUGGGUUUACUACAUGCUAUUUUGCUUAAUAAAAAACCAUCUUUAAGCAAUAUUUUUUUUUAAAUGGGGAUUUUUUUAAAGCCCUUUUAAAUAACAUGUUUUUGUAAAAGGCCGACAGGAUACUUUUAACUAUUUUUAGCCAUCAGAAAAGAUUUUGGGAUAAAAAUACCCUUAAUGAGCCGUCUUCGUUAGCGUACACUCUCAAACAGGCGAAAAAUGAGAAAAAAAAAUAUGCAAAGAUUUGUUGUGCAAAAUACCCUUUUUUUUUCGAAGGUUGUGCAAAACAAAAUAAAGUUACAUGAGAUGGUUUUUUAGAGAUUUUGGACAUGGCAUUCGGAUAAUAGGAGAAGAGAGAUAUUAAAUCAAACGAGGAACAGGUCUUCAUGAAUGGAAAGCUUGGCUAAUGAUGUGAAACCAGAAAUCCUUGAUACGGUGGUAAAUUGAAAGGAGAAAGAUGUGAAUCCAAGCAGGAAAUGGUCCUGCUAUAGCAGGCCAUAUGUUAGAUGGCUGUCGCAGGGCAGGUCAGGGUUUAAAGUUUGUGAAACGUCAUGUUGGGAAUGUAUGACACGACACCGCUCAGAGUUGGUGAGACGCCAUUGAGGGAAUCUAUGACACGCUAGAGUUAAGAGUUGGUGACANNNNNNNNNNNNNNNNNNNNNNNNNNNNNNNNNNNNNNNNNNNNNNNNNNNNNNNNNNNNNNNNNNNNNNNNNNNNNNNNNNNNNNNNNNNNNNNNNNNNNNNNNNNNNNNNNNNNNNNNNNNNNNNNNNNNNNNNNNNNNNNNNNNNNNNNNNNNNNNNNNNNNNNNNNNNNNNNNNNNNNNNNNNNNNNNNNNNNNNNNNNNNNNNNNNNNNNNNNNNNNNNNNNNNNNNNNNNNNNNNNNNNNNNNNNNNNNNNNNNNNNNNNNNNNNNNNNNNNNNNNNNNNNNNNNNNNNNNNNNNNNNNNNNNNNNNNNNNNNNNNNNNNNNNNNNNNNNNNNNNNNNNNNNNNNNNNNNNNNNNNNNNNNNNNNNNNNNNNNNNNNNNNNNNNNNNNNNNNNNNNNNNNNNNNNNNNNNNNNNNNNNNNNNNNNNNNNNNNNNNNNNNNNNNNNNNNNNNNNNNNNNNNNNNNNNNNNNNNNNNNNNNNNNNNNNNNNNNNNNNNNNNNNNNNNNNNNNNNNNNNNNNNNNNNNNNNNNNNNNNNNNNNNNNNNNNNNNNNNNNNNNNNNNNNNNNNNNNNNNNNNNNNNNNNNNNNNNNNNNNNNNNNNNNNNNNNNNNNNNNNNNNNNNNNNNNNNNNNNNNNNNNNNNNNNNNNNNNNNNNNNNNNNNNNNNNNNNNNNNNNNNNNNNNNNNNNNNNNNNNNNNNNNNNNNNNNNNNNNNNNNNNNNNNNNNNNNNNNNNNNNNNNNNNNNNNNNNNNNNNNNNNNNNNNNNNNNNNNNNNNNNNNNNNNNNNNNNNNNNNNNNNNNNNNNNNNNNNNNNNNNNNNNNNNNNNNNNNNNNNNNNNNNNNNNNNNNNNNNNNNNNNNNNNNNNNNNNNNNNNNNNNNNNNNNNNNNNNNNNNNNNNNNNNNNNNNNNNNNNNNNNNNNNNNNNNNNNNNNNNNNNNNNNNNNNNNNNNNNNNNNNNNNNNNNNNNNNNNNNNNNNNNNNNNNNNNNNNNNNNNNNNNNNNNNNNNNNNNNNNNNNNNNNNNNNNNNNNNNNNNNNNNNNNNNNNNNNNNNNNNNNNNNNNNNNNNNNNNNNNNNNNNNNNNNNNNNNNNNNNNNNNNNNNNNNNNNNNNNNNNNNNNNNNNNNNNNNNNNNNNNNNNNNNNNNNNNNNNNNNNNNNNNNNNNNNNNNNNNNNNNNNNNNNNNNNNNNNNNNNNNNNNNNNNNNNNNNNNNNNNNNNNNNNNNNNNNNNNNNNNNNNNNNNNNNNNNNNNNNNNNNNNNNNNNNNNNNNNNNNNNNNNNNNNNNNNNNNNNNNNNNNNNNNNNNNNNNNNNNNNNNNNNNNNNNNNNNNNNNNNNNNNNNNNNNNNNNNNNNNNNNNNNNNNNNNNNNNNNNNNNNNNNNNNNNNNNNNNNNNNNNNNNNNNNNNNNNNNNNNNNNNNNNNNNNNNNNNNNNNNNNNNNNNNNNNNNNNNNNNNNNNNNNNNNNNNNNNNNNNNNNNNNNNNNNNNNNNNNNNNNNNNNNNNNNNNNNNNNNNNNNNNNNNNNNNNNNNNACAGCAUUUUACUUGAUAUGCAUGUCGUGUCACAGAAUUUUACUUGUUAUGCAUGGCGUUUGACAGCAUUUUACUUGUUAUGCAUGGCGUUUAACAUCAUUUUACUUGAUAUGCAUGUCGUGUCACAGAAUUUUACUUGUUAUGCAUGGCGUUUGACAGCAUUUAACUUAAUAUGCAUGGCGUGUUACAACAUUUUACUUAUUAUGCAUGGUGUGUCACAACAUUUUACUUGUUAUGCAUGGCGUGUCACAACAUUUUGAUUGCAAUGCAUGGUGUGUCACAACAUUUAUUCCUUAUAUAUGUGUUCAGUGUACCUUGUUGCACAUGACUGCUUAACUCUCUGGUGUAUGUGUGCCAUAUUUUGCAGAUCCAACGCAGAGAGUAUGAGGAUCUUGAGAGUUUGCUGAUCGUGCCGAGGGAGAAGUAGGCGUUCAAUGUCGCAAUUAACACUCACUAUAAGUGGUCGCAGCUGCAUUCCAUCACAAAGACUCUCUAACAGAAGGGGGAGUACGAUCCAGUUAAGCGUACCUGCUUCGGAAUGCUCUUGGACGUAUAUCCACAGGGGUACUUUUACGUCGGUCUCUUGCACAACAUCAUGAUUCACCGGAUCACUGAGAGGCAGUCAAUGGACCACGAGCUAUGGUUUGCCAUUGGCAAGAGCAAGGCGCGACUAUCAAAGCGGGAGUUCUGUCUCAUCACCGGGCUGAAGUUUGGUCCAAUGCCCGAUGUGUUCAGACGAUCAUACGAGGUUGCUGCAGAUGGAAUUCAUGCAAGAUACUGGAACGGGGAGGACAGCGUUAAGCUGCAGGCUUUGCUUGAUACCUUCCGCGGGGGUAACUUUCAGCGACCAAGAGAUGCGACCAAGAUGGCACUCGUCUUGAUCGCGAAUAACAUUUUAUUUGGUCAAGACUACCAUAGACGGGUGACGCCUUAAUUGCUGUCAUUGGUGGAGGACAUCGACGUUUGGAAUGUCUUCCCAUGGGGGCACUAUGUUUGGAAACUGACCUUGGACUACCUUUUGAAGGGGUUCGAAGUUCCUGACUUGAGCGUGACAAAGGAAACUCGGUUACGUUACAACAUUUACGGAUUCGCAUGGGUGAUACAGGUACUAAAACGUAACAUUUUUCAAUUUCCUUUCGAAAAAAAAAUUUAUGGGUGUAGUCGUUUAUGAUUGACGGUCUGAUAAUGGUUACAUUUGGCAUGCAGUUAUGGGCAAUGGAGACAAUUUCGGCCCUCCGAAAAAUAGUUGCCCUCUCUGGUCAGAAGGACAACGUCCACCCAUGAAUGUGCAGAUGGGAUUGCAAUCAGAAGCCAAAAGACUUCUACAGGACAAUUCAGAAGUUAGAGUCAUCUGACCAAGUGAGUGAACAACUGUUAAUUUUUACGUUAUAUUUGUAAAAUAAUUUUCCUUAUUCGAUAAUGACAACAUUUUAUUUGUUUAUUUGUAGUUGUGGGCACUGGAGGCGUUGUAACCCACCACGGAUGAGGCCCUCCGGGAGUAUUUUGUGGACCUUGAUGUCCCGUUAUCAGAGGGCAACGAGUACGUGCCAAUAGGGCACAUGGAGGAUCGGUCAGCUUGGGGCUUAGGUGCGAGGCUAAAAAGGAAAAGCUUGAAGGAGAAAAGAGCCUCUGGUGGCACGAAGAGGAUGCACACCGCCGCUGCUUUAGUUGAUGAGUUGAUGGAUGAAGGGGACGACCAUGGUCAAGGCAGUGAACAGCCAGUAAGGACAAUUGUAACAGUUUUGUGUUCUCCAAUUCCAUUUGUGAUUAUCGAAUAACAUUUCUGUGUUUGCGGUUGGACCAUGGGUCGGCAGCUCCAGAACCACCCACCGGUCUUCCUCAAAUGCAAAGUGGAAACGACCUGUCGGUAAGAUCGGUUCUAACGGUUUGUGUUCUACAUUCUCACAUAUGUUUAUCGAGUAACACAGUAAUUUAUGUAAUUGCAGUUUACGGAAGCGACGACAGGUCCUCAAGCACCGAUAGGUCCAGCUCAACCGCAGACUGCUAACUAGCCGGCGGUAAGGAUAUUAAAGUUAUAACAAUUAAUGUUCAACAAAUUCAUACAUGAUUAUUGAAUAACACAAUUAAAUAUGUAAUUGCAGUAUGCGGAAGCGACAAUAGGUCCUGAAGCACCAAUCGGUUCGGCUCCACCGCAGACUGCUAACGAGCCGCCGGUUAGGAUAUUAAAGUUGUAACGGUUAAUGUUCAAUAAUUCCAUAUAUGAUUAUUGAAUAACAUAAUUAUAUAUGUUAUUGUAGUUGACCUAGUCGAGAACAGUCAAUGACGGAGCAGUCACAACUCGCCAGCUCCGAUGGAUCAUGCGCAAGCAUGAAAAAGAUAUGUUGGAGCUGAAGGCUUCAAUUCAGUCAUUGAGUGUAGCAAUGUAGACGAUUGAGGACCAUAUUGUUGGUCGGAUUCUUGACGGCCUUAAAUCACAAGUACGCUAUUCUAUCUUCGCUUGUAUUUUGAUGGUUUACGUUUAGCAACUAUUUAGACUGUGUUUUCUUGAUGGUUUUAACUGCUUUUUGGUCAUUAGCGGGUCAAGACAUUUCUAUUAUAGUUAGUUGUUGUCGUGUCAGCUUUAGCGUGUCACAACAUUAUAUAUGUUAUUUAUGGCGUGUCACAACCUUUGAUUUUGAUAUGCAUGGCGUGUCAGAACAUUUUGCUUGUUUUCCUUGGCGUGUCACCAAGUUUAUCUUGUUAUGCAUGGUGUGUCACAACAUUUUCCUCAUUAUCCUUGGCGUGUCACCAAGUUUAUCUUGUUAUGCAUGGCGUGUCACGACAUUUUACUUGUUUUGCAUGACAUGUGACAACAUUUUACUAUUUAUGGGUUGUGGUAUUUUAUAAGCUAACUAACUGUUUUUCCAAUUUUGUAGGGCGGUCCAUCUCACAGUGCUGGUCUGGAGCACGAUGAUGCUGAUGAUGGACAACAUCAUGAACUUGGUGUUGACAUUGACGAUGACGUUUUUGGUGCUGAUGGAGAGCACGUAACUCAUGUAGAUGACGUCGUCGAAGAAGCUGUGGCAGUGGAUGUCACCCUUCAGUCAGAUGCUGAAGGAGAACAUCUUCCUCCGGCCUAUGCAUUCAUCGACGCAGCAGCAGGAGCUAUCGUUCAUUAUCGUGAGAGCACUCCUGAUACAGUUGAGAUACGGUUGUCGUCACCAGAGUCAUUUGCUGUCCAUCAUGGUGCAACAAAAGUUUCAAACCCAACUGAGCGGGCACGGUUGAAAAUGGUGAACAAAUACAUGGCAAGCCCAUUCGUCGACCCCUUAGUGACCCGUCGAAAUGUGAGGGAUAAUAUAGGAAAAGACUACGAAGCUUUCAAGAAAGAGGAGUCUGCGAGGUAAGCUCAUAAAUAAAAUUGCAAAUAUUGUUUUUCAAUGAAACAGUUAUCCACCAAGACUUAUGAAAUUAAUUAUGUUACAUAUGCAAGUGUAACAUCGGCAUCUUAGGGGAUCAAGGGGCUGACUUUUUCAUAACCUUAGAGGAUCCUAAUAAGGAAAUGACAAGUGAACAUAUCGACGCAUGCCUCAGCCUAUUCUGCAAGCGGAUGACAGGGCCGAAGUCGAAGUUGUACACUACCCGUGCAUGCAUGGUUGACACGAUAUUCUCCGUAAGUUUAUUUGAAAAUUGUUCAAUUCUAUAAAUACUAAGUUUUUGAUUGCAUGAAGUGUAAGCUAAUAUUUACAUGUUUUACAAGACACCAUCCGUAUACUACACACAGAAUUUCCAACAGAAGAUGCCCAAGCCAAAAUGUAAAUUCGAUGAGUUGCGGGGCUAUGUGGAGGGUGAAAGGCCAACGUACGCCAAAAAAUGGAAAGAUGUUGAUUUCAUCAUCGUGCCUUGCAACGUUGGUGGGCAUUGGGUGGUUGCGAAGAUCGACUUGGUGAGGUGGACGAUCAAGGUUGUGGACGAAGCAAUAACUUCGAAUGCUAAGGAUAACGGAGUUCGUGCGGGUCAGAUGACACCCUUGACGACAAUGAUGCCAUUAAUCUGCCACCAAGCCGGUUAUUUCAACAACAUACGUAGGAAGAGACGGGAUUUGACACCGAUGCCAUUGGAUAUUCAUUUACCAAAAACUAAAGUGCAUUGGCAGAAUGAUAGUGUCAGCUGCGGUAUGUUCAUGAUAGGGUACAUCGAGCAUAUUUUGCAAUCAGAAAAGAUCAGAAUUAAGCAGAAUAUGAUUGCAAAAAUGCGUCGGCAAUAUGCUCUGGAAAUUUUUUCCAACAAUUGGGAGAGUGAACCUUGAACAUAUAGGCCCUUGUUUGUAUAAUUUUUUUGGUACACAUAAAUUUUUUUAUACAAUUCAUUUUAUACACAUUUUUUGUACACACUUUUUAUUGAAUACAAUUCAUUGUAAACAGAUAUAAUUCUUUCUGUAUACACAAUAUACUUUGUAUAAUUAUUUGAUACACAAUUAACUUUUUUGCCUAUACACAAUUAAUUUGAUACCAAUAAUUUUUUUUCUUUUCUAUAUACAAUAUAUUUAAUUUGAUACACAGUCGGAAGAAGUCAGCGUGUGACACCUUAAAUAUGAUACCACUCAACGUGUCCCAACAUACAUCUGCUUGCACUAAGCGUGUCACCCAAAAAUUUAGCAAUUAGUCAACGUGUGAUGCCGUAAAUCCACUAACACUCGGCGUGUCAGCCGAUAAAUAUACUUCCACUCAGCGUGUUAGAAGAAUUGGGCCGUCGUGUGUCACCCCAGGUUGGCAUUAAUUAAUUUCUAGGUUCGUCGUCUUUCUUUUCCAGGCACACCGGCUGCACCAACCCAACAUUACAUUGAUUAACAUUGAAUAUAUAGAUUUUUCCAUCCAUCUAAUUGCUUCCAGCAUGAAAUUGUUCUGUAUCCAUCCUCCCUUAUUUUUCCAGUUGUUUCCAGGCCAAAAUUCUAUCCUGCCAUUAUAAAAUCAUACGUCUAAAUUUACACACCAGAACUUGUUAUGCAUGGCGGGUUAGAACAAUUUAAUUGUUAUGCAUGGCGUGUCGGAACAUUUUGCUUGUUAUCCUUGGCGUGUCACAACCUUUUACUUGUUAUGCAUGGCGUGUCAGAACAUUUUGCUUGUUAUCCUUGGUGUGUCACAACCUUUUACUUGUUAUGCAUGGCGUGUCAUUUCAUUUUUCUUGUUAUGAAUGGCGUGUUACAAUAUUUUAUUUGAUAUGCAUGGCGUGUGACAACAUUUAACUUGUUAUGCAUGGCGUGUCUCACAUUUAUUCUUUAUUUAUUUCUUCUGUAUACCUUGUUGCACAUUAUGGCUUAACUCAUUGGUGCAUCUGUCCUAUGUUUUGCAGAUCCAACGAUAUAGUAUGAGGAUCUUGACAUUUUGUCUGCUCGGUAAUUCUAUGAGGCCUUUUUAGUUACGGACUUUGUUGCCAAACAUUUCAGACAGAUAAGCAAAUACAUGGCUCUUGUCUGAUAAAGAUUGUAAUUAGAAACAUUUUUUACAAACAAAUAAGAAUGUACUUUAACACGAUCUUGAUCAGAUAGAGGCCUUGACAUGCUUAUCUGCCUGAAAUGUUUGGCAACAAAGUCCGUAACUAAAAGUGCCUCAUAGAAUGAUCGAGCAGACAAAUCCGUAAAGCAAAACGAAUUCAACUACAAUUUUCAGAUACAUUUAGUUAGGCGGUCAGGCUGUCUUCAUUCACAACACAGCUUACAUUUUCAGACAUUCUCCUUCGUAUUGGACAGUUGUUGCGUGUGUGAUCGAUUUGUCUGCAACUUGAACAUGCUUUGGGUCGGCGCAGUCGUGGAGUCGCCGAUUGACUUGGAGAUGGUGCUGGAUUUAUGGAUGGAACUGCAAAUGGGUAUGGGCAGUUCUGUCUGUCAUGCCCGUACCUCUUGCAUUGCGAACAUCUCCGUGCUUGACUGCCUUCACCAGCUGAUGGAAUCCUUCUCCUCCUAGGUUUUUCUGUUUGGCCUCGCCAAGGUGAAGGUAAGACGACAAUUUGUUUCACAUGAGGGAGGAUGCCCCACUCACUAGAAUGCCCUACCGGCCUAAUGGAUCCUGAAUAACCCUCCACGAAAACGGUUGUCUUGUAGUAGUCAGCGCAAAAUUCAAUGGCUUCACGAUUGCAUUUACUGAAAAACACUAAAAACUCAAUCUUCAAGCACAAUGUAAAGGCUAUGUCAAUUACGGUUCAAAUAAGAAAUAAAUAUAUUCUGACCUUAUUACUGCAAUGGCAUGGCUGCAUGGCAGUAAAUCUGUUUGGAACUCACAACAUGAACACGUCUUCCUGGACAAGUUUACAAGUCCAUCCAUCUUCCCGUCUUUAACUUCAAACUUCACUCGAUUGAUAAGCUUAACUAGAAAGCGAUGUGCAUCAUUGAACCUUUUACUCAACUACCUGGCAACCCAAGGGCUGAGGGGCGUGGUCACCUUGACGGCCUCUUCGUACCGUUCAUGGAACCAACACUGGAACAUGUCUUUGAUGAACUCGAUCAAAACAGUGAUCGGCAUUUGUCUUGCAUGCUUCAAGCAUGAGUUAACACAUUUCGCAAUGUUGAAUGUCAUCAUUUGGUAUCGCCUUGUCGGUGAACAUGCACGUGCCCAUUUCUCAGGCCCUAUUCUUAUAAAGUUCGCGUGGGCUCUCAGGUGAAUCUGCUGUAUUUGGUUCAUAUGUCUGUUGAAAUCAGCCACCUUAUAGCAAUCUUAAGCAAGGGUGAAAAGCAUACAAACAUCGUCACGCUUGAACUUGUUUUUAAAAUUUUUUUUCAAGUGGUAACCGCAUAAACCAUGGUGCGCUUCUGGGUAUGCAUUUUGGAUUGCUUUCUUAAUGCCGAGAUGCUGAUAAGAAAUGAACAUAGUGUUUUCAGGACAACCAACCGCAUCAUGCAGCUUAAGAAACCACAUCCACGAGUCUUCGUCCUCAACAUGGCCGAUGCCAAACGCAACUAGAUAUAUGCACUCAUUCACAUCUUUGCAUACAGCGACAAAUAAAACACCUUUGAACCUGCCUUUCAGAUGUGUCGCAUCAAUUGCAACCGUAAGACGCAUUACAUCCCUAAACCCCCGAAUACAAGCCCUGUAUGACCAGAAACAAUAUUUGAAUCUCUCUUCCUCAUCAGUAGCCAUUGCAGUCACUGUGCCAGGAUUUUCUUGUUCCAACAUAUAAAAAUACGAUGGUAGUAGUUGGAAUGACUCCUCCGGUGGACCGAAAACAAGCCUCUCUGCAUACUCCUUCGCUUGCCAAGCCUUACCAUACAAGCAUUCCAAUCCCCACUGAACCCUCAUCUCACAAAUUAUGUCCUUAAGUCUCAAUGCUACUCCAUUACCCCGAAUCUUGUGUGACAUAAGUUCACCAAUCAUCUUCCCACUCGUAGUUGGAAACCGUCCUUGCAAACCAUCAAUGGUACAGGUAUGUACUUUGUGGAAUGUUCGAACUUUCCAAUAUUCUCCUCUAUCAGGUAACUUCAUUGCACGAACACUGAACUUGCAUGCCUUGUCCUUGCAACCAACCUCAUAACGAGCUUUACAUGACUUUUUUACUCUUAUCGCAAACUUCUCUUUUAUAACCAACAUGUUCAAAGCUCGUUUCAACUUUGCCUUCGACGAAAACAUUCUUCCUUUGUAUAAGCGAUCUUCGGCACAUGUCGACUCCUCAGUGGUAAUUGUUUGGAAGAAGAACCUUUCUGCACCUGUAAUUACCUACAUACGAGAUAUCCUUGCAUUUCCCCUUUCCUGAUCACUAUCAUCGAGCAAUGUAUCAAAGGAACGAAUCUCGUUCUCACCAACGAUGGGGUUAUUGUAUAUGGGGUCAUCACACUGAACAUCUCCUACAUUAACACCUCCAAUAGGUUCCGUUUCGCCUUCAACAUUAUUGCAAACUCGAAUGUCACUGUCAUAAAGGCAGUCAUCGUCUAAACUGUCACCUUGCGAUUGUUCAAGCCCAUCAUCUGAAGUGUGAUCAAAUCUAUCUUCACCGGCAGCGAACAAAUUCUCAUUUCCCUCAUCAAAUGCAGUAUUAUACUCCAACGUCGCAGUGUCACCCUCCAACCUCACAUUGAUAUCCUCAACUAUCGUAUUCUCAUUUGACAAUGGCAUUUCACACUCUACAGUUUCACCCGAUCAUUGCAUUUGUUCAAGAGAAGAAAGAAAUUGGUUUAAUGCACAUCCUGAUGGAAAUUGUGCAGCCAACUGUUCUGUUAAUGUCGUUUGUCUACCGGGCUGCACAAACUCUUGUGCAUACCUCAAUUGCCAUUGUUGUGGGUUACGGACCGAAUGCUGUGGUAUAUGUGAAGCAUUUUAAAUCUCAUUUUAAUUCAGUUGAUUACUAUGUUGUCCAACUUCUCCAUGUGACAUAACAUUUGUUUGGCGUCUCUUAAUGCUGACAUACACAGCCGGAACAUUCCUCUGUUCUAGCAAAAUUAAUGCAACAUCUUCAUCGUCCUUGAUAAUUGGCCGUGAUAGCUCUCCAAGUGUACUGAUCAAUGCAUGUAACUCAAUCUCGUCAAUUUCUAAGUUUACCCCAACAACAUCUUCAACCAGCUUUAUCAAGCCCAUAAACGACAAAUCACUCUUAACCCCCCGCAUUCGUGACUCACCACCCUUGUAAAUGCCAUCCAGCCACUGACCAUCGUGUCUUAUCACAAGUCGCAUAAUUGAAACCCCACUGAAAUUUUGAAAAAAAAAUUAUCAAUCAUUUUACACAAUACAUGCCGUGAUAAAAAAUUUGUCAGUCGUGUUGUUACACGCCAUGCAAAUAACGUAAAAUGUUGUAACACGCCAUGCAUAUCAAGUCAAAUGUCGUGACACGCCAUGCAUCAGUAUCGUUACACGUCAUGCAUCACUGUCGUGACACACCAUGCAUCACUGUCUUGACACGCCAAUCACUGUAAUUACUGACUGGUUACACCAACAUCCGUGACACGCUAAAAACCCAAAAAACCAGUUAACCCAUGACACACCAGGAACAGCCAUGACACGCCAAAAACCCAUAAAUUCAGUUAACCCACCACACCCCAAGAACAGCCGUGACACGCUAAAUAACUCUUCACUCAUGUUAUAGAUGCAUGGCGUGUAACAACUUUGGGCAAUGUUUCUAAUCCAUCUUAUCAUUUACACCAAAUGUUUCAAAAAUUUAAGUGUGUUGCAGAAAUAAACCUAAUAACAGGUACCUUGAUGUCAUCUCUGCUAUAGGGUGUGUUAAUCUACGACAAUGUGGCCAGAUGUCGAGAGAUAAACCACAGCCCGAUGACGAUGGUGCUCAACAGAGAGUUGACAGAGCUCAUACAAUUCAAAGAUUUGAGAGAGCUGACAAUGAUGGUGCUCAACAGAGACUUGCCACAGUUGAGACAAAGAAAGAUGACCGAGCCCAAACAGCUUUGUGCAUUUAUUUUUAAUGUUUUUCAUUUUCUCUCUGGUAGGAGGCAGAUAGCUCAAACAGCUAAGCAUUUAUUUGAAACGAUAUUUUUAAGGGCAUUUUGGUCUAAUUCAUGUUUAUUUUUGGGUAGAAACAGAUAACUUUAUAUGGGUGGUUAUUUCUGAAAUCACCUUAUCACGAUAUCCUUCUCUCACAAUUUCCUCUUUUUAAAUUUGGGAAGAAGCUUGCUAGGAGUUCUCUCUCUGUCCCUUAAGGGUUGUGUGCUUGUGGGGGGUGGGUGUUGGGGCACCCCUAGACCCAAUUUGAGACUGUUGUGAGUACUCAGAAUAAAGGAAAGAAAUUUUUGUGUUUAAGAUUGAAAAAUCACUUUCACAUUACAUCAGCAACGAAGAUGCUAUAUCUUGCUAAUAUUCUGGAACUUGUUAUCCUUUGAAAGGCAAAAAUUAGAUAUGUCUUCAGUAUGUUUUAUUACUAGGAGAUUGAUUCUUCAACAUGAGUAGGAUCUAUAAUUGCCUAUAUAUGAAGUUGGUCUUAAUACUUGUGAGUUGGUGGACUAUACUAGGGCAAUUAACUGAAAUCUUACGAAGGGGAAUUGUAGGGGAAAUUAUUUAGGAAACUAAGCAGUUGGAGUUUGGCUUUAAUGUAAAGAUAUUUUGGUAACUAAGCAAUAAUGGUUUGGCUUUAAUAUGAAGAUAAUUAAGUGAUUUCCACAAGUUUUAUUAUAAGUAAUAUGAUAUAAGAUGCACUUAAGCACUUAGCUUUAUGAUUUGUGCAUGUAUCCCUUGCUAAAAGAGCUGGUUUUAAAUUACCCUCCCCUAAUGAAAUAAAAUAAAACAUGAUAAUUGAUGGUUGUGCCCUCAAACUUUUGCCUUCAUAUGGUUUAUGUUGGUGGAAUUAAAACAAACUCUUUUGAUGAUCUUAGUGUAGAAGAAUCUGGUACAUUUUAGGGCUUAGCAUACUAAAUUAAACUAUGUCAUAAUUCUCAAAACACUGCAUUGCUGACCUUUUUUUCAAGUCCAUACAUUAAGUAGUAGAAAUACCUGCAAAUGGUUCUAAAGCAUACUUAAAAUAUUACUGCAGUACUGAUCUGUUUGGUAUUUCAUUUUUCUUGAUGUUUUUAAUUCUAAUUGAAAAUCAUAAAUCUAGUUGACAUUCUGAGCUCUUAGUUUCUAUGUUAAUUUAACAUACUGCAGAUUGUGGUUCUGGCAUAGGAAGAAUAACCAAGAAUCUUCUCAUAAGAUAUUUUAAUGAGGUAAGGUCAUUUUUCUCUUUCUAUUAGCAUAUUUUUAAUAUUUCUGACAUUUACCAUCUUUGCAGUUUAUUGAUAACAUGGUUCAUAGUGCAUAAUUUUUACUACCUAAAGAAUUUCUCAGUUGUAUUUGAAUGAAAAGCAAAAUUGGGUAGUGCCUUUUAAAAAAUUCAUGCAGGACAUGAGGAGGGUACCCAUUAAUUUCAAGGUACCUAAACCUUAACCCUAUAAAAAAUCAAAUAUCUAAACCCUAUUAAUUACCUGAAUAAUUUUAAAAGUUACUACCCUAACCUUAACCUUAACCCUAAUACAUUCCCGCUAUCCUAUAAUUACCCUAACCUAUUUAAAAGCCCGAUUAGAUAAAAAAUUUAUUAAAAUGUUCUUCAUGGGUACCCAAUUACCUAAACCCGAACCUGUAUUCAUAUACAAUAAUAUUUCUUCUACAUUUUACAUAUAAUUAACUACUAAUUAAAUUAAUAAAAGCACAAAUAAUAAAAUUUAAAUUUAAAUAAUCAAAAACUAUAAAGUGUGUUUAUAAAUUGAACAUAAUAUAUAAUAUAAAUCAAUAUUAUUUUAUUGUUUAAUAGUUAUUAACUUAUAUAAUAGCAAUGAUAUUCUUUAUAAAUGAACAUAAUAAAUAAUAUAAAGUAUAUGUAUUAAAAGACAAUACAAGUUAUAUACUAUAAAGUGUGUAUAUAUAAAUUAUAAUUAAUAAUUUUAUAAAUUUAUAUUUUAUAANAAAUUAUAAUUUUUAUAAUGUUAACAAAAAAUAAAAAGUAAAUACAUUUAUUUUUAAAGUGUAUAUAUAUAUAUAUAUAUAUUAAAAGUAUUUUAGUGUAUAUAUAUAAUAGUGAUUAUAUUCUUUAUAAAUGAACUCAAUAUAUAUAAAGUAUAGAUAUUAAAAGAUAUUACAAGUUAAUUAAUAAUCAUAGUUUCAUUAAUUAAUUUAAUUAAUUAUAUGAGUUUGUCCUUUACUACAAGAAAUUAAAAAAAAUAGUUAAGUUUCAAAACUAUUCUAAUCUCACAACUUCUUUUUAGAUAAUUAAGUUUAUCUAUAUAAAAGUAUCUAUAUUAUAAUUAAUAAUUUUAUAAGUUAUAAUUUUUGUAAUGUUAACACAAAAUAAAAAGUAAAUAUGGUUAUAUUUAAAGUGUGUACACACACUAAAAAUGUUUUAUUAUAUGUAUAAUAGUAAUUAUAUUUUUUAUAAAUGAACCCAAUAUAUAUGUAGACACUAGUUUUUUAGGUGAAAUAAACAUUAAAAAAAUAAAAGAAAAAAGAAAAAAAGAGAGAAAAUCAAAAAAAUAAUAAAACAAAAAUCAUAAACAAAAAUGAAUUAAAAAUAAUAAUAAUAAAAAUAGGAGAGAGAGAGAGAGAGAGGGGUACGACUGGUAGGGUGCGGACGCACCCUGCCAGGCACCACCCUCACUUUGCUAUACACGAAAAAUUCGCGUCUAGCAGAGUAAUGGGAGCGUGCCCCCUUUUGCCCAGUAUAAAGGGGGCACUAUAGCACAGGGAUCGGAGGAAUCGAUAAUAAAAAAAAUACCUUGGUAACAUUCAGCAACCAAAAAACCCUAGGAAUCUCUUAAAACCGAAAACAAACCCAGAAAAAAAUCGCUUGGAGUAAAAAACCUGCAAACCAAAAAUUCCUAAGAAUCCCUAGCAAAAUCUAGCAACCAAAACACCCAGCCACAAUCAAAAACAUCCUAAGCUUUCUAGCAGCCAGAAACCAUCCACAAUCGAAACAAAAAAAUUAAAAAAUCACAAAAAGGGAAAACGGGUAGCCGUGUUCUCUUUUUGGGGAUUUUUAGUUUGUUUUUUUAGGGGAGAUUUGGAGGGGAUUUCAGCAACCGAUGAGGUAUUUGAGUUUGGGGAUUUCGUGCCGCCGUAGUAGAGAGAGAGAGAGAGAGAGAGAGAGAGUGAGUGAGUGAGUGAGUGAGGAUUUGGGGUUUUUGGGAUACCACCGGUUUUAGAGAAAUAGAGUUAGGGCUUGGGUUUGCUACCGGUUCAAGGAAGGAUUGACCGGCGACUAGAAGGGAAGAUCUAGUCGGUCGACGACAGGGAGGGUAGAGCCAGAUUCAGACGGUAAAGAGAGAGCAGAAUCAGGCGAUCGGCGGUGAGGAGUGUGAUGCACCGUUUGAGCAGGAAAGGAACAGGAAAGUGGCUGUCGGUGAAGGGUUUUUGAGAGAGAGAAGCUGACGCCGGUGAAGAGGGGAAGGAAGAAGAGUUUUUUGGAGAGAGAGGACAGUAAUCGGCGGCUAGACAGAGAAACAAAAGGUAGAAAAUGAAAGGUUCUAGGGAGAAGAAAGAAAGGUGAGCGGUAAGGGAGAAGAAAAGAAAAAAGAAAAAAAAAGGGAAGGUUUUUCUCCAUUGCACCAAACAAUGCCGUUUUGGGCAUACCAGGGGUGGCUGUGUAAAGCACCAGACAGUGGGCUUAGUGAAGAUCGUGGGUCAACAGGUUAGCUUGGGCCCACUUAGCCCAAUCAGGUAAAAUAUUACUCAUUGCCAAAUGGGUCUGUGGUGAUUUGGGCUGUCUAAACUGUUAUGAUAUGGCUUGUUUAGAUUUAACCCAAUUUAUUUAGUUAGAGCUUUAAUACUUGAUGAUAUAAAAUUAAUUUUAAGUUAUUAUAAUGUUCUAAAAAUUUCUGGAUAAUAGUCCUAGGGUUAGGAAAUUACUAAAGAACAGAAUAACAUAAAAAUAAGGAUAGCAAAUAUAUAUAUAAAAAAUAAUAAUAAUAACAUUUUAGAAAGCGUUUAGUUAUGCAAAGAACUUAAGUUUAGGAGAAUGUUUAUUGCAAAUAUAUAAAUAACCCUUUUAAAUACAUGUAUAUAAAAAUAAUAUAUAAAAAAAUAUAUAAAAAUUACCAUGACAUCAACUACAAAUAUAAUACUGAUGAUGGGAUGAUUGGUCGGGACGGUAGGAGUCGCAAUCCCAAGCUAAUUUUCUUUAGGUUCGGAAUCCAAAUUAAGGCUUCACCAGUACGAUGGGAGGGCCUCGAUUUUGAGAUUCUGAGAUUUUUAUUCUAAAUAAAUAAAAUUUUACUACAUAAAGAAAAAAUUAGUCAAAAAAUAAUAAAUAAUAAAUAAAUAAAAAUAGAAAAAAUAAAAAUAAAAUAAGCAUAAACUUCACGAACAUAACAUAUAUUUUUAUUGCAUCAUGCAUACCAUUGCAUAUAAGUAUUUUUGUUUACGAGUUAAGCCCCGAUGAUGGGAUUUUUCGAGGAUCUUGUGAAGGUUAGUAUUUCUUGGAAAGUUUCCUAGGUGAAAAGAUGUCUUCGGGUCCCACCAAUAUGAUGGGAGGGCUCGAAAAAACAUCUUUAAUAAAAGGCUUUCGCUCGUAUUAGGUUCAUUAUUCACGAAAAUAUUAUUUUUUAAAGAAAAACGUGCGAUAACCCCGAUGAUAGGAUUUAUUCGUUGAAUUUGUGAAGGCGAAUUUCUUGGAUAAUUCUCUAAGUAAGAGAACACCCCGGAUCCCACCAGUAUGAUGGGCGGAUUCGGGAGAACGUCUUCGAUAAAAGGUUAUUCGUUCGACAUUUUUUAUCUCACGCCGUGCAUUUCAUUUUACCUUACACUUGCAUUUCAUUUUAAAAUCAAACAAAAUAAUUUAAUAAAAUUGGAGAUAUAAUAAGCAAGUUAUAGCUAAGGAAAUUAAAUGAACUUAAAAAAUAAAGCCUAAUAGGAUAAUCUAAAAAUAGUACCGUUCAUGGAACGGGCGUUUCAGGGGUGUUAAUCUUUCUCCGGGCGUAACCGUACUCCCGAACCUAGAUCUCGAAAAAUGUAGAACAAUUUAAGAUUCUUUCGACGGGCUUAAAUCUAAUUAAAACUCUAUCGAUUAGAAUCGAGUUAAUAGAUGGCCAAUCACACUUAGUAAAAAAGAUUGGUAGCGACUCCUAGUUUUUAGAGUUUUCACUCACGUCUAGCGGUUGGGUUCCCGGACCUGCACGUUACGACAAUAUAUAAAGUAAAUAUAUUAAAAGAAAUUACAAGGUAAUUAAUAAUCAUAGCUUUAUGAAUUAAUUUAAUUAAUUAUAUGAGUUUAUCCUUAAUUAUAUGAAAUUAAAAAAAAUAACUAGGUCUCAAAACUAUUCUAAUCUCACAACUUCUCUUAAGCUUUGCAUAUUAUAAGUUUAUAUAAACAAAGGUAUAUAUAUUAUAAUUAAUAAUUUUAUAUGUUAUAAUUUUUUUAAUUUUACUACAAAAUAGAAAGUAAAUNAUAUUUCUCUUACAUAUUCUAUAUAAUUUACUAAUGAUUAAAUUAAUAAAAACACAAAUAAUAAAAUUUAAAUUUAAAUAAUCAAAAACAAAUAUCUCAAAUAUAACUAAUAGAAAGUAAAUAUAUUUAUAUUUAAAGUACAUAUACAUACACACACAUUAAAAGUAUUUUAAUAUAUGUAUAUAUAUAAUAGUAAUUAUAUUCCUUAUAAAUGAAUCUAAUAUAUAUAAAGUAUAUAUAUUAAAAGACAUUACAAGUUAAUUAAUAAUUAUAAUUUUAUGAAUUAAUUUAAUUAACUAUACGGAUUUAUCCUUAAUUACAUAAAAUUAAAAAAAAAACAUAACUUGGUUUCAAACUAUUCUAAUCUCACAACUUCUCUUAAGCUUUGCAUAUUAUAAGUUUAUAUAAACAAAAGUGUAUAUAUUAUAAUUAAUAAUUUUAUAUGUUAUAAUUUUUUUUAAUUUUAAUACAAAAUAGAAAGUAAAUAUAUUUAUAUUUAAAGUGUAUAUAUACUAAAAUUAUUUUAGUAUAUAUAUAGUAGUAAUUAUAUUUUUUAUAAAUGAACUCAAUAUAUAUAAUGUAUAUAUUAAAAAACAUUUCAAGUUAAUUAAUAAUUAUAGUUUAAUAAAUUAAUUUAAUUAACAUAUAUGUUUGUAUUUAAUUAAUGAAAUUAAAAAAAAUAGUUAGAUUCAAAAACUAUUCUAAUCUCAAAGACUCUCUUUAAGUAUAUAUAUUAUGAGUUAUAAUUUUUGUAAUAUUAAUACAAAGUAAAAAGUAACUAUAUUUAUAUUAGAAGUAUAUAUAUAAUAGUAAUUAUAAUCCUUUGUAAUAUGAUAUGAUAUUCAUAUUAUUUAAACAUAAUUUAUAAUCUAAUAAUUUUUUAAUUGAAAUAUUUUAAUGUAAUCACAUUAAUAAUUUGAGUAACCAGACUUUUUAAUAUAUUUGUCAGCUUUUAAUAAAUAUAUUAAUGUUGAUUAUUUUUAAUUUAAUCAUUUAAAUAACAACAAAAUAUAUAUAAACAGGUAUUGGGAUCGAGUUCGAGGUGGGUACCCGUGUAACUUGAAUAGUAACAUAAUCGGGUUCAGGUAGCGGGUACCCAAGAGGUACUACCCCGAACCUGAUAUGGGUAGUGAAAUCACUAUCCGAACCCGUCCUAAACUUGAUUAUAGGGUAUCUUAAUCCGAUAUAACCGGGUUGGAUACCUGUGGGUAUCUUAUAAUAGGGUAUGCAUUGCCAUCCCUACACAUUAAUAUGUAAUUCCAAUACAGUGAACAUGAUGUGGAACAUGGUGGACUUUUUCUUUUUCCUCUCUUUUUCUUUCAUCGAAUGAUAUGAAUCAGUGACAUAGUAUUAGUUGGAGCUACUAUCUUAAUAAAGCUGCAUAGUACUUUGUGAUAGCUAUGCUUUUGGACCCCUCUUCCCUUUACCAUUCUCCAGGUUGAUCUACUUGAGCCAGUUUCGCAUUUCUUAGAUGCUGCCCGUGAAAGUUUGUCUCAGGAAUAUUUUGUAGCCUCUGAUGCGCACAAAGCAAAUAAUUCUACUGUGUCUCCCUUCAGGUCAUGUACUUCAAGACUACAUUCACACAUGGAUACAUGCUUCUUGAUGUCUUGAAGUAUUCAUAACUAUGGUUAAGUCCAUGUAAGCUAUGUAUUUCCAACUUUUCACGUUUCCCUAUAUUGCGGAUGUAGCCAUGUAAUUUGCACCUCAAGCAGGCAUGUUGUUUGAGUACAAUCCUGGGAAAAACUUACAGAAGUUAAGGUAAACAUGUUAAAUAUGGGUUUGCAUCUGGAACUCACAUUUGAAUCUGGGCAACAUAGUCUGUACUCUGUAGGCGGCUGGAUUCAAGUAAAUUUUUGCAAACAAUUAUUUACUCUUUUGUGUGUGUUGGGGUGGGGGGGGUAGGGGACAGCAUAUGGGCUAGUGAAUGAGCCCUUUAAGUUGGUGAUAUAUGUGCUUGUCUUCUUCUGAUGCUUCUGGCUGUUAAAUUUUACUUUAUAAAACAGAAAUUUGACGACCAUUUUUUUUUUGUCUUUUGCUUUUUCAGGAGUUCACCCCUGAUGCUGGAAGGUACAAUGUUAUUUGGAUUCAGUGGUGCAUUGGUCAUCUCACAGAUGACGACUUUGUCUCAUUUUUUAAGAGAGCAAAGGUGAAUAAAUCUUCUUCUUGAGACAGAACUUACUUUUUAUUUGACAUGUUGUGCUGUGUGGAAGUGCAUGGAAAGAUCAAAAUUAUGUAUUGAAAUUUUCUUGCCUGCUGUCUACUAUACAUUCGAAGUGCCUUGUUCUGAUUUUUGAAUUAUGAACUGUCAGAUCAUUGCAAUGGUAUCUCAAAUUUUCCUUUUCCAAAUUUAUUGCUUCAUGCUUUCUCUCUUGUAACGUCUUUUAAACCUUCUCACAGCUAUAGGAAUUAAGGUUGUCUAGAGAACACAACAUAGCAAACACCGGAAGGAUGAUAUCGUCAAACUCUUUUUUCUUUUUGCCCUUUCUUUUUGCAAUGUGUCGUGUUGUUCAUUCUAUUCUUCUUCCUGCUAGGUAACUAGCGCAUUUGAUGGGUUAGUUUGGAGUGUUUGGGCCCAUCCCUAGCACCACAGAAACAAGGCUGGAUAAUACUUUAUAAUUCAUACAGCUAUUUUGCUAUCAUCCGUUUUCUCACCUUACAAAAGCUUGUGACCAAAUUUUGUUGUGCCUUGUGCAUUGAAAUAAGAUUUAAGAAAUGAUGGUAGGUUGACUUUUGUCCCUUAAGUUUGUAAAUGGUGGGAAAUAAAAUUAAAUCUAGAAAGUGCCAUAUUCAUUUCAUUUUUUCCAGGUGCUGUUAAGCAUAACCUUUUACACUGCCUUCAAUGUAUUUUCAUCAAAAUUAAGCAAAACAUAUUAAUAAUAAAAAUCUCCAACAAGGAAAUUCUUGGGCAUGUGUAUGUGUAUGUAAUUUGGAGACCUGAUCUCUAAGUUGUGUCCUGGAAAGAACCUUGUUGAAAAUUAUUAUUCUUGCAUAUAUGAUUUAAAAGAUUCUAAUUUGCAUUUUAAUUUGAUAUACUAAUGAAUUUGUUGAUUCCAGGUAGGCCUUAAACCUGGUGGAUUCUUUGUCCUGAAAGAGAACAUUGCUAGAAACGGUAUUGUCUUUAUGACUCUUUGAUUUUUCUAAGCAUGUUUGUUUGCCCUCCCUCCCUCUCUCCCUCCCCUUUUUAAGAAGUGCUCAAGUUUUGUUUAAAGUAUUCCUCAAACUUUCUUAUGUUUUGGUAUUCUGUUGUAAAUUUUCGUGAAGCUGUUUUUUUUUUUUGGAAAUGCCGCAUGUCAUCUCACGUAUGAGAAGACAUAAAGUUGCUUUUUUGAGCUGAUAUUACUUUUUAACUUCGUCUUAUUAUGUAAUUAUCUGCCCUCUACAACUUUGAAGUAAAAUAAUAGUUUAUAAUAAUAGAUGUUCAAUUAAAAGAUAAAUGGAUAAAGGAAUUUUUAAGCUCCAUUUACACAAUCCAUUGCUUGAUACUAAGGGAAGCAGCAAGUUUUUGUUUUAUGCAUUCCUCAAACUUUCUUAUUUUUUGGUAUCUUGCGGUAAAAUUUUCAUAAAGUUGCUUUCUAGAGCUGAUAUAACUGAUUAACUUUGUUUUAUUAUGUAUUCAUCUGCCCGCUACUGCUUGAAGUAUACUAGUUAAUGUUUUAAAUGUUUAAUUAAGGAUAAAUGGGUAAAGGAAUAUUUAAGCUCCAUUGUCUUAUUUCGUUGCUUGAUACCAAGGGAAACAGCCAAAAAGUGUUGCAACUUAUAAUUCGCAGGUUCAGGAUGAGUUUCAUCUACUCAAAUGGGUAUGGGGUAUAAUUUUAUUAUGCCACCUAUUUGGGACACCUUUUGGUAACACUGUCUAUACAACUUUCUUCACUGAAAAUUCAUGAUGUAGUGGGGAAGUAGAAACAAUAACAAGAAACCAAAACAGUGAACAAAACCAGAACAAAGGUUAAAAUUGAGGUAAAACCGAAGUCGUAACAAGUUACAAGCCAGUAAGGCCAAUUGUCGAGCAUCUUAAGGUUAAAUAAACAAGUCACUCCCAUCUCAUCUGUAAUAGAUUGAUUCAAACCAGCUAGAUAACGAGAAGUCAACUGCUCAUUAGUCUCUUUCAAACCAACCCUAGGGAAAGGUCGUUGAAACCUGAAUGAAAUUUCUCAUUCAACUCCAUUUAAUCAGCAGCGGAAAUUGCCUCCUCAUCUUCAUUUUCAUGUGUUCCCAAGUGUUGAUUUUGGCUUGCCUGGAUGUGUUUGCUGCUCGUCAACUCUCUUCCACCAUUGAAGUGCACGCAGUCCCUUCAACUUAAGCUUCACAAACAGCACCUUUCUUUGUUCUGCCAUUGGUUUCUACUAAAAAUAAUUUUCGAAACUAUCUUUCUGAUCUGAAUAAUCUUUUGCAUGCAUCUUUUUCCGGAAGUCAUCUACCUUAAUUCUAACUCCACCACCAUUGAAGUCUAGGCAUGUAACAAUCAGCCUUCCAAUCUACCACAAACAGCACUAUUUGCUGGUCGAGCAUUAUGAAAGGGGUUUUUAUCCUCUCCAUAUUCAAUUUCAUCCUCAAGAACACCUACCGGUAAACCGAAAGGGUCAGUAUUGCCUUGUGGAUUCUCCAUACAGGCUCCCAUUGGUUCCUGUCACUUUAAAGCUUGCACAGCCUGCAACAAAUCUUCAAUCAUACCCAUCAACUCAGCCAGUUCUAUUUGCCGGUCUUGAUUUCUUUUCCACGUCCGCUAACAAGUCCUCUACCACGAUUAGCCAUGGUUUAUAAGCUAAAAUCCUAGUUCAACUUUAAGAUCUCUUCAUCUGAUACCACUUUGAUGUAGUAUGGAAGUAGAAACAACAAAAACAAAAGAAAAACAAUGACGAAAACCAGAACAAAGGCUAAAAUUGAUCUUAAGAUCAUAGUAGGAACAAGUUAAAGCUGUCUAAAGUUACAGCAGCUUUUAAUUGUAGCCCUUCGAUACAAACAACCCCAUCUAAUCCUAGCCAUUCAAACUAAUUAAAAAUGAUCACAUGCUAAUCACGACACAUGACUAGAUAGAAAACAUAAUUACCAACUUUUAACUAAAGUAAAACAUAAUAAAAUAACCAAUUGGAGAAAAAUUUAAGAAUGCUCUUGCAUAGCCUUGCCCAACAAUUAAACUUGCCUAAGGCUUGACUUAACCUAGGACUUAAGUCUCAUAAUUUGCUUGCAUUCAACUCACAAAAUACUUGGAUUCGAUCAGAUUAUUGUUGAGUUAUUCUUGAGCUCAAGUGACCAAUCGAGUCUAGUUCAAGUGUUUAUAUUACUCAGUCAAGAUAGUUCAAGAGCGUAAUCAACUUUUAAUUUUUUUAAUAUAUUUUAAAAUUCCAUGUAUGUAAUACUCAUAUAAAACUAAAUAAUACAAAGAUCAAUCAAGUCCAGCUUGGAGGUCUCAGACAUAUGUACUUUCCGAAAAAAUGUUCAAGUUGAGCUUCAGGUCUUAGUUUUGUAAUUGAGUCGUGUCAUCUUCAAGCUUAUCAUUUUGUCAACUUGAUUUGGCUCAGUUAUGCACCUAGACUUUAACCAACUCAAACUGACUAAAAAGGUUACUGAAUUGAAAGUUGAGACAGGGACAACUCAAACACAAAGUAAUCUGGAAUUCUAAAUAUCGAAUUCUUAAUCAGACUCAACUUCCAUUUUUGUAAUCUGCUGUGGUAUCUUAAAUGUGCUCAAAGUUCUUAAAGUUCUUAAAGUUUUUGUAAUCAGACAGGGACAAUUUUGUAAUCUGCUGUGGUAUCUUAAAUGGUGCUCAAAGUUCUUAAUCAGACUCAACUUCCAUUUUUUUGAUUCUGAAAAACAAAACCACCUUCACUGGCUAAAAUAAAGUGGGAAUCAAUUCAGUAUGGUACAAUUUAUAGAUAUGGUACAUUUAUAGAAAUGCUGAAUCAUUUGUCACUGGCUAACAUAUUAAUUUCAAUUCAGACAUCGAAUUUUGUGAUUAGAAAUGAAGCAGCUGAAUAUGGGUAUUAAGUGGAAGAAUUGGUUUAGCUUUUCAAAAGGAUAGGAUAGAAGCAGAAUUAUGCUUUGAGCAAAGAGAGAAGAAGGAGCCACUACGAAGCUCGACUUGAACAUCGCAAGCAAGUAAAAGUUCUUUAAGGCUUUUAAUGCUCUUUAUUUUUUUUUAAAUGAAAUUGUUAACAUUGAAUAGUAGAUGAUUGGGUAGUAGAAAUGAGAGGUUGGUGUUGUUAAUGCUUUAGGGGACUUAAAUUAGAAAGUAGUAGACUACAGAACUUUUAGAGAAAUCUAGGGGGAAACAGCUAUAUAUGUAAAUUCAUUAGAUUGGAUUUGGUAUCAGAAGAUUUAAGGGAUUUAUUCAUUUAUUUAUUUAUUUGGGGGUAAGAUGGGCAAUUUAGAGGCAUGAGGGGUUGGGGGGGGAGGGAUAAAAGUCCAAAAAUUAUAAGGAGAAAGAUAAGGAAGGAGGUUAGUGGUGGGAUGCAGGCUCUGUUUUGGAGAAGUGGCCUCAUGACAGGAAAAUUCAGACAAGUUAGGUGAAAAAAGUUAGAUAAGGUGAAGAGUUGGACUUUGUUUAAUGUGCUGGGCAAAGAUGGUGUGUAGGGGGUAGAAGGCUAGGACUUUGACACUAUUGUUGUCAGAAGGGGCUUUAUGUGUUGUUGAGGGGGUGAUCAUGGUAGUGAACUUGUAACUUUAGGAAGAAUCCAGAAGUGGUAACAUCCUACCCUAUCGAUCAAGGAUUCAUGAACUGGAUUCAAUUACAGAUGUUAAGCGUGAAAUUAGUUUGGAAAUGGGUUCGGUUGCAACUCAAUUAGGACUUUGUACUGCAGCAAUAACCAUUGGCAUUACCUGUAAUAAUAACUAAAAGAUUUACUUGAGCUUUCAGUUCUUCAAUCUCGUCUUGAAAAGUGCUCAAUGCAUCCCUUGUCUCAUCACUCAGGAUAUUAUUCAUCUCGGACAGUUCUCAUUAGACUGUCUCAAUUUCAUCAAUUCCUUCACGGGGAACCAUUUGAGCUUUUACUGUGGCCACUACGGCCUCUGGCUCAUAUCCUCUGAUGGUCCUCUAGUGCACUCCACGUGGUCAUCAUUUGUACACUUUAAAUCAGCACCUCUCGCUCGUGUUCUGAUACUAACUGUUACGAACUACACUAUUUCGCCUAAAUAUACAAUAGUCUAUGCGGCACUUGAGUGGACGCUUCCACGCAAGUCAACCAAUACUCGGUUAUAUCUAAUCCAACAUUAAUAAUAACAACAAAUCAGACUAAGAGAACUCGUAUCAAAAUCAAAAGGCAUACCGAAUGCUAUAUGUGUAACCACUGAGUUAUAAAAAGGAAAAGUGCUUUAUUAAUAUAAAAUUAAUUACAAAGAGAUCGAGAUAGGUCAUCGUCAGGCCAUAGGGACAGCCUUAUAUGAUUCACUACAAAUAUACCCUUACCAAUGAAGCAGGCUAACAAUCCGCUGAUUGUUCAUUUUCUAUAAAGAGUUUACGAGAUUUUAUAAGUAUUCUAUUAAUAAUCAUUACAAUGCUUGAAGUAAGGAUAUUUCUUUUCUAAAAGAUCUCCUUUCUAAAAAUUUGACAAGUAUUUGUGAAAGUAUCACCACGAGCCAUUACAUUGUUUGAAAGAGGAACAUUUCCCUUAGAGGUAUAAAAGACUCAAGCUCCAAGAUAAUUCUACGCUAUCAUAAUCCGAUACAAGGUUGGCUCAUGACACAAUGGCCAGCUCGUUCAUCCUUGUUAUAGCCGUUAGUGCACAGAAAAAGUUUUCUGUGAUUUGCAAUCCUGUUUUGUUGGUUUUAUUUUUCCUAGGCUAGAACUGUGGGAGUGAUUUUGUGAUGAGUAUAAAUAUCAUUUGUAACAGUUGUUGCAAUUGAUUUUUUCCCUGAUCAAUGAAAAGUAUAUUUCCUUUCUCUCCCGCAUGACUCUGUUUUCUUCUUCUUCAUUUUAGCCUUCUUUGCAGAAAUACUUUUAAGUUUCUUAAAAUCCUUUCAGGAACAAAGCAAAUGAAAGGUGCAAAUUACUGUGUUUUGUGGAUUUGGUGUUUAUCAAUCACCAAAUGAAGAUUAUUUUUAGCUCACUUCCAUGGUCUCUUGCUGGCCUGGAGAUACGGUAUACUCAGGUUUAAAGCAAAGGAAAUUGUGUGUUGGUUAUGUUGAUGUUUGGUGCCUGAUCUUUGCAAUGAGGAAGCUGAAAUUACAUUGAAUCUGGUUGCUUGGGAUAUUUGUUUUACUACAGGUCUUAUGCGAUGGUCAUUGGGAUUAAUAUGUUUCAAGCUACUGGUUUUUCUUAUCCACUUUUUGAUGGCUAUAAAUUAAGUCUUCUCAAAAGCUGACUUGAUAAGAGUACUUCCAUCCAGUCAUGCACGACCAACUUAUUGCAGUGGUCCUAUGAUUUAAUCAACUGGAUUGCCAUUAAGGUUACUAUUUUCAAGCCAUAAGUUUUUUCUGCAACGUGCUUUGCAGUUCUCAUGUGUCUAUUUAUUAUUUGCUCCAUUGACAACUCUUCAUUAUCCUUUUUUGAUCAAAAAAUUUAAAUUUUAUUUUUUAAAUUAAAAAUGUAUAUAUAUAUAUAUAUAUAAAUUAUUUAUAUAUUUCCUUCUACUUUCUCAUUGCCACAAUUGGACUAUAAGCAGCAAGAAAUUUUCAUUUUGGCCCAAUAGGAGCAAGAACUGAAAAAUACAUGUUCUUGAUUUUCUGCAAAAUACGAUUUGAAUCAUGCAAGCAUAAGUGUUGAAAGUGUAGAAAGUUCUAACCCUAACAAUACGGAAGUGUAGAAAGUUUACGGUUGAUUUAAGUCUCAUAUAAUAAACAAAUUGCAAGUCUACGUCGCAAUCUGAUCCAUUAUUUUUUAUAGGGCUUUUUGUGGUUAGAAAUCUACAAAUAUAAAGAAAAAAAAUUGUAAAAUUGCCAAUAAAACUAAUUGAUGUAUCGAUUUAGAUAAGAUAAUUUUGAGUAUAGAAAUGCUUUUCGGUAAAAGUUGUAGUCUAUAAACUUAAACAAAUAUUAAAUCAGAGUGCAGGAACAAUUAGAAUACUAAUUCCACAUAAUAGCACCUAUAAAUGUGAAAUUGUAGAUCCAAGAAUUUUUCAACUAAUUUCUUUGUAUUCAGUCAAGGGUUUUUUUUCGUCUAAUUCUUGUUGCUGGUGAAAUUGUAGACACAUCCCUCUCAUUUACCCUCAUGCAUCCAGUCAUGUCAAUUGCUGGUAAAAAAUAAUUGUAGCGAGUUGUGCACGGUGAAGUUAUUGCAGUUGGCCAUGUGACCCUUCAAAUCGACAAGCUACUAGUUUUUCUUGUAACGUGCUUUCCAAUUCCCUUCUAGUCAUCAUUACUCAAUUGACUAUCUUUUGGAUUCACACGUCCAAUUUGAAUAUGCAGGACAUUCCUUGACUUUUGAUUGCUUUUCCAUAUUAAUUGACAAAUGAUACUUGAAUAACAUAUUCCAAUGACCCAAGAUAUGGGACUUCCUAGUUGUCAAUUGCGAUGUCCAAAAUUGAAGACCCUGAAACUAGUGCACUGUCCUGGCGGAUUCAGAUCACUACUAACUUCCCAAUUCCAUGAUUAAGAUCACAACUAUGCAAAAUUGAAUCUGGCUGGUCCCAUUGGGCUUCCUCUUUUAAAACCUAAGUUUGAUUCCAGUCCUACUUAUAAAUAAUGUUAAGAGAUUUAAUUUUAAUGAAUAAUAUUUAAAUUAAAUCAUAAUUUUAAUAUAAUAUAAUUUACAUCUAAAUUUAGAUAUAUAUAAUAAAACUUAAGAGUUCAAAUCAAAUUACACUCUUUUAUCUGACCUACUCAACUGUUUAUAAAUUAAUAUAAAUAAUAUUUUUUACCGAUCCCACUUUAUAUAUAAAUUAAUAAUCUACUUAUAGAUCAAAAUUUUAUACACACAUAUAUAUAUGACUCAAUUAGGAAGUUUUAAUAAAAUAUGACUCUAAUGUUACUUGUUUCGUCUUGAAAUUGAUAUCUUAUUGACUUUAUCUCUAAUUUUUCUUAGUGCAUUACAAAGGUCUGGUGUAGUGUUCUCGUAUGGUAAGAGAAAAUUAUGCAAUGUGAUGGUUGCUUGAGUGCAUCUUUGCACGAGACAAGCUCUAGUAUAGAACUAUCAUCUUCAACUUCAUUUUCUUUAUUAUUUCUCAUGUCGUUCUCAAUAAUUUGCUUGUCACUCAACAACUUUGAAGGUGGCUCAUUUUCUCCUUGGUAGUUUAAAAGGUACUCAAUAUCUAUUUUAUCACAAUACUUCAACUAUUUGAUUAGAACAUGUAAUUGUUAAAUUUGUCUAUCAUGUGAGCGUUGAUCCAAAUUUUUUGAAGUCACGUUAUCCAUACACCUAAUUUUACAAUGUUGAAAACAAUUUGCAAUUGUACCAUUUGUUGACCAAGCUGAGAUUGCAAGAUUCAUUAUAUCCAAAACAUUUAUCUUUUUUGGAUUUGAGAUUUCAAUUUCAUAACCCUCUAAAAGAUUUCGAUAAAAUUGAAGAUGAUAAUGCAUCUCGAUAGAAUAAUAAUAAUUUGUAAUUCGAUAAUAUUCGUAUAAUCACAAUACAGAGUACAUGUAUUAAGUUUAAUGUUUUGAGGAAAAAAAAAAGAUAUCUAGAUAAAUUAAUUUUUUAUUAAUUAAUGUAUAAAUUAAUAAAUUAUUAAUUUAUUAAUUCAAUAAUAUCUUAAUUAAUUAAUAAAUUUUCAUGAUUCCAAAGGUAUUAAUUUAUAGAGAUUUUAUUAUUGUAUUUUAAGCAAGUGUUAGAUUCCUUUGUUUAACAUAUAGAUUAAUAAAAGAAGGAAAGCAAAGAUUGGAUAUCAAGCUUAUAUUGACAAUAUUCCUUUUUACUUUCUCAUUGCCAUAAUUGAACUAUAAGCAGCAAGAAUUUUUCAUUUUGGCCCAUAAGGAGCAAGAACUGAAAAAUACAUGUUCUUGUUUAUUGCAAAAUACGAUUUGAAUCAUGCAAGCUAGUAAUGAACAACCACUAGUUUCGGGCCUAAAGAAACCCAGAAUAGGCUAAUCAAAUAUUAUGCAAGAUAAAUAAUCAAUUGUAGUUCCGUCAGUGGAGCUAUUAAUUAUGCCAGCGAUCGCCACAUCACACUGAAUUUUUACUUGUUGAUGUUCCAUAACAGUGUAGGCAAUCUUCCAUAAGAAUCUGCUAGGACCUCUCAAUCUCUCUGAUCUGGUUUCUCCUAAAACAGAAUGUGUUGCUUGGCACCACUGUACAUGUUGAAGCUGCCUUUAUAAAUUAUGAUAGCAGAGGGGAAAAUUACGACAACCGACCCAUAGGCAGGUCUAAUACUGUGUUCAUAGAAAGCAAAAGCACGAAGUAGGUUGACUGUUUUGGUUCCUAUUUGACGUCACAUAUUCAAAUCCAAUCCCUUUCACACAGUUUUUUCUCUGAUCCUUAGCUCACGUUACCCCCUUUUCUCAAGGUUUUUAAGUUCUAACCCUAACAAUACACUAGAAGUGUAGAAAGUUUGUGGUUGACAUGAGUCUCAUAUAAUAAACAAAUUCUACCGUUCAACCCAAAUUGCAAGUUUACAUCGCAAUCUGGUCUUUUGGUCUUUUGUUUUCAAUAGGACAUUUUGUCGUUAGAAAUGAUCUACCGUCCAACCCAAAGUAUAGGUUUACAUUGCAGUCUUGUCCAUUGUUUUCAAUAGGGUAUUUUGUGAUUAGAAAUCAACCGAUAUAAAGAAAAGACAUGUAAAAUACUGUUAUCUAUAUACAGCAAGAAGGAUUACUAUGAGAUAUUUAUAAAAGAGAGAUAGCCGUUGAUUCACUCUACGCUAAUUUUUAUUUAAUAAAUUAAUAAAAUAAUAAAAAUGAAUAUAAAAUAAGAUAAUAAUAAAAGCACAUAAAAAAUAGUAUCUACAGCCUCUUCCUUCAAUCAUCUCUCUCCAUCUGCCAAAAUUUCUUUCUCUGUUUGAGAUGGAUAUCAAGUCCAUCCUUCAUGAACACCACUUGCUCUGUGAUGAAUAUGAUGAAUCACGGGGACUUUGUGAUAUGUGCAAUCAGGAAAUUUGUGGUAUGGCUUAUUGUUGUGAAAGAUGCGAGUUUUCAUUGCAUGAUUCUUGCGUUCAUCAACAGCUACCUCCUCAGAUAAGUGCACAUCCUUGCCAUCCCCAACACAAUCUUUCUCUCGUAGGGUCAAAUCACAUGGAUUACAUAUGUGAUAAAUGUUUCAAUCUUUCUCGAGGCUAUAGAUAUCAUUGCAAAGAGUGUCAUUUUAGCCUUGGGUAUCAAUGUGCUUUUUCAACUAAUGAUGAGAAAAAUAGACUCAAUGGCGAGACAUUUAAAAAAAUUGGUGGUUUUACCCUCUUUAAUUAUAGGAGAGUGAGAAAGUAUGAGUAUAUAUGUAGUUGGUGUGAGAACCAUUUGUCUGGAAUGUCUUAUGCUUGUUUUGACAAUGGUGCUUAUACCUGCUUCCACGAUUCCUGCUUAAUCAAAUUGCCUCCCAUAAUAUUCAAACACUCAUUUCAUCCAUCACACCCUCUUCAAUUAUGCAACAGUCACUUUGAUAAUGGGUUGUGCAAUGCUUGCAACCUACCAAUAUGGGAGUUCAGAAAAGCCUACUGUUGUAGAAAAUGUAAAUUUCACCUUCAUGUUCGUUGUGCUAAACUACGACCCAGUCUCAAGGUUGAAUUACAUGAGCAUGAUCUUACCUUUUUUCGAAUAAAAGCUAAUAGCGCAACCCACCUAUGCAGGGUAUGUGGUUUUAAUUUUGAUGCUAUAGGGGACGAAAGUGCUUUUUAUCGUUGUGUCCAUUGUAAUUUCAAUUACCAUUUCAAAUGUCUUACAAUACCACAUUCUACUUCGCACAAGUAUCAUAGGCAUGAUCUGAUGCUUAUGGAUUCAUUUAUAGAAGAUGUUUCUGAAGAAUAUUAUUGUGAUAUAUGUGAAGAAGAAAGAAAACCCAAGCACAGUGUUUAUUGUUGCAAGAAAUGCAAAUUUAUUGCUCACAUCGAAUGUGCACUCAAUAAGGUAAGGAGACAUUUACUCUCUCUCUGAAGAAAUUUAAUAAAUGUUUUUUUCAUUAGAUAAACUAUUAAUUAUUUGAUCAUAGGUCACAUAUAAUGUGCCCCUUAGAAAAUUUUGAUGCUAAUAUUUUUACUUCCCUAGGUUGUGGAUACGAAACUUGAUCAAAGUUCGACCUCUAGUCUGUUGGAUAGUGAAGCUUCAACAUUGAAGGUGAUGGAAUUGGAUCUUUUAUAUUGAUAUUAUUAUGAUGUUUUCACUUGCCAAUAAUUUGUUUUUUUGAAGUUUACAUCGCUUAAGGUCUUCUAUUCCUUGGAUUUAUAUAUUAUAAAGAUUGUUUAGUAAUAAACACCAUUUACAUUUUUGAAUAAAAUUCAAUGAAAAAAAACUAAAAAAUGUAAAUAAUAUAAGUAAAAAACCUCUACUUAUGUAGCAGUAUUCAAAAUUGAUUUGGAGACGGCUUUAGUCAAAAUAUUGAAUGUUGAAUAAAUUAAAAACACUUACGUGCAUCAUGUUAAUUUAUGAACAUAUAUAUUUGAUUAUUUAAUUAUUGCUUCUAUAUUUUAGUUUUAUCUUAAAUUUUCAUUUCUUGUACUUUUUAAACAAAAAUAAAGAGUAAAUUUUACUAUUAAUCUUGACCUAUUUGUAAUUUUUUGUUUUCAUUCAUCCAUUUUGAAUUUAUUUCAAAUCCAUUUGUAUAUUAACAUGCCAAUAAAAUAUAGAUGGAAUUUGUCACGUAAAUUUCACAUAUUAUGUGAAUUAUGUGAAUGUAGUCACAUGGACGUAACUGUAGUACUUAGAUGGCAAUUCCGUUCCAUAUUUAAUAGUGUAUUGAUGGAUAGAUGAAAUUAAAAUAAUUUCAAAAAGACAUAAAUGGAAAAAUUCGAGUUUGUUUAGUCAUGGAUGAAAAUAAAAUUAUGACAAUGUUAUAAACUAAGGAUGCACUUUACCUAAAAAAUGGAGGAAGAUUAAUAACUUUCUUCACUCAACUUGGUCGUGCAGGUGCAGAUUGAACAUUUUGAUCAUCAACAUCCCUUAAGCUAUAAUGGGGCAAUUGAACAGAAUGAAAGUCUUCUUUGCAUUGCUUGCCGCCAAGAAAUUUUUGAUCAACACUAUGCUUGUGAAGAUUGUAAAUACUACUUACAUGAAACGUGCACUACAUUGUUGUAUGAGGUGUCACACCCUCUUCAUUGCCAGCAUCCUCUCAAGCUUGUCACGGAUAUAGUUGAAUUCACAUGUCAUGGAUGUAGGGAACAUUCUGAUGGGUUUGCUUACAUGUGCCUUCCAUGUGAUUUCCACCUUGAUGUGAAAUGUGCUACCACUCCAAUCCCACCUAAAAAUGAUGGGCAAAAGCUGAAAGAGAUGGAGAAAGUUUCCAAGUUUUGCCCUUUCAACCAAAAUCAUAAGCUAGACUUCUUCAACCGUAGACCCAAUCUUAAAGAUUUGGCUUUGGAAUGCGAUGCUUGCAAGUUACCAAUCUUGGGUCCAGGUUAUACAUGUCGUGAUUGUUUCAAUAUCAAAAUUCAUGAAUCUUGUCUUGCAUUUAUUCGGGAGAUGCAACACACAUUUCAUCCGUUACACCCGCUUCAUCCACAAAUCGGCGAUUGGGAAAAUUGUUCUGCCUGUAGAUUUAAAAUCAUUGAAAGUAUCGGUUAUAGUUGUCGGCAGUGUGAUUUCCACCUUCAUCUUCAUUGUGCUAAUUCCCUGAAGCUGGCCUUAAAAGUUAAGUCUCACAUGCAUAAUCUUUAUUAUUUUGGACCAAAUUAUGAGAAAUCUUACCAAUUAUGUAACAAAUGCAAAAGUUACAUUGGUAAGGAACCUUUCUACUAUUGCGUGGAGUGCAAUAUGAAUUUGCACUUAAAAUGUGUUCCCAUACCAUGUUCAAUUAAAUCCAAAUGUCACAUGCAUCGUUUGACUCUUAAAGAUCAUUUUGUGGAAGAUGAUUCUGGAGAAUACUAUUGCGACAUCUGCGAAGAAGAAAGGAACUCAAAAAAUCAUUGCUAUUAUUGUGAAGAGUGUGCUGGACAAUUUGUUGCUCACAUCGAGUGCGCGCUUCUUAUAGUAAGUUUAUCACUAUCAUUUUCUCUGUAGAAUUUUUCUAUAUCAUAUUAUUGAAUUUUCUAAAGGAAAAUAAGAAUCUAAAUUACACAUCACAUGAUCGUAUCCACCAUCUCUUUGAUUGAUUGGACUUUAUUAAUGGUUAAAGUACCUCAUAGGUCCAUAUACUAUAGAUUUUUCGUUCAACUAAUCUUUUUUCCCAAAAUUGGUUAAUUUAAUCUCUGUACUUUGAGAUUUUAUGUAAUGGAGUCAUUUUACUUAACUUCAUCCAAAUUAACCAUUAGUGGUACUGGUGACGCACUGACAUGUCAGAUAAAAAAAAAUUGACCAUGUGGCAUUUUUUUCUUUCCUCCUUUUUCUUUGCUCAUAUGUUCAAAACUACAUUGUUUUAGAGUACUAUUUAAAGCGGAUUUAGUUUUUUAUUUUUCAUUUUCCUUUUUAUCCUUCUCUUUAGCUUUCUUCUCUCCCUAGAUUUCGACCCCUAAAUGCAAAUUCUGGCUAUCGAUCACUAGUAAUAUGAAAAUCUAAUAAAAAAUAAAAAAAUUAGUUUUUUGGCCUUAUUUCCCAUAAUUAGGAUAGCUUUUUCAAAAUCUAUCUCGAUUUUUCUAGAUCUAAAAUCAUAAACUUGUAAAAAAGAAGCUUGUUUCUUUCCAUUGCUGUGUCCUCAACUUGAUGUUAAUGAUCAAGGGUUGUGUUUUUCAUGUUGUAGGAUUUUGAAUUCGGAGAUGGAAAUUUUCAUGAAUUUUCCAUCUUGAAAGAUGCUGGCUCACCUAUUGAGAGUUCCUCUAUGGAUAAGUUGCUUUCCCAACCCCAUGCUGAAGUUUACUUGAACCAAAACAGAAUGGUAGUUAAGUCCUAUAUAAGUUAUUUUAAAGAUCUCAUCUUUUAUGCGAAAAUGAAUUUUAUUUUACGAAUAGUUGAAUGAAAGAAAAGUUUCACGAUUUUGUGGGUGCCAUUGUCGUUGCAGAAGUAUUGGGUGAAUGAGAAGUUAAACAAAUACUGCUUCAUGUUGUUUGCAAGAGAUCUUUCAAUCAGUUGGGUAGAAGAGCACCGUUAUUGGCGUUGGUCAUACCAAAAAGAAACAAACAGGUUAGCGUAGAUUUAUUAUCCAUUGAGAAUCCUUACUUCAUAGUUCUAGCUUGACAGCUUUCUUAAUCCACAAACUUUUGAUUUUGUAGCGAUGUGUUGAUUGAUGUUGUCGAACUUCUAAAGGUGUGUUGGCUAGAAAUGAAUGUGAAAUUCAAUGUAAAAAAGCUCUCACUGGGAACUUUGUAUGGAGUUAUGUUUGUGUUUAAGUUGACAGAUGAAGCAUAUGGAUGGGGAUGUCCAGUGAACUUUGGAUUCACUCUUCCAAAUGGGGACAAGGUUGAACGCAAGGAAAAUUUGAUGACCAAGCCGAGAGGAGUAUGGAUAGAAAUCCCUGUCGGAGAAUUUACAACUUCAUCCGAAAUUGUUGGAGAAUUACAUAUUUGCUGUCACCAAUAUGAUGAAUUGAAUUGGAAAGGAGGACUUAUUGUUAAAGGAGUUGCUAUUCUACCAAAGAAUUAAGUUAUAAAUUAGUAUUUUGUCAUAAUAAAUCUGAAAGUACUGUAGUUUUUUUGUUUGUUCAUAAUCUUGCAAAUUCUAAUAUGACAUGAACUUGAAAGGAACCAACUCAUCCAAUAAUCACCUCAACACUUGAACCAGUUUUCCGGUUCUCAUUAUACAAUAUAGGUUCCAUGCUAAAUGCAACAAACAAGCUCAUUGAUUUUUUUGAUAUUUUUUAUUAGAUUUUUUGACCACCAGUGACUAGUGGUUGGCUGUCGAAAUCUGGGUUUGGGGAUCAUAAUCUAGAAUAAAUUAUUGGAUAGAGAGCGAAAAAGGAAAGAAGGAACAAUGAAAAAAAAAACUAAAUGUCCUUUAAAUAGUAGGCUUAAAAUAACUAGUUUUGGACAAAUAAGAGAAAAAAGAAAAAGAAAAACCAUGUGAUCAAUUUUAUUUUUUUAGUUGAACAUGUCAACGUUAGCAUUUUUUGACAUGUCAGCUCGUCGUUAGCACCACUAAUAAUUAAUUUGGAUGGAGUUAGAUAGAGAGAAUCAAUAGUACAAAAUCUAGGUAAGAGGGACUAAAUUAAUCAGUUUUGGAUAGACAGACUAAAUUGAUAAAAAAAAAAAUCUUUAAUAUAGGUAUCUAUGAGGUACUUUGACCAUUAAUGAAUUCCAAUCAACCAAAGAGGUGAUGGAUAUGAUCAUGUAAUGUGUAUGUGUAAUUGAGAUUCUUAUUUUCCUUCAAAAAAAUUCAAUAAUGUAGUAUAAAAGAAAUCUAUAAAGAGAAAAAAUAAUUGUUCACGCCUCAACAUUUCCUGAAACCUUUUCAGCACUUUGAAGCUUUGUCCAUUAAUUAAUCGCCUUGUUUCAAGCAUGUUCUCAUAGUAACAAAAGUCUUUACACUGUAUAGAACCUUUUGUUUCUUUUUGACCUCCUGUAAUCUUGAGCAAGGCUGAUUGUGUAUAUAGUGGAGCAUAGUUGUGUACAUAGGGAGAUGCAUGCUUAAGCUACAGGGAUGGUUUUUGUUCACUUGCCUUUUUGUAUAUUGAUUUUGCUUAAGGCAUAAAGGUAUAGAAUUUCAAAAAAAAGAUAUAAAAUUGUGGUAUUAGCAUCUUGAUAGCCACAUUUGGAAUAAAAAGGUAGCAAUUAAAAGAAGCAUUUUAUCCUUAAUGAUGAGCAAGCUUUUUUUAGCCUUUUUCAUUUUUAUAUUCUCUCAAUAAUUUCCUUCUUUAAAUAAAUAAAAACAAUGUUGACAGGGCAUGAAGCACAUGCCAUUUUCUUGUUUUUGGUAUAAAGGCCUGAGGGAAUCUUUGUUUAGGUUUUGUAUUUAAACACACUCUCUCAUCAAGAGGCUAGUAGUUGAUCAUCUCUCUUUCUUCAUCUACCUAAAUUUCUUUCUUUGUUUGUUUGAGAAAACAAAGUAGAGACUAUUCUGCUAUGGGGAUAUUCUAUACUUGUUUUCGAUAGAAAUUUAGUACCUCCUCAAGUCCUCAACUGUCUUGGUGAUGCAAAAAGGGGGUUGUAGCUAGAAAUAAACCACAAAAAAUAUGCAAGCAAGGCUGUUGAUGUGAAUGAUUUAGCUUGGUUUGGGUUAUACAAGGCGUAACGAUUCUUUGAACGUCAAAUACACUUUUCUAUAUUUAAGCUUAUUCUUCAUAAUGUGUAGGAUUGUAGGGCAUUUUAUUCAAUUAUAUUUUGGUUAGAUUGUAGAGAAAAGAAAGCUAGAGAAAAAGACAACGGAGAGAAACAUUUUUUGACAAUGAUUCAAAAUUUAAUUUCAUUAAUAAGUUAAAGAAUUAUAGCAAACUGUCAAAAAGGUCAAAAAAAACUUUUUUCUGCUUCUUUUAUUCUCUCUUGGCUAGAAGAGAUGUGCAUUCUUGAACCAGUGAUUUGCAAAUAAGUGACUACUUUUCCUGUAUACCUUUGAGUUGAAUGACCAUGUACUUAUCAAUUAUGUAUAUUUCAACAAAUUUAUGUUAAUAUUCAAGUUUCUAAUAUUUGAACGAGUGUAUAUUUGAUGCAUUAAUAGUGUCUAUAAGAUACAUUGUCAGUGCAUUAAAUAUGAAUCCUAUUUAAAUAGAUUAAGAGUACAUAGUUAAGAAUUGCAGAGAGCUUAAUUUGAGAUAAUAGCUUUUUGUAUGAAAAAAGAAAAAGAAGAUUUGGCUUUUUUUUUUUAUUUGUUUUUGUUAAUUUUAUUAUGUCAGCUUGAUUUUAUGUCAACAACCUUGUCAAUUCAUUAUGGUUAGUAAUCAACAGUUUUAAUAACAAUGCUUCCUAACAUAAAGUUUAAAGGGGAAAAUAAGAGAUUGCAAACUCAAAACCUUGAUGUCUUUUAGGCUUUUCUUGUUUCUUUGUCCUUUUGUAUUUGUUGUUUUAGUUAUAAAAUUGUGGAAGUAGCAUCUUGAUUGCCACAUUUUCGAUAAAAAAGUACCAAUUUAAAAAAACAUUUUAUCUUUAAUGAUAAGUAAGUUUUCUUUGACUUUUUUCUUUUUCUUGAAAGACAAAGACAAUAGUAUUCCAUAAAAAAGGAUAUGUGUUAAUUAAAUUAUUUGAAGGCAAGAAAUUAAGAUUAACAUCAAUAUUCGCUUCCAAAUUCUCACUAUUAUUUCUUUCUUUAAAUAAAGAAAAAAAUAAUAUUGUUUUUGAUCAUUCAUUUGAUUAAUUAAUCUGAAAUUGUCGUUGUAUUAGUAAAAUGAGUCGUAAUCACAAUAUGCAUGCGAUGUGUUUUCAUUGUACAAGUAAUUAUUGUAUAACUAAAGCAAAAAGAAAGUAAUUGCUACAUAACAUUAUUUUACUUAAAGGGAAACAUUUAAUUAAAAAAAAGUAAUCCCAAACUUAAAACAUUUUUUAAACAAAACGCUCCCCUUCUUAAACUAAAGUGAGAAUCAAUUAAGUAUGGUACAGCUUAUAGAUACAUUUAUGCCACCAGUAAUGCUUUGUUUCAGAAUUAUCUUUCCUUUUUAGAAACAAUAAAGAUGAAUUAUAUAUUAAAAAAGAGAGGGAUAAGAGUAUUCCUUUACAACCAGACAAAAAAGACCCACGACUACAUCAAAAACAGCCAAUGGGGCUUAAAAAUUUGGGUAGACCAGUACUUACCUUAGGUCCUGCCAAGUAGUAUUAAAAAGAAAAAAUUACAAAAGGUAAGAAAACCAUAACAAAAGGACCUGUACAUAAUCUUUUCCUAGAAGAAAGAUCCAAAAAAGGGUUCAAUUAAUAUCCCUUAAAAAAAAAAAAGCAGUAUAAACGAAGAAACAUCAAUGGUUCCCAUGAAAGUAGCAGCGAGCAUUAUGUUGCACAACAAAAGUAAAUAAAGCAGGGGACAGAACACCUCACACUAGGUUAAUAUUCUUUUCCGGGGCUAGCAUGCUGUCGUUGAUCCGAAACAAAUCUGAUAUCAAUCACUUUUUGUCUUUCUUAAUAUCAAUCACUUUUACAUAGAAUUUAAUUUUAAUUUUACAUUUGAAUUGUUGUGCUAGGUUAUGGUCGUAGAGGGGUCAACUUGAUGUAAGUUAAGCAACUUGGAUUUACGGCAUAAAACUCAACUAAAUUCCAACAAAGAUUAGUUCCUAACCCAUAUAGUAAAUUUGCAUAUCACCCACAUUAUAAACUAAUCAAUUACUGAAAACAUGAAAUUACCACUAGUACGUGCUUGCUAAAUCUCAUAAAUAAAUCAUCUUAAUAAGCAAUAAUUAUGUGUGCGAGGGCUAAUUAUUGUAGUUAACAUUCCAUGAAUUUUACCUCAAAAUUUGUGUUAAUAUUCUAGGUUGUGAUCAAGUCAUAUGUUCAAGUUUCUAACAUUUAAAUAGACUAGGAGUACUUCAUGAAUGAAGGGGUUUAAUUUGAAGUAAUAGCUUCAAGUAUGGAAUAAGAAAAACAAAGAUUAUGCUGUUUUUUUUUCCUUUUUUUUAAUAUUUUCUUGUCUUAGGUUGAUUUUAUGUCAACACUCUUAUUCACUAUUUGGUAAAUUUGGACACGUGUAUUUCUGCAGUAAUGUUUGUGAAAUGGUUUGGACAGCUAUUUAUUUCAGAUGUGCUGAGAGGUAGUUUAAUUAUUUUUGUUGACUGAGUUGUAUUUUCAAAGGUUGGGCGAACUUGUUAAAGAGUCCAACUGGACCUAUUUAUCCCCAAAAUUGAGCUUAAUUUUGGCAUAUGGCAUGUGGCAUGCCGCAUUGCCAAAGCUCUUCAAGGAAGAGCACAAGCAAAACCAGAGGCAAUGCGACGAGUAAAGGCCAGAUAAAUAAGAAGGCUAACCAUAAUUUAACCAAAAACAAAAAUGAAAAAAGAAAGAAAGAAAGAUAGUACACAUCAUGUCAUCACUCAUCAAUUAGACAUCCCAUCGUCACCAACCCAGGGUCCUUGGUCAACUUCAUCCACAUACGUUGUCCAGUAAAAAUCACUCAAGUGUCUCGCAUUGCUCGAAAAGGACAAAAAGACUGCCACGUGCUACCUUACGGGCAAUUGCUACUAGAGUUCUCCACCGCCCGCUUGGUGUCGCCUGUACAGCCACAACCACAGCCACCACCAUUUGCAUUUCUCCUGAUUCAGAAUUCUUAUCACAUUACUACUGUUGGAAAAGUGUUUGACAAACAACUUUCACCUGGUAAGUUGGACUCACUAUAACCUUUAUUAUGAAAUAUUUUAUACGCAUCGCUUUUGGAUUACAAAGCAUUACAAGGACGAAUUAUAAAGCAUUUUAAUUCUCAUGGUUUUUUUUUUUUUAAAGAGUGAUUUUGGGUUCAACUUUAAGAAAUUGUCUGCCACUUGUUCAUUGUUACAAAACAGGGUCGGAAGAGAAGCAGCUUCAACAUCAUCCACUUGUUCAGUCAACCAAUAAUUAGCUGCUGUUUUCAUUAACCAAUUUACAUUUGAGAAACAACAAAAACAAUGGCAAAAGCACUUCUUUCCAUGAUCCUGGAGCAGCAGUUGGGUGGUUCGUUCAUUCCUCAAGAGAUAAAGCAUCAUGUCGGAUUGGCUGUAGGUCUUGAAGAAGAAAUCCAAAAACUCACCAGCAACUUUGACGCCAUUCAAGCUGUGCUUGAAGAUGCGAAAGGAUAAACCAAACAGGGCAUGCCUAACCCAAGGCGCGGAGGAUAAGGUAUACCGAUGUGGAUGCGGCCCAUAUCCUAAGCUGUUUCCCCACAGACCCCCCAACAGUGUCCCAUAACUCUAAUCCUACAUCCACCACGGAAGAAUAACAAGACUCCCAAGGAGCGGAGGACGGCAAUGGAGGCAGCUGGCUCCGAUUCCGAUGGCAGAGAAUUCAGGAACCCACAGGAAAUGUGGAGGGAGCAAAUUGGAGAUGCAGAUGAAGGAGAUAACCAUAAGAAGACUCAGUGGUACAGUGAAGGCGUUGCCUACUGGGAAGUAAGUCUUUCUUAACUCUGGUUCUUACAUUUGUAUGUGGGUACCAUUAGCUAACUCAUAGUAUAGUUAUUGGAUUCUUUGGUUGUGCUAAGAGAAGGGUGUGGAGGCAUCGGUAGAUGGGGUGUUGGGUGGAUUUGGGCAAGUAAAUGAGGCAGAUAUUAAGGGUAGUGAGGUUUUUCUCAAUACCCUUUUGCAUGAAAGAUUCGAUGGCGGUGGAAGAAAUCACCAUCUUGUUGCUCUUGGUACUUCUCUUUCACUCUCUGUGUCCUCAACUUUAUAUUGUUUUUAUGAAGUUAUAUACCCAUAUAUGUUCUGUUGAGGUAGUUUGGUUUAUGUUAUUAUUAUUAUUUUUUUUACACUAAAAAUCAACCUUAGGUUAUUAUGCGCCAUUAAAUGUGGAAGUGCAAAGUUGGUGAUGGGAUCCUACUUCAUUAGAAUGUAGCAUUGGUGGAAAACCUAAUUAACUAUAAAUUAAACAAAAAACAUAGUGGUGACAGCAGAAAGGGAUGUUGUGAUAGAUGAAAUUUUGAGUUAAAUAUCCGCAAUUAGUGCUUGAAACCGGAAACCAAUAUAACUUGAUAACACAACCAUGAAAAGUUUAUGUCCCAUAAUCCCACCCCAUAAAAGAAAAUAAAUAAAUAAAGAAGAGAAAGGCAUGGAAAUUUGCAUGAAUAUGCAUUUUCUGAAUUAUUUUGCAUGAUAUCUUCACCAAAAAUCAGUCUUAGUAGUGCAAGAAGCAUGUCAUGCAUUAGAGGUGUUGCUUUGAUUUAGAAUGCCAGCGUUUUAGGUGUUGCUCUUAUUUAGAAUGGUAUAAUGCAAUUGAGAAUUGGGUUUACUACAUGCUAUUUUGCUUAAUAAAAAACCAUCUUUAAGCAAUAUUCUUUUUUAAAUUUGGGAAGAAGCUUGCUGGGAGUUCUCUCUGUCUCUUAAGGGUUGUGUGCUUGUGGGGGGUGGGGGAUGGGGCACCCCUGGACCCAAUUUGAGGCUGUUGUGAGUGCUCAGAAUAAAGGAAAGAAAUUUCUGUGUUUAAGAUUGAAAAAUUACUUUCACAUUUCAUCAGCAGCGAAGAUGCUCUAUCUUGCUAAUAUUCUGGAACUUGUUAUCUUUUGAAAGGCAAAAAUUAGAUAUGUCUUCAGUAUGUUUUAUUACUAGGAGAUUGAUUCUUCGACAUGAUUAGGAUCUAUAAUUGCCUAUAUAUGAAGUUGGUCUUAAUACUUGUGAGUUGGUGGACUAUACUGGGGCAAUUGGUGGACUAUACUGGGGCAAUUGACUGAAAUCUUGCGAAGGGGAAUUGUAGGGGAAAUUAUUUAGGAAACUAAGCAGUUGGAGUUUGGCUUUAAUAUAAAGAUAUUUAGGUAACUAAGCAGUAAUGGUUUGGCUUUAAUAUGAAGAUAAUUAAGUGAUUUCCACAAGUUUUAUUUUAAGUAUUAUGAUAUAAGAUGCACUUAAGCACUUGGCUUUAUGAUUUGUGCAUGUAUCCCCUGCUAAAAGAGCUGGGUUUAAAUUACCCUCCCCUAAUAAAAUAAAAUAAAACAUGAAAAUUGAUGGUUGUGCCCUCAAACUUUUGCCUUCAUAUGGUUUAUGUUGGUGGAAUUAAAACAAACUCUUUUGAUGAUCUUAGUGCAGAAGAAUCUGGUACAUUUUAGGGCUUAGCAUACUAAAUUAAACUAUGUCAUAAUUCUCAAAACACUGCAAUGCUGACCUUUAUUUCAAGUCCAUACAUUGAAGCACUAGAAAUACCUGCAAAUGGUUCUAAAGCAUACUUAAAAUAUUGCUGCAGUACUGAUCUGUUUGGUAUUUCAUUUUUCUUGAUGUUUUUAAUUCUAAUUGAAAAUCAUAAAUCUAGUUGACAUUCUGAGCUCUUAGUUUCUAUGUUAAUUUAACAUACUGCAGAUUGUGGUUCUGGCAUAGGGAGAAUAACCAAGAAUCUUCUCAUAAGAUAUUUUAACGAGGUAAGGUCAUUUUUCUCUUUCUAUUAGCAUAUUUUUAAUAUUUCUGACAUUUACCAUCUUUGCAGUUAAUUGAUAACAUGGUUCAUAGUGCAUAAUUCUUACUACCUAAAGAAUUUCUCUGUUGUAUUUGAAUGAAAAGCAAAAUUGGGUAGUGCCUUUUAAAAAAUUCAUGCAGGACAUGAGGAGGGUACCCGUUAAUUUCAAGGUACCUAAACCUUAACCCUAUAAAAAAUCAAAUAUCUAAACUCUAUUAAUUACCUGAAUAAUUUUGAAAGUUACUACCCUAACCUUAACCUUAACCUUAAUACAUUCCCACUACCCUAUAAUUACCCUAACUCGUUUAAAAACCCGAUUAGAUAAAAAAUUUAUUAAAAUGUUCUUCAUUGGUACCCAAUUACUCAAACCCGAACCUGUAUUCAUAUACAAUAAUAUUUCUUCUACAUAGUACAUAUAAUUAACUACUAAUUAAAUUAAUAAAAACACAAAUAAUAAAAUUUAAAUUUAAAUAAUCAAAAACUAUAAAUUGUUUAUAAAUGAACAUAAUAUAUAAUAUAAAUCAAUAUUAUGUUAUUGUUUAAUAGUUAUUAACUUAUAUAAUAGUAAUGAUAUUCUUUAUAAAUGAAUAUAAUAAAUAAUAUAAAGUAUAUGUAUUAAAAGAUAUUACAAGUUAUAUACUAUAAAGUGUGUAUAUAUAUAUUAUAAUUAAUAAUUUUAUAAGUUAUAAUUUUUAUAAUGUUAACAAAAUAUAAAAAGUAAAUACAUUUAUUUUUAAAGUAUAUAUAUAUAUAUAUUAAAAGUAUUUUAGUGUAUAUAUAUAAUAGUGAUUAUAUUCUUUAUAAAUGAAUUCAAUAUAUAUAAAGUAUAGAUAUUAAAGACAUUACAAGUUAAUUAAUAAUCAUAGUUUCAUUAAUUAAUUUAAUUAAUUAUAUGAGUUUGUCCUUUACUACAAGAAAUUAAAAAAAAUAGUUAAGUUUCAAAACUAUUCUAAUCUCACAACUUCUUUUUAGAUAAUUAAGUUUAUAUAUAUCAAAGUAUCUAUAUUAUAAUUAAUAAUUUGUAAGUUAUAAUUUUUGUAAUGUUAACACAAAAUAGAAAGUAAAUAUGGUUAUAUUUAAAGUGUGUAUAUAUAUACACACACACACUAAAAGUGUUUUAUUAUAUGUAUAAUAAUAAUUAUAUUUUUUAUAAAUGAAUCCAAUAUAUAUAAAGUAAAUAUAUUAAAAGAAAUUACAAGGUAAUUAAUAAUCAUAGUUUUAUGAAUUAAUUUAAUUAAUUAUAUGAGUUUAUCCUUAAUUAUAUGAAAUUAAAAAAAAUAACUAGGUUUCAAAACUAUUCUAAUCUCACAACUUCUCUUAAGCUUUGCAUAUUAUAAGUUUAUAUAAACAAAAGUGUAUAUAUUAUAAUUAAUAAUUUUAUAUGUUAUAAUUUUUUUUAAUUUUAAUACAAAAUAGAAAGUAAAUAUAUUUAUAUUUAAAGUAUAUAUAUACUAAAAGUAUUAGUAUAUAUAUAAUACAGUAAUUAUAUUUCUUAUAAAUGAACUCAAUAUAUAUAAUGUAUAUAUUAAAAAACAUUUCAAGUUAAUUAAUAAUUAUAGUUUAAUAAAUUAAUUUAAUUAACUAUAUAGUUUUGUCUUUAAUUAUAUGAAAUUAAAAAAAAUAGUUAGAUUCCAAAACUAUUCUAAUCUCAAAGACUCUCUUUAAGUAUAUAUAUUAUGAGUUAUAAUUUUUGUAAUAUUAAUACAAAGUAAAAAGUAACUAUAUUUAUAUUAGAAGUAUAUAUAUAAUAGUAAUUAUAUUCUUUUGUAAUAUGAUAUGAUAUUCAUAUUAUUUAAACAUAAUUAAUAAUCUAAUAAUUUUUUAAUUGAAAUAUUUUAAUGUAAUCACAUUAAUAAUUUGAGUAACCAGACUUUUUAAUAUAUUUGUCAGCUUUUAAUAAAUAUAUUAAUGUUGAUUAUUUUUAAUUUAAUCAUUUAAAUAACAACAAAAUAUAUAUAAACAGGUAUUGGGAUCGAGUUCGAGGUGGGUACCCGUGUAACUUGAAUAGUAACAUAAUCGGGUUCAGGUAGCGGGUACCCAAGAGGUACUACCCCGAACCUGAUAUGGGUAGUGAAAUCACUAUCCGAACCCGUCCUAAACUUGAUUAUAGGGUAUCUUAAUCCGAUAUAACCNUAUAUAACAGUAAUUAUAUUUCUUAUAAAUGAACUCAAUAUAUAUAAUGUAUAAAUAUUUAAAAACAUUCCAAGUUAAUUAAUAAUUAUAGUUUUAUGAAUUAAUUUAAUUAACAAUAUUGGUUUGUUUUUAAUUAUAUGAAAUUAAAAAAAAUAAGUUGACAAACUACUUUAAUCUCACAAUCUCCUUUUAGGUAUAUAUAUUAUUAUGAGGUUAUAAUUUUUGUAAUGUUAACAUAAAAUUGAAAGUAAAUAUGUUUAUAUUUGAAGUAUAUAUAUAAUAGUAAUUAUAUUCUUUUUAAUAUGAUAUGAUAUUCAUAUUGUUUAAACAUAAUUAAUAAUCUAAUAAUUUUUAAUUUAAAUAUAUUAAUAACAUCACAUUAAUAAUUUGACUAACCAUAUUUUUAAUAUAUUUGUCAGCUUUUAAUAAAUAUAUUAAUGUUGAUUUUUUUAAUUUAAUCAUUUAAAUAACAACAAAAUAUAUAUAAACAGGUAUUGGGAUCGAGUUCGAGGUGGGUACCCGUGUAACUUGAAUAGUAACAUAAUCGGGUUCAGGUAGCGGGUACCCAAGAGGUACUACCCCGAACCUGAUAUGGGUAGUGAAAUCACUAUCCGAACCCGUCCUAAACUUGAUUAUAGGGUAUCUUAAUCCGAUAUAACCGGGUUGGAUACCUGUGGGUAUCUUAUAAUAGGGUAUGCAUUGCCAUCCCUACACAUUAAUAUGUAAUUCCAAUACAGUGAACAUGAUGUGGAACAUGGUGGACUUUUUCUUUUUCCUCUCUUUUUCUUUCAUCGAAUGAUAUGAAUCAGUGACAUAGUAUUAGUUGGAGCUACUAUCUUAAUAAAGCUGCAUAGUACUUUGUGAUAGCUAUGCUUUUGGACCCCUCUUCCCUUUACCAUUCUCCAGGUUGAUCUACUUGAGCCAGUUUCGCAUUUCUUAGAUGCUGCCCGUGAAAGUUUGUCUCAGGAAUAUUUUGUAGCCUCUGAUGCGCACAAAGCAAAUAAUUCUACUGUGUCUCCCUUCAGGUCAUGUACUUCAAGACUACAUUCACACAUGGAUACAUGCUUCUUGAUGUCUUGAAGUAUUCAUAACUAUGGUUAAGUCCAUGUAAGCUAUGUAUUUCCAACUUUUCACGUUUCCCUAUAUUGCGGAUGUAGCCAUGUAAUUUGCACCUCAAGCAGGCAUGUUGUUUGAGUACAAUCCUGGGAAAAACUUACAGAAGUUAAGGUAAACAUGUUAAAUAUGGGUUUGCAUCUGGAACUCACAUUUGAAUCUGGGCAACAUAGUCUGUACUCUGUAGGCGGCUGGAUUCAAGUAAAUUUUUGCAAACAAUUAUUUACUCUUUUGUGUGUGUUGGGGUGGGGGGGGUAGGGGACAGCAUAUGGGCUAGUGAAUGAGCCCUUUAAGUUGGUGAUAUAUGUGCUUGUCUUCUUCUGAUGCUUCUGGCUGUUAAAUUUUACUUUAUAAAACAGAAAUUUGACGACCAUUUUUUUUUUGUCUUUUGCUUUUUCAGGAGUUCACCCCUGAUGCUGGAAGGUACAAUGUUAUUUGGAUUCAGUGGUGCAUUGGUCAUCUCACAGAUGAUGACUUUGUCUCAUUUUUUAAGAGAGCAAAGGUGAAUAAAUCUUCUUCUUGAGACAGAACUUACUUUUUAUUUGACAUGUUGUGCUGUGUGGAAGUGCAUGGAAAGAUCAAAAUUAUGUGUUGAAAUUUUCUUGCCUGCUGUCUACUAUACAUUCGAAGUGCCUUGUUCUGAUUUUUGAAUUAUGAACUGUCAGAUCAUUGCAAUGGUAUCUCAAAUUUUCCUUUUCCAAAUUUAUUGCUUCUAGCUUUCUCUCUUGUAACUUCUUUUAAACCUUCUCACAGCUAUAGGAAUUAAGGUUGUCUAGCGAACAUAACAUAGCAAACACCGGAAGGAUGAUAUCGUCAAACUCUUUUUUCUUUUUGUCCUUUCUUUUUGCAAUGUGUCGUGUUGUUCAUUCUAUUCUUCUUCCUGCUAGGUAACUAGCGGAUUUGAUGGGUUAGUUUGGAGUGUUUGGGCCCAUCCCUAGCACCACAGAAACAAGGCUGGAUAAUACUUUAUAAUUCAUACAGCUAUUUUGCUAUCAUCCGUUUUCUCACCUUACCAAAGCUUGUGACCAAAAUUUUGUUGUGCCUUGUGCAUUGAAAUAAGUUUUAAGAAAUGAUGGUAGUUUGACUUUUGUCCUUUAAGUUUGUAAAUGGUGGGAAAUAAAAUUAAAUCCAGAAAGUGCCAUAUUCAUUUCAUGCCACCUUGAGUCCCUACUCUCCUGCUUCCCUUGCUGCAACCUUUUCUUUUUUUCCAGGUACUGUUGAGCAUAACUUUUUGCUCUGCCUUCAAUGUAUUUUCAUCAAAAUUAAGCAAAACAUAUUAAUAAUAAAAAGCUCCAACAUGGAAAUUCUUGGGCAUGUGUAUGUGUAUGUAAUUUGGAGGCCUGAUCUCUAAGUUGUGUCCUGGAAAGACCCUUGUUGAAAUUUAUUAUUCUUGCAUAUAUGAUUUAAAAGAUUUUAAUUUGUUCAAGUUUUGUUUAAGGCAUUCCUCAAACUUUCUUAUGUUUUGGUAUUCUGUGGUAAAUUUUCAUAAAGUUGUGUUUUUCUUUUUUGAAAUGCCGCAUGUCAUCUCACGUAUGAGAAGACAUAAAGUUGCUUUUUUGAGCUGAUAUUACUUUUUAACUUUGUCUUAUUAUGUAAUUAUCUGCCCUCUACAACUUUGAAGUAACAUCAUAAUUAAUAAUAAUUAAAAGAUAAAUGGAUAAAGGAAUUUUUAAGCUCCAUUUUCUCGUUCCAUUGCUUGAUACCAAGGGAAGCAGCAAGUUUUUGUUUUAUGCAUUCCUGAAACUUUCUUAUUUUUUGGUAUCCUGCUGCAAAAUUUUCAUAAAGUUGCUUUCUAGAGCUGAUAUUACUGUUUAACUUUGUUUUAUUAUGUAUUCAUCUGCCCGCUACUGCUUUGAAGUAUACUAGUUAAUGUCUUAAAUGUUUAAUUAAGGAUAAAUGGGUAAAGGAAUAUUUAAUCUCCAUUGUCUUGUUUCAUUGCUUGAUACCAAGGGAAACAGCCAAAAAGUGUUGAAACUUAUAAUUCGCAGGUUCAGGGAUGAGUUUCAUCUACUCAAAUGGGUAUGGGGUAUAAUUUUAUUAUGCUACCAAUUUGGGACACCUUUUGGUAACACUGUCUAUGUACAACUUUCUUCAGUGAAAAUUCAUGAAGGAAAGUUGACCUAGUGAUGUAGUGCGGAUGUAGAAACAAUAACAAGAAGUCAACUGCUCAUUAGUCUCUUUCAAACCAACCCUAGGGAAAGGUCGUUGAAAGCUGACGUGUACUCCUCAAUGGACAUACUAUUUUGCUUGAGUGAAUGAAAUUUCUCAUUCAACUCCAUUUAAUCAGCAGGCAAAAAUUGCCUUCUCAUCUUCAUUUUCAUGUGUUCCCAAGUGUUGAUUUUUGGCUUGCCUUGAUGUGCUUGCCGCUCUUCAACUCUCUUCUACCAUUGAAGUGCAGCCCCUUCAACUUAAGCUUCACAAACAGCACCUUUCUUUGUUCUGCCAUUGGUUUCUACUAAAAAUAAUUUUCGAAACUAUCUUUCUGAUCUGAAUAAUCUUUUGCAUGCUUCAUUUUCCGGAAGUCAUCUACCUUAAUUCUAACUCCACCACCAUUCAAGUCUAGGCAUGUAACAAUCAGCCUUCCAAUCUACCACAAACAGCAUUAUUUGCUGGUCGAGCAUUAUGAAAGGGGUUUUCAUCCUCUCCAUAUUCAAUUUCAUCCACAAGACCACCUACCGGUAAACCGAAAGGGUCUGUAUUGCCUUGUGGAUUCUCCAUACAGGCUCCCAUUGGUUCCUGUCACUUUAAAUCUUGCACAGCCUGCAACAAAUCUUCAAUCAUACCCUUCAACUCAGCCAGUUCUGUUUGCUGGUCUUGAUUUCUUUUCCACAUCCGCUAACAAGUCCUCUACCACGAUUAGCCAUGGUUUAUAAGCUAAAAUCCUAGUUCAACUUUAAGAUCUCUUCAUCUGAUACCACUUUGAUGUAGUAUGGAAGUAGAAACAGCAAAAACAAAAGAAAAACAAUGACGAAAACCAGAACAAAGGCUAAAAUUGAUCUUAAGAUCAAAGUAGGAACAAGUUACAGCAGCUUUUAAUUGUAGCCCUUCGAUACAAACAACCCCAUCUAAUCUUAGCCAUUCAAACUAAUUAAAAAUGAUCACAUGCUAAUCACGACACAUGACUAGAUAGAAAACAUAAUUACUAACUUUUAACUAAAGUAAAACAUAAUAAGAUAACCAAUUGGAGAUAAAUUUAAGAAUGCUCUUGCAUAGCCUAGCCCAACAAUUAAACUUGCCUAAGGCUUGACUUAACCUAGUACUCAAGUCUCAUAAUUUGCUUGCAUUCAACUCACAAAAUACUUGGAUUCGAUCAGUUUAUUGUUGAGUUAUUCUUGAGCUCUAGUGACCAAUGGAGUCUAGUUCAAGUGUUUAUAUUACUCAGUCAAGAUAGUUCAAGAGUGUAAUCAACUUUUAAUUUUUUGAUAUAUUUUAAAAUUUCAUGUAUGUAAUACUCGUAUAAAACUAAAUAAUACAAAGCUCAAUCAAGCCAGCUUGGAGGUCUCAGACAUAUGUACCCUCCCAAAAAAUGUUCAAGUUGAGCUUCAGGUCUUAGUUUUGUAAUUGAGUCGUGUCAUGUUCAAGCUUGUCAUUUUGUCAACUUGAUUUGGGUCAGUUAUGCAUCUAGACUUUAACCAACUCAAACUGACUAAAAAGGUUACUGAAUCAAUAGUUGAGACAGGGAGAAUUCAAAAACAAAGUAAUCUGGAAUUCUAAAUAUCCAAACUUAACAACCUAAACACCUUUAAAUGACAAGUGGGCAGUUAUACCCCUUUUGCAGUAAAUGCAUAAUUUCACUUGACUUGUCUUGCAUGUGGGGAACUUGUCAGUGGAGUUGUUCAGUGGCAACAUGAGUUUCACUGAGCUAUCACUUGUUUGCAGGAUUUGUUUUGGAUAAAGAAGACCGAAGCAUCACCAGAUCUGAUUUAUACUUCAAGGACCUAUUUCGUCGGUGUGGAUUGCACCUGUAUAAAAUAAAGGUUAUGGCGGUAAAGGGGUCAACUUGACGUAGUUACGCAACUUGGACUUACACCAUAAAAUUCAACCAAAUUCCAACAAAGAUUAGUUGCCAACCCAUCUAGUUGUGUCUGUUACACAUAACCUUUGACUUGCAACAUAACAAUCCCAAGAUGACACAUCUAAAACUGAUAAGUUUAUAUAGAUCAUGCACUAAUAGCCUCAUAUGUUGCCAUUGUCUUAACAACUAAGUCUCUAAGCAAACAUUCAAAAAUUUAGAUCUUGAAACGUUAAAUUACAAGGUCUAGCUAAAAAUCCAAUGAUAGGUGCGGGCUUUAGACGAUGAGAGAGGGCUUCUCCUAUUGUGAAGCCCUCGUUCCAUUGACUUUCAGAUGUGCCCCAAGAACAUAACUUCAGUGAGAGGCGGUGAGUGAUCUAUAUUGUUUGAUAAGUUUUAGAUAUCAUAUCAUCUUUUGUAUCCUUUUAUUCUUAUUUGAUGUUGCUGAGUUGAAUCGAUAAGGGUGUGAUUUCUAGUUGCAUGUUCGAAGUUCCCAUUAGAAAUGGGGGCAGGUUUGGUUUGCAAUCCCCCCACUUCAGUUUAGGGUUUUCAACUAUCAUAAUGUAUCCUUCCUUUUGUUAUUGAUUUGUUUAUUGUUUUGAAAACAGGACCAGAAAGGACUCCCUGAGGAAUUGUUUGCUGUAAAGACGUAUGCUUUAACAACUGAAGGGCCAAAGAAGGUUCUUAAGACAAGAUCCAAGGCGCAAGCCAACAGACCUGGCAUCAUCAAAUGAUUUGUUGCCUCUAACUUCUUGCAUUGUUGUAGGAGCACUCAAACUUUCUGGUGCUUCCUAUGUAAUUUAUUAGUGUAUUACCUCAAAUUGUUUACUUUAUAAGCUCUCUGUGGACAAAUUUUGUCCUUUUUCGUUUGAAGCUGUAUAUAUAUCUCUGAUAUACCUUUGAGUUGAAUUUAUAAACAUAUAUACUUAAUUUUUUAAUUAUUGCUUUCAUAUUUUAAUUUUAUCUUAAAUUUUUAUUUUUUUUACUUUUCAAACAAAAAUAAAGAGUAAAUUUUAGUAUUCCUUUUUACCAAUUCUGUAAUCCUUAGCCUAAUAAUAUUUUACACGUAUAUUUUUGUUCCUAUUCGCAAGACCGGCCCUCUCUCAUAUUUUUGUGUUAUGUUCCAAACGGUGCCGUUUGGCACCUUGUUCCUUACAACCCUAACUAUAAAUUCAUUCUUUUCUCUCUUACUUCGCUUCAUUUUUCCCCUUCUCUCUGAACCGUCGGUGGCUCCCUCUCACAUCUCUCUAAACCAUCAGUUCAUUUCCUCCUCUCUUUCUCUUUCGGCUGGAUGUAAUGAGAAUCUCCCAACCCCAGAAAAAGGAAAUCAACUUUCUCUCCCUCACACUGCCAGAACCUUCCUUUCACCCUCACAAAUCAUUCCCCAACCGAACCCAUUUCCCAGAUCUCUUUCUUUGUAAGCAUUGGAUUUUUGUUUUGGUGCUUUUUUGCCUUUUGGUUGUGGUAUCCGGUUGCUAGAUUAAAAAGUUAGAAAUUUUUUUGCUCUCUUCUGGAGAUUUUUGUUGAAAAAGCCCCUCCUUUUGUGAAGAUUUCUCUUUUUAUAUAUAGAGGCCGAAAAUUCUCUCCUUAGUAUUCGGUCGGCCAUUGAUUCUCUCCUUAUCAGGGUUAUCCUAAUUUUCAUUGAAUAAAAAUGAAAAGGAAAGAUAGACUUCUAAGAUAAUAAAAACAAAAAUAAAAUAAUAAUAAAAGUGCAUAAAAAAAUAGUAUCUACAACUUGAGGGAAUCUAUGUUUAGUUCUCAUAUGUAGGUUUAAAUUUUUUUUUCUUUGUUUGAGAUGGAUAUCAAACCCUUUCUUCAUGAACACCACUUGCUCUAUGAUGACUAUGAUGGAUCAGAGGCACUUUGUAAUAUAUGCAAUCAGAAAAUUCGUGGUAUGGCUUAUUGUUGUGAAAGAUGCAAAUUCUCAUUGCAUGAUUCUUGUGCUCAUCAACAGCUACCUCCUCAGAUAAGCGAUCCUUGCCAUCUCCAACACAACCUUACUCUCGAAAGGUCAAAUUACAUAGAUUACAUAUGUGCUAAAUGUUUCAAUCUUUCUCGAGGCCAUAGAUAUCAUUGCAAAGAGUGUGAUUUUAGCCUUGGGUAUCAAUGUGCUUUUUCAACUAAUGAUGAGAAAAAUAAACUCAAUGAUGAGACAUCUAAAAAAAUUGGUGAUUUUAUCGUCUUUAAUUAUAGGAGAGUGAGAAAGUAUGAGUAUAUAUGUAGUUGGUGUGAGAACCAUUUGUCCGGAAUGUCUUAUGCUUGUCUUGGCAGUGGUGCUUAUUUCUGGUUCCAUGAUUCCUGCCUAAUCAACAUGCCUAGCAUAAUCUUCAAACACCCAUUUCAUCCAUCACACCCUCUUUCAUUAUGCAACAGUCACUUUGAUUAUCGGUUGUGCAAUGCUUGCAACUUACCAGUAUGGGAGUUUAUAAAAGCCUAUCGUUGUAGAAAAUGUGAAUUCUACCUUCAUGUUCAUUGUGCUAAACUACGACCCAGUCUUAAGGUUGAGUUACAUGAGCAUGAUCUUACUUUUUUUCGAAUAAAAGUUAAUAUCGCUUCCCACCGAUGCAGGAUAUGCGGUUUUGAUUUUGAUGCUUCAGGGGAUGAAAGUGCUUUUUAUCGUUGUGUCCAUUGUAAUUUCAAUUACCAUUUCGAAUGUCUUACAAUACCACAUUCUACUUCACACAAGUAUCAUAGGCAUGAUCUCAUGCUUAUGGAUUCAUUUAUAGAAGAUGUUUCUGAAGAAUAUAAUUGUGAUAUAUGUGAAGAAGAAAGAAAACCCAAACAUAGUGUUUUUUGUUGCAAGAAAUGCAAAUUUGUUGCUCACAUCGAAUGUGCACUCAAUAAGGUAAGGGGACAUUUACUCUCUCUCUCUAGAGAAAUUUAAUAAAUAUUUUUUUAUUAGAUAAACUAUUAAUUAUUUGAUCAUAGGUCACAUGUAAUGUGCCCCUUAGAAAAAUUUUGAUGCUAAUGUUUUCACUUCCUCAGGUUGUAGAUACGAAACUUGAUCAAAGUUUGACCUUUAGUUUGUUGGAUAACAAAGCUUCAACAUCGAAGGUAAUGGAAUUGGGUCUUCUAUAUUGAUAUUAUUGUGAUGUUUUCACUUGCCAAUAAUGUUUUUUUUUUUAAGUUUACAUCACUUGAGGUCUUCUAUGAUUCUUUGGAUUUAUAUAUUAUAAAGAUUUUGUAGUAAUAAACACUAUUUAUGUUUUUGAAUAAAAUUCAAUAAAAAAAAUAAAAAAUGUAAAUAAUAUAGGUAAGAAACCUCUACUUAUAUAACAGUAUUCAAAAUUAAUUUGGAGAUGGCUUUAGUAAAAAUAUUGAAUGCUGAAUAAAAUAAAAACACAUACUAGCAUCAUGUUAAUUUCUGAAUAUAUAUAUUUGAUUAUUUAAUUAUUGCUUCCAUAGUUUAGUUUUAUCUUAAAUUUUCAUUUCAUUUACUUUUUAAACACAAUUAACAAGUAAAUUUUACUAUUAAUUUUGACCUAUUUGUAAUUUUUUGGUUUUCAUUCACCAUUUUGAAUUUGUUUCAAAACCAUCUGUAUAUUAACAUGUCAAUAAAAUAUAAAUGAAAUUUGUCACGUAAAUUCCACAUAUUAUGUGAAUUAUGUGAAUGUAGUCACAUGGACAUAACUGUAGUGCUUAGAUGGCAAAUCCGUUUCAUAUUUAAUAGUGUAUUGAUGGAUAGAUGAAUUUAAAAUAAAUUUAAAAAAACGUAGAUGGAAAAAAUCGAGUUUGUUUAGUCAUAAAUGAAAAUAAAAUAUUAUGACAAUGCUACAAACUAAGAAUGCACUUUACUUAAAAAAUGGAUGAAGAUUAAUAACUUUCUUCACUCAACCUGGUUGUGCAGGUGCAAAUUGAACAUUUUGAUCAUCAACAUCCCUUAAGCUAUAAUGAGACAAUUGAACAGAAUGAAAGUCUUCUUUGCAAUGCUUGCCGUCAAGAAAUUUUUUAUCAACACUAUGCUUGUGAAGAUUGUAAAUACUACUUACAUGAAACGUGCACUACAUUGCCGUAUGAAGUGUCACACCCUCUUCAUUGCCAGCAUCUUCUCAAGCUCUUCACGGAUAUAGUUGAAUUUACAUGUCAUGGAUGUAGGGAACAUUCUGGUGGGUUUGCUUACAUGUGCCUUCCUUGUGAUUUCCAACUUGAUGUGAAAUGUGCUACUACUCCAAUCCCACCUCAAAAUGAGAGGCAAAAGCUGAAAGAGAUGGAGAAAGUUUCCAAGUUGUGCCCUUUCAAUCAAAAUCAUAAGCUAGACUUCUUCAACCGUAGACUCAAUUUCAAAGAUUUGGCUUUGGAAUGCGAUGCUUGCAAGCUACCAAUCUUGGGUCCAGGUUAUACUUGUCGUGAUUGUUUCAAUAUCAAAAUUCAUGAAUCUUGUCUUGCACUUAUGCGGGAGAUGCAACACACAUUUCAUCUGUUACACCCGCUUCAUCCACAAAUCGGCGAUUGGGAAAAUUGUUCUGCUUGUAGAUUUAAAAUCAUUGAGAGUAUUGGUUAUAGUUGUCGGCAGUGUGAUUUCCACCUUCAUCUUCAUUGUGCUAAUUCCUUGAAGCUAGCUUUAAAAAUUAAGUCUCACAUGCAUAAUCUUUAUUAUUUUGGACCAGAUUAUGAGAAAUCUUACCAAUUAUGUAACAAAUGCAAAAGUUACAUUGGUAAGGAACCUUUCUAUUAUUGCGUGGAGUGCAAUAUGAAUUUGCACUUAAAAUGUGUUCCCAUACCAUGUUCAAUUAAAUCCAAAUGUCACAUGCAUUGGUUGACUCUUAAAAAUCAUUUUGUGGAAGAUGAUUCUGGAGAAUACUAUUGUGACAUUUGCGAAGAAGAAAGAAAUUCAAAAAAUCAUUGCUAUUAUUGUGAAGAGUGUGCUGGACAAUUUGUUGCUCACAUCGAGUGUGUGUUUCUUAAAGUAAGUUUAUCACUAUCUUUUUUUCUGUAGAUUUUUUUUAUGCCACAUUAUUGAUUUUUUAAAGGAAAAUAAGAAUCUAAAUUGCACAUCACAUGAUCAUAUCCAUCACCUCUUUGAUUUAUUAGACUUUAUUAAUGGUUAAAGUAUCUCAUAGGUCCAUAUACCAUAGAAUUUUUGUUAAUUUAAGUCUUUUACCUAAACUGGUUAAUUGAGUCUCUAUAUUUUGAGAUUUUAUAUAAUUGAGUCAUUUUGCUUAACUGCAUCUAAAUUAACCAUUAGUGGUGUUGGAGUGGCACGAACAUGUUAGAUAAAAAAAAAACAAAUUGGCCACGUGGCAUUUUUUUCUUUUUUCUUUAUUCUUCUCUCAUGUGGCAUUAGUGGUGUUGGAGUGGCAUUUCGAUUAUCCUAGAUCUAAAAUCAUAAACUUGUAAAAAAGAAACUUGUUUCUUUUCACUGCUGUGUCCUUGACUUGAUGUUAAUUGUCAAUGGUUGUGUUUUUCAUGUUGUAGGAUUUUGAAUUUACAAAUGGAAAUUUUCAUGAAAUUUCCAACUUGAAAGAUGUUGAUUCACCUAUUGAGAGUUCCUUUAUGGAUAAGUUGCUUUCCCAACCCCAUGCUGAAGUUUACUUGAACCAAAACAGAAUGGUAGUUAAGUUCUAUAUAAGUUCAUUUUAAAGAUUUCAUCUUUUAUGCGAAUAUGAAUUUUAUUUUAUGAAUAGUUGAAUGGAAGAAAAGUUUCACGAUUUUGUGGAUGCUAUUGUUGUUGCAGAAGUAUUGGGUGGACAAGAAGUUAAACAAAUACUGCUUCAUGUUGUUUGCAAGAAACCUUACAAUCACUUGGUCAGAAGACCACCGUUACUGGCAUUGGUCAUACCAAAGAGAAACAAACAGGUUAGCGUUGAUUUAUUAUCCAUUCAGAAUCCUUACUUCAUAGUUCUAGCUCGAGAGCUUUCCUUAUCCAUAAACUUUUGAUUUUACAGUGAUGUGUUGAUUAAUGUUGUCGAACUUCUAGAUGUGUGUUGGCUAGAAAUGCAUGUGAAAUUCAAUGUAAAAAAGCUCUCACCAAAAACAUUGUAUGGACUUGUGUUCGUGCUUAUGUUGACAAAAGAAGCAUAUGGAUGGGAACAUCUAGUGAACUUCGGAUUCACUCUUCCAAAUGGGUACAAAGUUGAACACAAGGAAUCUUUGAAGUCCAAGCCGAGAGGAGAAUGGAUAGAAAUCAUUGUUGGAGAAUUUACAACUUCAUCUGAAAUUGUCGGAGAAUUAGAUAUUUACUGUCACGAAUAUGAUGUAUUAUUUUGGAAGAGAGGACUUAUUGUUAAAGGAGUUGCUAUUCUACCAAAGAAUUAAGUAAUAAAUUAGUAUUUUUUCACAAUAAAUCUAAAAGUAUCAUAGCUAUUUUAUUUGUUCAUAAUCCUACAGAUUCCAAAAUGACAUGAACUUGAAAGGAACAAACUCAUCCAAUUAUCACCUCAACAACUAAUUUUCUAGUCCUCAUUAUACUAUGUAAGUUCCAUGCUAAAUGCAAUGAACAAGCCCAUUGAUUUUUUUGAUAUGUUUUAUUAGAUUUUUAGACCACCAGUGACUAGUGGCUGGCUAUCAAAAUCUGAGUUUGGGGAUCAGAAUCUGCGAUAGAAGGAUUGGAUAGAGAGCGAGAGAAAGAAGGAAAGAAGGAAAAAUGAAAAAAGAAAAAAUAAAUGUCCUUUAAAUAGAAGGCUUAAAAUGACUAGUUUUGGACAAAUGAGAAAAAAAAUAGAAAAGCCAUGUGAUUAAUUUCUUUUUUAGUCUAACACAUCAACGUUAGGAUUUUUUGGCAUGUUAACGCAACAUUAGCACCAAUAACGGCUAAUUUGAGUGGAGUUAGAUAAAAAGACUUAAUGGUACAAAAUUUGAGUGUACAGAGACUAAAUUAACCAAUUUUGAAUAGAUUGACUAAAUUGACGAAAAAAAUCUUUAAUAUAGGGAUUUAUGAGGUACUUUGACAAAAAAUCUUUAAUAUAGGGAUCUAUGAGGUACUUUGACUAUUAAUAAAUUUCAAUCAACCAAAGAGAUGAUGGAUAUGAUCAUGUAAUGUGUAUGUGUAAUUUAAAUUCUUAUUUUUCCUUUUAAAAAAUUCAAUAAUGUGGUAUAAAAGAAUUCUACAAUGAGAAAAAAUAAUUGUUAGCGUCUCAGCAUUUUCUGAAACCUUUUCAGCACUUCGAAGCCUUGUCCAUUAAUUAAUCAACUUGUUUCAGGCAUGUUCUCAUAGUAACACAAGUCUUUACGUUGUGUAGACCUUUUAUUUCUUUUUGACCUCUUGCAAUCUUGAGCAAGGCUGGUUGUGUAUAUAGUGGAGCAUAGUUGUUUAUCCCCACAUAGUUGUGUAUAUAGGGAGAUGUAUGUCUAAGCUAUAGGGAUGGUUUUUGUUCACUUGCUUUUUCGUAUAUUGAUUUUGCUUAAGGUAUAAAGGUAUAGAAUUUUUAAAAAAAGAUACAAAAUUACAGUAUUAGCAUCUUGAUAGCCAUAUUUGGAAUAAAAAAGUAGCAAUUAAAAGAAGCAUUUUAUCUUUAAUGAUGAGUAAGCUUUCUUUGGCCUUUUUCUUUUUUAUAUUCUUUCAAUAAUUUCCUUCUUUAAAUAGAGAAAAAAAAAACAAUGUUGACAAGGCAUGAAGCACAUGCCAUUUUCUUGUUUUUGGUAAAAGGGCUUGAGGGAAUCUUUAUUUAGGUUUUGUAUUUAAACAGCCUCUCUCAUCAAAAGGCUAGUAGUUGAUCAUCUCUCUCUCUUCAUCUACCUAAAUUUCAUUUUUUUUGUUUGUUUGAGAAAACAAGGUAGAGACUGUUCUGCUAUUAGGAUAUUCUAUACUUGUUUUGGACAGAAAUUUAGUACCUCUUCUAAUCUUCAACUGAAAUACCCCAUACUUUGAUAUGAUGAUCAAUAAAGUUGGCCGGAUGUCAAAAUCAGUCAUGAAGAAGGAUCAUAUGGUUGAUCCAAGUAGGGGAAACGAUGUCAAGCCUAACUCUAUAAAAUACUUGUCAUGACAUACAUGUGGUGGAUAGCAUGGUUGCAUAUUAGGAGAGUCCCAAAAAAUCGAUAAAAGUCGAUAUUGUACCUAUAGGCACAACAAAGUUGAUUUAAGCCUCGAACUAGAUCAAAUAGAGAAUUUAAGAUGAAAUUAAGAAUAUUAAAGUUCCAGAAUGGUUUAAUAUGGUGAUUUGGAGUUCGAAUGUCAAUUUGGAGUCAAACCGAAAUUUUCACUAUCUAGGGGCAAAAUGGUCAUUUGCCACCUGGGGACAAAAUGAGAAUUUUUAGAAAAGAUUUUUUGGCCCCAUAUGACUUAUUGAAGUAUGAUUUGAGGUUAAGAAGUGAAAAAAAUUUAUUCUUGGUAUUUUUUGGAGCAUAGGGGUAAAAUGGUAAUUUUACCACCCUAAGGGCAAAAUAGUAAUUUUCCACUACCAGGACAUUUGUCCAGCACAUGGUCUUCCCUUAUCCUCAUUUUGACCAGUGACUAAUCAUGUGGUGGAGAUAAAAAGGUUUAAAAUUUUUAAAGUUUUAAAAAUGGACCAAUGGAAACAUGCCACGUGUCAAGCAAGAAUACUUUAUUAUUUUUCUUAAAAAUCAGCCCAUAUUUAUCCCAUUUUCUCUUCAUGUGGCCGGCCACAGUAAGAACAAGAGAGGAAAGGAAAAAAAACACAAAACCUAGGUGGAAAAAUUGAAGAAAAAGUGUGGGAUUUCAAAGGAUCAAGCAAUAAAAGGUAAAAUUUCUUGAUUUUGACUUGUGAUCUACCUUUCCCAUGCAUUUCUCCUUAUUUUUCAUGGUUAAAUUUCAUGUUUUCAUGGUGAAUUUAUGGCUGCCCAAAUGGGUACGGAGAGAGAAUGAAGUUAGAUUGAUUUGAUUUUAAGUUAUGUUAGUGUUUUUAGUUAGUUUAGCAUAUUUAGAAACAAAACAACAAGAAAAGAAUUCAUUUUCCCCCAUCACCAUCAUUGGCUGAAUUUUUUAGGGAGGAUAUUGUGGCUGAAAUUGAUGAUAUUUGGGUGAUAUUUGAUGUUUGGUGAGGCUAUAAAUUAAAUGAGAAAUUUUGGUAUGAAAAUCUGAAUUUUUACCUAAUGUAUAGACAUGUGUGAUUAUUGAUCCGGGACUGAUAAAUUGAAUCUCAUUCACAGUCACUGAGGUAAUUUAGGUAUAAUUGGAGCGUAGAAAGUGAGAAGAAUUGAUUUGGAGUUAAAUUGGAGAUUUUAGCCGAUUAGGUCGAGUAUAGUGUGACUUAGGUCGAAUAUCACAUUUAAGUGAUUAAUCAGACAUUUUGCAUCCCAUCUCAUGCGUUCAUUUAGAUUAGAGAGCCUAAAAUAGUUUAUGAUAAAUUGACACAAUUUAUUGAAAUUCAUGCCACGUAUGAUGUAUAGGUGGUGAGCCCUCUAACAAGGGUAAAGAAAUAGUGCCCGAAGACCGAGAAUAGGAAUAUAUCGAACUCCUAGUAUUGUGAGUAACCUUAUCAUCAUUUUUAUUAUCUAAAGUAUGUUUUUAAUCGGUUUUGGUGAAAUUUUAUGAAAAUGAGUUUAAAUGGUAAAUCUUGAGUUUUACAAACAAAAUGUGUCUACACAAAAAGAUUUUAUAAAUUGUUUUAAAAUUGAAUGAUGAUUUUGAAAAAAAGAGUAAUUGGAGGCCACUUGUUAUGAAUUAAAUUUAUGAUUUAAAUCUAAUGGCUUAUGACAGUAUUUGCAUGAAUGAUUGAAUUGGUAUUUGUGUUGAAAUAUAUGAAAUGUGUUUUUAACCUUGAAAGGCUGUGAAUUAUAAUAAUUGCCAUGUCAUGCUAGAAUAAAUUUUAUUGAUUUGUGGAUUAUAUAUUAAUUAAUCACUGCAGUAGGGGGUCUUUGUGGAUCAGCCUUUUAGAAAGACACGGUAAAUCCCAUUAUAUUCUUACUUCGAACGGAGAGGCGCGUAGGGUAUCUCCUGGGGUAAAGCUUAGAGUUCACUUCAAGCCGAACCACCACUUGAAGGGGAACUCAGCCAACGCCAAGGAACGGCUGUGUUUUUUCAAACUAAAAAUAUGUUUUACGUGUAUAUGAAAUUUUUAACAGCCUUGGCGGCUCGAGUGUACGCCUCUGAUCAAGGUGUUAUCGAGUAUAUUUGAUGGCAUGAGCCAAGUGCUUAUGAAAGUCAUAAGCCCUAAUGAGAAAUUAAAUAAAAUACAACCGUUUGCAUGGAUUUGGAUGAAUUUUCAAAUUGCGAAAUACUUAAAAUGAUGGGAUAUUUUAAUUGUCUCUUUUUACUCGAUUUUAGCUGAUUUAAAUGAUGUUUGUUUACUCACUAGGAAUGUAUAAUCUCACCACCCUCAUUUCCACUCAUUUCCACCCAUUUCAGGCUCAGAGUAGGCUGUAGAUAGUUGAUUCCAUUGAGGGCUUCUAUUGGAUUAGCGUCCUCCACACAGUAGGUUCACAGUUUCUUUAAUUCUAGUUAUUAUGGGCUCACUUAAUAUUGUAAAUUUAAUAGUUUAUUGUGCUACAAUAUGAUGAAUUUAUUUUAUUUUUACGUUACAAAAAGUAUUUACGCAUAACUCCAAAAUUUCUGUUUAUAAGAAAAUAAAAUAUUUUAUUGAAUAUUUUGUUUUAUCUUCUUAUUAUAUUCAAAUAAUUAUAAUUUCAUUUUAAAUAAAGGUUUUAGAUGCCUAAACUUAUUUUUAAUUGUGAAUUAUGUGAUUGGUACUUGUUUACUACAUUUUUAACUAGUUUUGAAAUUUUCAGUGGAAAAAUGAACAAAAUGCCCCUAUGAGACAAAAAUUUUUAUUUUAUCAGUUUUAAGUUGCAAAAUAACUCAAAAUCCUUUAGAGCAUAAAAUUUGGCAACGGUUACUCACCGGGGGAAAUGAGAAACUGAUAUUAAGCAUUGCGGGGUUUCGGUUGGCAUUCUGGGAGAUGAGUACCCAUCGGGGCAUCGCGGCGGUUGUCACAGGCUCAAGGGUAGUUCCGGGUCGUGACAUCAACCAUCUUGGUGCUGCAAAAAGGGGGUUGUAGCUAGAAAUUAACAGCAAAAAAGAUGCAAACAAGGCUGUUGAUGUGAAUGAUAUAGCUUGGUUUGGGUUAUACAAGGCACAACAAUCUUUUGAAUGUCAAAUACACUUUCCUAUAUUUAAGCUUAUUCUUCAUAAUGUGUAGGACUGCAGGGCAUUUUAUUCAAUUAUAUUUUGGUUAGAUUGUAGGGAAAAGAAAGCUAGAGAAAAAGACAACAGAGAGAAACAUUUUUUGACAAUGAUUCAAAAUUUAAUUUCAUUAAUAAGUUAAAGAAUUAUAGCAAAUUGUCAAAAAGGUCAAAAAAAAAUUUUUCUGCUUCUUUUAAUCUCUCUUGGCUAGAAGAAAUGUGCAUUCUUGAACUAGUGAUUUGCAAAUAAGUGGCUGCUUUUCUUGUAUACUUUUGAGUUGAAUGACCAUGUACUUAUCCAUUUUGUAUAUUUCAACAAAUUUAUGUUAAUAUUCAAGUUUCUAAUAUUUGAAUGAGUUUAUAUUUGAUGCAUUAACUAUGUAUAUAAGAUACACUGUCAGUGUAUCAAAUAUGAAUCCUAUUUAAAUAGAUUAAGAGUACAUAGUUAAAAAUUGCAGAGGGCUUAAUUUGAGAUAGUAGUUUUUUGUAUGAAAGAAGAAAAAGAAGAUUUUGCUGCUUUUUUUUAUUUGUUUUUGUUAAUUUUAUUGUGUCAGCUUGAUUUUAUGUCAAUAGCCUUAUCAAUUCAUCUUGGUUAGUAAUCAACUGCUUUAAUAACGAUGCUUCCCAACAAAAAGUUUAAAAGGGAAAAUAGGAGAUUCCAAACUUAAAACCUUGAUGUCCUUGAUGCUUUUCUUAUUUCUCUGUCUUUUUCUAUUUAUUGUUUUAGUUACAAAAUUGUAGAAGUAGCAUCUUGAUUGCCACAUUUUUAAUUAAAGAAGUACCAAUUUAAGAAAUAUUUUAUCUUUAAUGAUAAGUGAGUUUUCUUUGACCCUUUUCUUUUUCUUGAAAGAUUGAGAAUAGUCUUCCAUGAAAAAAGAGUAUAUCUUAAUUAAAUUAUUGAAGUCAAGAAACUAAGAUUAGCUUCCAUAUUUUCACAAUUAUUUCCUUAUUUUAAAAAAGUAAAAAAUAAUGUUAUUUUUUAUCACUCACUUGAUUAAUUAAUAUGAAAUUGUCGUUGUAUUAGUAAAAUGAAUUUAACAUUAAUUAAUCACAAUAUACGCAUGAUGUGUUUUCAUCGUGCAAGUAAUUGUUGUAUAACUAAAGCAAAAGGAAAGUAAUUGCUAUAUAACAUUAGUUUACUUAGAGGGCAAUAUUUAAUUAAAAAAAAAUAAUUCCAAACUUAAAACCUUUAUCCUCUUAAAAACCAAUGAAUAGAGUAAAGUUAAUUCUCCGUAAAGUGAUUUGAUUUCAAAAUGCCAAAGGCCCUUGAUGCAUUUCUUUUUUUUCUUUAAACAAAACACUCCCCUUGCUAAAACUAAAGUGAGAAUCAAUUAAGUAUGGUACAAUUUAUAGAUACAUUUAUGUCACUAGAAAUACUUUGUUUCAGAGUUAAUUUUUUUAGAAAUAAUAAAGAUGAAUUAUAUAUUAAAAAAGAGAAGGACAAGAGUAUCUCUUUACAACUUGACAAAAAGGACCCGCGGCUACAUCAAAAAACAACCAAUGGGGCUUGAAAACUUGGGUAGAUUAGUACUUACCAUAAGUCCAGCCAGAGGCGGAGGGAAGGGGGGCUAAGAAGGCCCCGCCCCCAAAAUUUCAAAAAUUUAUAUUUUUUUGUUUUAUUUUAAAAAUUGAUAAUUUUAUCUUUAUUUUUUAAAAAUUUUAUAAUUUUAUCCUUUCAAAUAUUAAAAUUUUUAUUUUCUCAUUCUCAAAUUUAAAAUAUUGACUACGCUACUGAAUCCAGUCAAAUAGUAUUAAAAAGAAAACAUUACAAAAGAUAAAAAAACCCACCCUAUACAUAGUAAAAUGACCUGUACAUAAUCGUUUCCUAAAAGGAGGAUCUAAAACGGUGUUCAGCCAUUAUCCUACAGAAAAAGAGCAGGUAAAAAAAAAACAUCAAUGGUUCUCAUGAAGGUAGCAGUGAGCACUGUGAUGCACAGCAAAAGUAAAUAAAGUAAGGGGACAGAACACCUCACACUAGGUUAAUAUUUCUUUCCAGGGUUGGCAUGGAGUCAUUGAUCCAAAGCAAAUUUGUUGAUCUUGAGACACCUUCUUUGGCCAGCGUGUUAGCUUUUAUAUUAGCAGAUCGAGAACAUCUUCCAAUCUUGCCAAGUGUAUUAAAUGUUUGAAUUAUCAGAGUCCUCAUUCUUCAUGUCUUCCUUAAUAUCAAUCACUUUUACAUAGAAUUUAAUUUUAAUUUUACAUUUGGAUUGUUGUGCUAGGGUAUGGCCGUAAAGGGGUCAACUUGGAUUUACAGCAUAAAACUCAACUAAAUUCCAACAAAGAUUAGUUCCCAACCCAUACAGUAUAUUUGUAUAAGUUACUUGACUAAUUUACAUUGAAGAAGUAAAUUUGCAUAUCAACCACAUCAUAAGCUAAUCAAUCACUGGAAAUAUGAAAUUACCACUAGUGCUUGCUAAAUUUUAUAAACAAAUCAUCUUAAUAAGCAAUAACUAUAUGUGCGAGGGCUAAUUGUUUGAGUUAACAUUCCAUGAAAUUUACCCCAAAAUUUAUGUUAAUAUUCUAGCUUGUGAUUAAGUCAAAUAUUCAAGUUUCCAACAUUUGAAUAGAUUAGGAGUACUUCAUAAAUGAAGGGGUUUAAUUUGAGGUAAUAGCUUCAAGUAUGGAAGAAGAAAAACAAGAUUAUGGUGCUUAUUUUUUUAUCUUUUUUUUUUAUUUUCUUGUCUUGUGUUGAUUUUAUGUCAACACUCUUAUUCGCUAUUUGGUAAUUUUGGACGUGUGUAUUUCUGCAGUAAUGUUUAUGAAAUGGUAUGGAUAGCAUUGAUAGCUGUGGAUCACGAGACAUAUAUACACUUUAGAUAACUAUUUAUUUGAGACGUGCUGAGAGGUGAUUUAAUUAUUUCUGUUAGCUGAGUUGUUUUUUCGGAGGUUCAGCCGACUUCUUAAAGAGUCCAACUGGAGCUAUUUAUCCCCAAAAUGGAGCUUAAUUUGGGCAUGUGGCAUGUGACAUGCGACAUUGCCACAUCUUCUCAAGAAAAGGGCACAGGCAAAACCAGAGGAAAUGCGAUAAGUAAAGGCCAAAUAAAUAAAAAGGCUAAUCAUAAUUUAACCAAAAAAAAAAAGAGAAACAGAAAGAAAGAUGGUGCACAUCUUGUCAUCAUCCAUCGAUUAGACAUCCCAUCCCUCACCAACCCAACGUCCUUGGACAACUUCUUCCACAUAUGUUGUCCAAUAAAAAUCUCUCAAGUGUCUCGCAUUGCUUGAAAUGAAAAAAAAGACUGCCACGUGCUACCUUCUUGGCAAUUGCUACCAGCGUUCUCCUCCUUCCGCUUGGUGUCGCCUGUACAGCCACAACCACCACCACCACCACCAUUUGCAAUUCUCCUGAUUCAGAAUUCUUAUCACAUUACUACUGUUGGAAAAGUGUUUGACAAGCAACCUUCAGCUGGUAAGUUAGCUUCACUUUCACCUUUAUUAUGAAAAAUUUUAUACGCAUCGCUUUUGGAUUACAAAGCAUCCUGGUCAAAUUGUUUCCGUAGUGAGGUAGAAGUUGUCAUUCAAGAAAAAUUACGAGGACGACUUAUAAAGCAUUUUAAUUCUCAUGGUUUUUGUUUUUUAAAAGAAUAAUUUUGGGUUCAACUGUAAGAAAUUAUCUUCCACUUGUUCAUUCUUAAAAAACAGGGUCGGAAGAGAAGCAGCUUCAACCUCUUCCACUUGUUCGGUCAAUCAAUAAUUAACUGCUGUUUUCGUUAAUCAAUUUACAUUUGAGUAACAACAAAAACAAUGGCAAAAGCACUUCUUUCCAUGAUCCUGGAGCAGUUGGGUGGUUCUUUCAUUCCUCAAGAGAUAAAGCACCAUAUCGGAUUGGCUGUAGGUCUUGAAGAAGAAAUCCAAAAACUCACCAGCCACUUUGAGGCCAUUCAAGCUGUGCUUGAAGAUGCGGAAAGAAAACAGGUGAAGUAGGCCAGUGUGAGACAUUGGUUAUCUAAGCUCAAAAAUGUUUCCUAUGAUGUGGAGGAUGUGUUGGAUGAGUGGAACACUGCAAAACUCAAAUCAAAACUUGAGAAAGAAGAGAGAGCAACUGAACAUGCUUCUUUGCCAAGGAAGGUAUGCUACUCUUUCUCCUUCUCUUCCUCUAAAAUCAUACUACAGCACAACAUCGCUCAGAAAAUCAAAGAAUUGAAUGGACAAUUAGACUUUAUUUCUGCUGAGAAAGAUAGGUACAAAUUCGAACUAUGGAGGGGAAUUCAUGAAGAAUCUGAACUACAAAUAACUACCUCUUUCAUAGAUGUUACUGAUGUAUAUGGCAGAGACCAAGAUAAGAAUGCUGUAUUAAACAUGUUGUUGGAAGAGAAUAGUGAAAAAGAUUCCACUCUCCAAAUCAUCACUAUAGUAGGGAUGGGAGGAGUAGGGAAAACUACUCUUGCUCGACUAGCCUACAAUGACAAUAUUGUGGAUACUCAUUUCGAGAAAAAAAUUUGGGUGUGUGUCUCAGAUCCUUUUGAUGGCAUCAAGAUUGCCAAAGCGAUUCUUGAAUCUCUUGGAGAUGCUGUGCCAAACUUUGUUGAAUUACAAACUCUACUACAACGUAUUAGGAAGUCAGUUGUAGGAAAAAGAUUUCUUCUUGUUUUAGAUGAUGUGUGGAAUGAAGAUGACUGGAAGUGGAAACCCUUCAAAGAUUCUCUCAGUUGUGGUUCUUUGGGAAGCAAAAUCUUAAUGACCACGCGUAAGGAGAAUGUUGCGGUUGCAAUGGGUUGCACUACUUUGUUCCCACUAGGGAAGUUGGCCAAAGAAGAAUGUUGGCUGUUGUUUAGUCGGGUAGCCUUUUUUGGAAGGACUAGCAGGGAAUGCCAGAUGUUGGAAGAUUUUGGUAGGAAAAUAGCAGACAAAUGCCAAGGUUUGCCACUUGCUGUGAAGACUCUUGGGGGUCUCAUGCGCUCCAAAAGAACUAUAGAACAAUGGCAAAGUGUUUUGAAUAGCGAAAUAUGGGAGUUGAAGGAGGCUGAAAGAGGUAUUUUCCCUCCCUUAUUGUUGAGUUAUUAUGAUUUGUCCCCAGCUUUAAAACAAUGCUUCUCAUUUUGUGCCAUAUUUCCGAAAGACUGUGAUAGAGAAAGAUAGGCUGAUCAAACUAUGGAUGGCGCAAGGUUUCCUUAAGGAGAAGCAAAUCAAAGAUAUGGAAAUCCUUGGUCAAGAGUAUUUUGAAGACUUAGCAAUGUGCUCUUUUUUUCAAGACUUUGAAAGAGAUGGCGAUGGCAACAUAAAUAAAUGCAAAAUGCAUGAUUUAGUACAUGAUUUGGCCCAGUUUCUGACGAAGGGUGAGUGUUUCAUGGUAGAGGUCUAUGGUGUUGAACAGCCUCAGGUAGAUACUUACAGUGAAAAAGGUCGUCAUUUAAUGUUGGCGCUUGGAGAGAAGGUCAUAUUUCCUACCUACAUUUAUAAUGUUAAGAAAUUGCGUAGCCUCCUAGUUGAACCAAUCAAUUUUUAUGCUUCAAUAAUGAGCGAAUCCUUACCCAAGUUAUGUAAACAGUUGACUUGUCUGAGAACAUUGGACUUGAGUACCAAGUAUCAUACUAUCUUUGGUAGCACAAUUACAGAAAUUCCAAAAGAGAUAGCAAAAUUGAUUCAUUUGAGAUACCUUAACAUAAGUAACAAUGAUGAUUUAGAAGAAUUGCCAGAAGCAUUGUGUGAAUUGCUUAAUUUACAAACCUUAGACCUCAGUUUUUGCAAAAAGCUAAAGAGAUUGCCAAAUGGAAUUGGAAAACUAGUAAACUUGAGGCAUCUUAAGAAUUAUGGUACUUGGAGAGUAAGGUUCAUGCCAAAAGGAAUGGAGAAAUUAACGUCUCUUCGAACACUAAGGGAGUUUCCAUUGAGUGAAGGUGGUACUAGUUGUGAAACAUCUUCGAUUGGGGAACUGGGAAGCUUGACCCACCUUGGAGACUAUCUUGAGAUUAGAGGAUUGGGAAAUGUGAGAGAUGUGAAUAAGGCCAGGAAAGCAAAUCUUCGGAGCAAGGAAUGCCUCUUUAAUCUGUUACUCAAAUUUGAUAUGGAUGAGAACAAGUCAGGAGGGGGGUUGCCAAAUGGUGAUGCACUUGUUCUUGAAGCCUUACAGCCACCUCCUUACUUGGAAUGUUUAGAGAUACAUAACUACAGAGGCUCGAGCACAUUGCCAAAGUGGAUGUUGGCAUUGACCAACUUGAGGCAUCUUGCAGUCUGCUCGUGCAGAAACUGGGAGAGAUUGCCUCCCCUGGGGAAACUUCCAUCACUUGAAUCACUUUGGAUCUAUGACAUAAGGAGAGUAAAGAAAGUGGGAGUUGAAUUUUUAGGAAUAGAAAGAGAUGAGGGGCAAGGAUCUUCAUCCUCAACUGUUAUUCCCUUCCCGAAUCUGAAAAGACUUGAAAUUCAUGACAUGAAUGAGUUGGAAGAGUGGGAAUAUGGGGAGUUUCAUUUCCUUGGCAAGAGAAAAGAGCAAAUUAGUAUAAUGCCAUGUCUCAGUUUCUUAGUGAUUGAUAGAUGCCCGAGGUUAAAGGCACUACCACACCACCUUCAAAAUUCAAGCAUUGAGACAUUGGAGAUAAGAUGGUGUUCUAUUCUGGAAACAGGGUGCAUUAUCUCUCGCAUUCCUAACAUCCGAAUAAACUAUAUGGAGGUGAAAAGAGAUAAAGUUUGAACUCUUCUUGGGUCCAGAAGAUCACAAAUGCAAGCAGAAGCUCAUCAGGUUCUUUUCUUUUUAAAUCUAUUACUACCUUGCCAAUUUGGAAUACAUAAUCUACAUUUUUGUCUGAAUCAUUGCAUGCAUACAUGGUUUAUUGAUGCAAAAUUUAGCUGAAUAUCGAACUGGUUUGCAUAAUUAGCUGAUGCAAUGAGGUUAGAAAGCCCACUAAGGUGAAAAGUGGCCAAACUACCGUAUUGGUUGGCCUAACCAAGAAUAACUAGAACCUCUCCCUCUUUUGAAAAGAGUCUAGAAAGAAUAAGCACUGCUCAUUCAAGAAUAAUAUUCUUUUUUAAUGUUAAAAUUGAGAGAAAGCUCAUACAUUCAUUAAAGUUAAUAAAAUUGAAAUGUUUGCAUGUGCUUGGUAACACUUAAUUUCGAAAGUUUUUGUUGUAUAAUCUGCGGACAAACUAUAUAUGCUUAAUAUUGCAAUUUAUUUCCUAGGAAGUGUAUAAUAUUUGUGAGGUCUACAUUUUUAGAACCUAACAAAAUCCACGCUUUUAGGAGGAAGAAGCUGAACCAGCACUAGAUGCUCUAUCCAAGCUGAGAGAUAAAGGAAUCAAACAAUAGCAGCAGAGUGAUGAAGAAAAUCCAACCAUGAAGGAAUCGACAGAGGAGCAGCAGACUGAUAGAGAAAAUCUAGCCAUGGGGGAAUCAAUAGAGGAGCAGCAGACUGAUGAAGAAAAUCCAUCCAUGGAGGAACCAACAGAGAAGUAGUAGGGGGAAAAAAAUAUUAGUUUUGGCCUUGUCUAUCUUUUUUUUUUUUGAAUAAGUAAGGAUUUUCAUUGGCCUUGCCUAUCUAGUUGAAGCAGGAUUCUCCUUGUACUUGUUGUCUAGCAUAAGCUUUGACUAUCUUUGGGUUGUAUUUCAAUAUUAAUUGCAGGCUUGCUCACAGAAUUUUCAUCACGAGAACAUUUAUAUCAUCAACGUUUCUCAAGACAUUGAUUUAUGGAUCCUCUGCCUUUUCAUGGAGUGACUUUCCUCCCUUCCUCUUCUUUUCUUCCACAGUGCACUGCUUCUUCAUCGAGCAAUCCUUAAGGGAAAAAGGAUAGUGAUGAUAAGCCAUUGCGAUCAAAGACUGUCCCUCAACUCUAUUCAAGUUCAGGCGAUUACAGGUUGAAUUUAUAGGUGUAUGAACAACCCUUAUUCUAGUAGGAUUCGGACUGGUAUUAAUCCCUCUCUAGUAGUGAAAAACAAAUAACUAUCAGGUUAUCUUAAUAAAGACAUAAAUUAUCUAGUUAUCUUAAUAAAGACAAAUAAAAUAUUUGUAUGCAUAUGUCUACAAUUUAAAGUAUUCAAAGGGUAAACAUGAUACAUGGUCACUAAAUUCAAAGGAGGCACGAGUAAUGUUACUAGCUAAGAAAAGUAUUAUAAGGUUGAUUAAAUAAAUAUUGUAUCAUCUUACUCAAAAAUACAAUAACAUCUAAAUUCUUUUUUACUUAUAUUUUAAUACUUACUUCUUUGACCUGAAACAACAUUUUAAACAAACAGAAAAUGGAACACAUGGAAUCUUAAUUAAUUAACAUAGAGCAAAUGGAAAUUAAGAUCACCCCAGAGGAUUCUGCACUGGAUGUGAACUGAAGGGUAUCCUUAGGGUGUGAAGACCUUUCCUUGACACGUUCUUGCAAAAUUAACAAAUCAAUUAAAAGUAUAAAACCUGGUCCUAUCGAGCUUGGUAGUCCUUUUAUUCCAUUCGUACCAAAAUCUUCACCUCCCGCCCAUCCCAAGAGUGGUGGUUCCACUUAGCCAUCUAAAACUCAUUACUCAGUAACAUAUAUGAUUUGAAGAAUGUAGCAGUAUAAUCUGUAUCUGAUAUUUUAACCAGCUUGUUUUUUGUAUCCUGUCCAGACAAUAACUUCAAGUUGCUUAUGUAUGCAGCUUAAAUUGUAAUAUAUUUCUUAGUUAAUAGGAUUAUAUAUUAAGAACUUAAUGUUGUGGCUUAGUAUAUAUUAAUUUAUAAUAUACUUGAAAAGAAUUAAAGAAACCUCAAUUUCACAUAUCAUACUAGUUUGUCAACUCUAUGUAUUUAUAAUAAUCAUGCUUAUAAAAUUCAUAGAUAUAUUAGCGAAUAUAUUUUAAAUAUGCAUUUAAAAUUUGGUAGCACUUCACCACAAAUUUAUUAUACAUGUUAAUUAUAAUGUAUUUCUUAGUCAAUAGGAUUAUAUAUUAAGAAUUUAAUGUUGUGGUUUAGUAUAUAUUGUUGUUGAUACAGAGAAACUAAAGCUAUGCCAAGUGAUUGGAUUAUAGAAUGGCAAGCUUCUAAAUAUUUACACACACAAAAAUAUGAGAUUUUCAAAAUAAAUCAAAAAAAUUUUGCGAGGGAGUCGACAAAUGCAUUUGUCUCUCCAUGAACAAAUUUGACAUCACCAAUGAUACUAUUCUAGCAAUCAAUUUGGUCGGGAAUCCACCAUUUGUUUCAAGACUUUGAGUUAGCAUUUCAAAUUCAAGAUAGCGUCACCUUUGAAUCGAAAUCAAUAACAUGUUUUUUGGUACCAUCAAGGUUUUAUUACAUUUCAAACUCCAAAAUAAUUGGAUUGCUUGUUUGAUUGCAAGCAAUAAUGAAAAAUGACAUAGUCAUUUCCCUGACCAAAUAUAUCAUAAAUUCUUUUAACUUUCAAAAAAAAAAAAUUAUUCAGCUCUACUAGCACUACCUUUGAGACCAAUAGAGAUUAAACAUUAAAUCUUAAUCUUUGAAAUUUCUUAAUAUGUCUUGUUAAUAUGAAUCGGGUCUAAUUUGGAAAAAAUUUCUGUGUUUGAGAUUGAAAAAUUACUUUCACAUCACAUCAGACUAAGGCUGCUUUAUCUUGCUAAUAUUCUGCAACUUGUUAUCCUCAGAAAGGCAAAGGUUAGUUAUGUCUUCAAAAUGUUUAAUCGAAAGGAGAUUGAUUCUUCAUCAUGACUUCAAGGAUAUAUAAUUGCCUAUUUAAGAAGUGGGUUUAAAUACUUGUGAGUUGUUUUGACGAUACAAGGGCAGUUGACUGAAAUCUUGCAAAGGGGACUUUUUGGGGGAAAUUAUUUAGGAAACAGCUAAGCAGUUGGAGUUCAGCUUUAAUAUGAAGAUAUUAAGGUAACUAUGCAGUAGUCAUUUGGCUUUACUAUGGAGAUAAUUAAGUGAUUCCCACUAGUUUUAUUAUAAAUAAUAUGAUAAUAGAUGCACUUAAAUAUUUGAUUCAAUGAUAGGUGCAUGUAUCCCCCACUAAAUAUCCAAAUUGAACAACCUAAACACCUUUAAAUGACAAGUGGGCAGUUAUACCUCUUUUGCAGUAAUUGCAUAAAUUCACUUGAAUUGGCUUGCAUGUGGAGAACUAGUCAGUGGACUUGUUCAGCGAGUUUCACUGAGCUAUCAUUUGUUUGCAGGAUUUGUUGGGAUAAAGAAGACCGAAGCAUCACCAGAUCUAAUUUAUACUUCAAGGACCUAUUUCGUCGGUAUGGAUUGCACUUGUAUAAAAUAAAGGUACCUUCUAUUGCAUAUUGACCACCUAAUAAGUAGUUGAUAAUGCUUUUUUAAACUGAAUAAUCUGUUAGUUUUCUUGUAAAUGCUUUUGACAACUGUUGUUUCAUGAGCCAUAAUUCUAACUAUAUUUUGACACUGAAAGAAUAUACGAUACAAAAAGCUGCGCAGGUCUGCUGUGGUAUCUUAAAUGGUGCUCAAAGUUCUUAAUCAGCCUCAACUUCCAAUUUUUUUUUUUUAAUUCUGAAAAACAAAAACCCCUCACUGGCUAAAAUAAAGUGGGAAUCAAAUCAGUUUGGUACAAUUUGUAGAUAUGAUACAUUUAUGCCACCAAUGAUACUUUGCUACAGAGUUAUCUAUAUCAUAUAUUCUUUUUGUUUUUCUUAUUAUCAAUCAUUUUUACGGAGAAAUUAUGAUCUUGAAGUCAAAACUGGAUGUUGGAAUAAUUAAAGUAAUAAUCAACCUCAAAAUUGUGUGCUGGGUUAUGGCGGUAGAGGGGGUCAACUAGAUGUAAGUGACACCAUUUGGACUUAUACCAUAAAAUGAAACCAAAUUCCAACAAAGAUUAGCUGCCAAUCCAUACGGUUGUGUUUGUUAAACAUAACUUUUGACUUGCAACAUAACAAACCUACGAUGACACAUCUAAAACUGAUAAGUUUAUAUAGAUCAUGCACUAAUAGCCUCAUAUGUUGCAGUGUCUUAAUAACUAAGUCUCUAAGCAAACAUUCAAAAAUUUAGAUCUUUGAACUUUUAAAAUAUAAUGUCUAGCUAAAAACAUUCAAAAAUUUAGAUCUUGAUAGGUGUGGGCUUUAUAGGAUGGGAGGGCUUCUCCUAUUGUGAAGCCCACAUUCCAGAAACUUUCAGAUGUGCCCCAAAAACAUAACACUAGUGAGAGGCGUUGUGUGAUCUAUAUUGUUUGGUAGGUUUUAGAUAUCAUAUCAUCUUUUGUAUCCUUAUAUACUUAUUUGAUGUUGCUGAGUUGAAUCGAUAAGGGUGUGAUUUCUAGUUGCAUGUUCAAAGUUCCCAUUAGAAAUAGGGGCAGGUUUGGUUUGCAAUCCCCCUACUUCAGUUUACGGUUUUCAGCUAUCAUAAUGUAUCCUUUUGUUAUUUAUUUGUUUAUUGUUUUGGAAACAGGACCAGAAAGGACUCCCUGAGGAAUUGUUUGCUGUAAAGAUGUAUGCUUUAACAACUGAAGUGCCAAAGAAGGUUCUUAAGACAAGAUCCAAGGCGCAAGCCAACAGACCUGGCAUCAUCAAAUGAUUUGUUGCCUAUAACUUGUUGCAUUGUUGUAGGAGUACUCAAACUUUCUGGUGUAGGAUGUGAUUGUAUCUUCCUAUGUAAUUUAUUAGCGUAUUACCUCAAACUCGUUUUACUUUACAAGCUCCUUGUGGACAAAUUUUGCUCUUUUUCGUUUGAAGCUGUAUAUUUAUCGCUGGUAUACGUUUGAGUUGAAUGACCAUAUAUUUGUUCACUGUUGAUGGAAAGAAUCUUUACAAGUUGCAAUUAUAAAGUCAUUUGUUCAUGUUAUUUCAUAGCUUGUCUAAGGAAGAAGCAAAUCCUUAUGAAUUUUCCAUUAUAAGAAGAAAGAUGGAAGACCAAAGAGGGCAUGAAUAGAAAUUACAAGAAAUGAUUGUACUUUUAUUGAACUUAUUUGGGAUAAUCAAUCAUAAACAUAUAUAUAUAUAUUAUGAACUUUGAAGCUUUGUCAAUUAAUGAGCUUGUUUGAGGCAUGUUCUCGUAGCAGCACAAGUCUUUUCACAAAUUUUUCUUUUUUGGAACGUAUAUCUUUCUUAAUGAUUAGAGCAAUUGAAACUUCUGUUGAAAAGGGAAGAAAGGGGAUUCGAAACUUGAAAUUUUGAUCUUCUUAAAAUCCAAUAAGUAGAGUAAGGCUUAGUAUCUUUAAAGUGAUUUGCUUUCAAAAUGUCCAAAGUCCUUGAUGCUCUUCUUCUGUAAACAAAACGCCCUCACUUGCUAAAUUAAAGAGGGAAUCAAUUCAGCAUGGUACAAUAAUAAAAAUCAAUGCUGCUCCUACUUGGCCUAGAUGAGGCAUAUACCUUUUUACAGAUUUAGAACAAUUGAAACUUGAGUUUAAAGGUAAAAAAGGGAUUCCAAACUUAAAACUUUUAUCCUCUUAAAAAUCAAUAAGUAGAGUAAUAAGGUUGAUUAUCUAUAAGUGAUUUGAGGUUCUUGGUGUUUUUCUUCUUUUGUAAACAAAACUAAAGUGGGAAUCAAUUAAGUAGGGUACUAUUUAUAGAAAUGGAUACAUUUAUGCCACCAAUGAUACUUUGCUUCAGAGUUAUAUCUAUCAUGUCUUCUUUUUGUUUUUCUUAAUAUCUAUCAUUUUUACAUAGACAUUAAGAGAAUAAAUGUAUACUGGUAUAAUUAAGGUCCUUUGAAAAACAAAUAAAUGGGCAAGUCUGCCAUUGGAAGUAGGCCCAAAAGUCUGCAAAGUCUUGCACAUAAAAAAAUAGUGUCUACAGCCUUUCCCAUCAAGAGGCUGUCAUCUCUCUUUCCAUCUACCAUUCUUUGUUUGAGAUGGCUAUCAAAUCCAUCUUUCAUGAACACCACUUGCUCUAUGAUGACUCCAAUGAAUAUGAAUACGCACUUUGUGAUAUAUGCAGUCAGCAAAUUUGUGGUUUGGUCUAUUCUUGUGAAAGAUGCAAGUUUGCAUUACAUGUUUCUUGCGUUCAUCAACAGCUACCUCCUCAGAUAAGUGCACAUCCUUUCCAUUCCCAACACAAUCUUACUCUCGUAAGGUCAAAUUACAUAGAUUACAUAUGUGCUAAAUGUUUCAAUCUUUCUCGAGGCCAUAGAAACCAUUGCAAAGAUUGUGAUUUUAGCCUUGAGUAUGCAUGUGCUUUUUCAACUAAUGAUGUGAAAAAUAGACUCAAUGAUGAUGGUUUCAACAAGUCCUUCACCCUCUUUAACUAUAGGAAAGUGAGAAAGUAUGAGUAUAUAUGCAGUUGGUGUGAGAACCAUUUGUCUGGAAUGUCCUAUGGUUGUCUUGACAAUGAUGUUUAUAUCUGGUUCCACGAUUCCUGCCUAAUCAACAUGCCUAGCAUAAUCGUCAAACACCCAUCUCAUCCAUCACACCCUCUUCUAUUAUGCAAUAGUCACUUUGAUAAUAGGUUGUGCAGUGCUUGCAACCUACCAAUAUGGGAGUUCAGAAAAGCCUAUUGGUGUAGAAAAUGUGAAUUCCACCUUCAUCUUCAGUGUGCUAAACUACAACCCAGUCUCAAGGUUGAGUUACAUGAGCAUGAUCUUACUUUUUUCCAAAUAAAAGCUAAUACCGCUACCCACCUAUGCAGGAUAUGUGGUAUUAAUUUUGAUUUUCAUGCUAUAGGUGGUGAAAUUGCUUUUAAUCGUUGUGUCCAGUGUAAUUUCAAUUACCAUUUCAAAUGUCUUAGAAUACCAAAUUUUACUUCACACAAGUAUCAUAGGCAUGAGCUCAUGCUUAUGGAUUCCUAUAUAGAAGAUGAUUCUAAGAAAUAUUAUUGUGAUAUAUGUGAAGAGGAAAGAAAACCCAAGCAUUGGGUUUAUUGUUGCGAGAAAUGCAAAUUUGUUGCUCACAUCAAAUGUGCACUCAAUAAGGUAAGGAGACAUUUACUCUUUCUCUAAAGAAAUUUAAUAAAUGUUUUUUUCAUUAGAUAAACUAUUAAUUAUAGCUCACAUAUAAUGUGCCCUUUCGAAAAAUUUUGAUGCUAAUAUUGUCAUUUCCCCAGGUUGUAGUAUGAAACUUGACCAAAGUUCAAACUCUAGUUUGUUGGAUAGUGAAGCUUCAACAUUGAAGGUGAUGGAAUUGGGUCUUCUAUACUGAUAUUAUUGUGAUGUUUUCACUUGCCAAUAAAUUUUUUUGAAGUUUGCAUCACUUUAGGUCUUCUAUUAUUCCUUGGAUUUAUAUAUUAUAAAGAUUUUUUAGUAAUAAACACCAAUUACGUUUUAGAAUAAAAUUCAAUGAAAAAAAACUAAAAACUGUAAAUAAUAUAGGUAAGAAACCUCUACUUAUAUAGCCGUAUUCAAAAUUAAUUGGAGACGGCGUUAGUAAAACUAUUGAAUGUUGAAUAAAAUAAAAACAAAUACGUGCAUCAUAUUAAUUUAUGAACAUAUAUAUUUGAUUGUUUAAUUAUUGCUUCUACAUUUUAGUUUUAUCUUAAAUUUUCAUUUCUUUUACUUUUUAAACAAAAAUAAAAAGUAAAUUUUACUAUUAAUAUUGAUCUAGUUGUAAUUUUUCAUUUUCAUUCAUCCAUUUUGAAUUUGUUCCAAAUCUAUCUGUAUAUUAACAUGCGAGGAAAAUAUAAAUGGAAUUUGUCUGAUAAAUUCCACAUGUUAUGUGAAUUAUGUGAAUGUAGUCACAUGGACGUAAAUGUAGUGCUUAGAUGGCAAAUUCGUUCCAUAUUUAAUAGUGUAUUGAUGGAUAGAUGAAUUUAAAAUAAAUUCAAAAAGAUAUAGAUGGAAAAAAUUGAGUUUGUUUAUUCAUAAAUGAAAAUAAAAUAUUAUGACAAUGUUACAAACUAAGGAUGCCCUUUACUUAAAAAAUAGAGGAAGAUUAAUAACUUUAUUCACUCAACUUGGUUGUGUAGGUGCAUAUUGAACAUUUUGAUCAUCAACAUCCCUUGAGCUAUAAUGAGGCUAUUGAGCAGAAUGAAAGUCUUCUUUGCAAUGGUUGCUGUCAGGAAAUUUUUGAUCAACACUAUGCUUGUGAAGAUUGUAAAUACUACUUACAUGGAACGUGCACUACAUUGUCGUAUGAGGUGUCACACCCUCUUCAUUGCCAGCAUCCUCUCAAGCUCUUCACGGAUAAAGUUGAAUUUAUAUGUCAUGGAUGUAGGGACCAUUCUAAUGGGUUUGCUUACAUGUGCCUUCCAUGUGAUUUCCAACUUGAUGUGAAAUGUGCUACCACUCCAAUCCCACCUAAAAAUGAAGGGCAAAAGCAGACAGAGAUGGAGGAAGUUUCCAAGCUGUGCCCUUUCAAUCAAAAUCAUAAGCUAGACUUCUUCAACCGUAGACCCAAUCUCAAAGAUUUGGCUUUGGAAUGCGAUGCUUGCAAGCUACCAAUCUUGGGUCCAGGUUAUACUUGUGGUGAUUGUUUCGGUAUCAAAUUUCAUGAAUCUUGUCUUGCACUUAUGCGGGAGAUGCAACUCACCAUUCAUCCAUUACACACCCUUCAUCCACAAAUCGGCGAUUGGAUAAAUCGUUCUACCUGCGGAUUUAAAAUCAUUGAAAGUAUCAAUUAUAGUUAUUGGCAGUGUGAUUUCCAGCUUCAUCUUCAUUGUGCUAAUUCCCUGAAGCUGGCCUUAAAAAUUAAGUCUCACAUGCAUAAUCUUUAUUAGUUUGAACCAUAUUAUGAGAAAUCCUACCACUUUUGUAACAAAUGCAAAAGUUACAUUGGUGAGGAACCUUUCUAUUAUUGCGUGGAGUGCAAUAUGAAUUUGCACUUAAAAUGUGUUCCCAUACCAUGUUCAGUUAAAUCCAAAUGUCACAUGCAUUGUUUGGCUCUUAAAAAUCAUUUUGUGGAAGACGAUUUUGGAGAAUACUAUUGCGACAUUUGUGAAGAAGAAAGGAACUCAAAAAUUCAUUGCUAUUAUUGUGAAGAGUGUGCUGGACAAUUUGUUGCUCACAUCGAGUGCGUGCUUCUUACAGUAAGUUUAUCACUAUAAUUUUCUCUGUAGAAUUUUUCUAUACCAUAUUAUUGAAUUUUUUAAAGGAAAAUAAGAAUCCAAAUUACAUAUCACAUGAUCAUAUCCACCACCUCUUUGAUUGAUUGGACUUUAUUAAUGGUUAAAAUACCUCAUAGGUCCAUAUACUAUAGAUUUUUCAUUAAUUUAAUCUCUUUAUCCAAAAUUGGUUAAUUUAGUCUCUAUGCUAUGAGAUUUUAUGUAAUUGAGUCAUUUUGCUUAACUCCAUCCAAAUUAACCAUUAGUGAUGCUGGCGUCGCAUUGAUAUGUCAAAUAAACAAAAAAAUUGGCCAUGUGGCAUUUUUUUCUUUCCUCAUUUUUUUUCUCUUAUUUGUUCAAAACUACAUUGUUUUAGACUACUAUUUAAUGUACAUUUAGCUUUUAUUUUUCAUUUUCCUUCUUUCCUUCUCUCUAGCUCUCUUCUCCCCCUAGAUUCUAACCCCUAAAUGCAAAUUCUGGAUGUCGAUCGCUAGUGGUAUGAAAUCUAAUAAAAAAAUAAAAAAAAUUCAUUUUUUUGUGAUAUUUCCCAUAAUUAGGGUAGCUUUUUCAAAAUCUAUCUCGAUUUUCCUAAAUCUAAAAUCAUAAACUUGCAAAAAAAAAAACUUGUUUCUUUCCACUGCUAUGUCCUCGACUUGAUAUUAAUGAUCAAGGGUUGUGUUUUCCAUGUUGUAGAAUUUUGAAUUUGCAGAUGGAAAUUUCCAUGAAUUUUCCAACUUGAAAGAUGUUGACUCACCUGUUGAGAGUUCCUCUAUGGAUAAGUUGCUUUCCCAACCCCACGCCGAAGUGUACUUGAACCAAAACAGAAUGGUAGUUAAGUCCCAUGUAAGUGAAUUUUAAAGAUCUCAUCUUUUAUGUGAAAAUUAAUUUUAUUUUAUGAAUAGUUGAAUGGAAGAAAAGUUUCAUGAUUGUAUGGUGGCCAUUGUUGUUGUAGAAGUACUGGGUGGAUAAGAAGUUAAGCAAAUACUAUUUCAUGUUGUUUGCAAGAGAUCUUACAAUCACUUGGUCAGAAGACCACCGUUACUGACAUUGGUUAUACCAAAGAGAAACAAACAGGUUAGUGUAGAUUUAUUAUCCAUUCAGAAUCCGUACUUCAUACUUCAAGCUCGAGAGCUUUCCUAAUCCAUAAACUUUUAAUUUUGCAGCGAUGUGUUGAUUAAUGUUGCCAAACUUCUAAAAGUGUGUUGGCUAGAAAUGCAUGUGAAAUUCAAUGUAAAAAAGCUCUCACUGGAAACUUUGUAUGGAGUUGUAUUCGUGUUGAAGUUGACAGAUGAAGCAUAUGGAUGGGAAUAUCCAGUGAAGUUCGGAGUCACUCUUCCAAAUGGGUACAAAGUUGAAUGUGAGGAUUAUUUGAUGACCAAGCCGAGAGGAGUAUGGAUAAAAAUCUUUGUUGGAGAAUUUACAACUUCAUCAAAAAAUAUUGGAGAACUAAAUAUUUACUGUCGCGGAUAUUAUGGUGGGAGAUGGAAGGGAGGCUUAUUGUUAAAGGAGUUGCUAUUUUGCCAAAGAAUUAAGUAAUAAAUUAGUAUUUUCUCACAACAAAUCUAAAAGCACUAUAGUUUCUUCAUUUGUUCAUAAUCUUGUAAAUUCUAAAAUGACAUGAACUUGAAAGGAACAAACUCAUCCAAUCAUCACCUUAGCAACCAAUUUUCUGGCCUUCAUUAUACUGUAUAGGUUCCAUGCUAAAUGCAACAAACAAGCCCAUUGAUUUUUUUGGUAUUUUUAUUAGAUUUUUUGACCACCAGUGACUAGUGGUUGGUUGUUGGAAUCUACGUUUGGGGAUCAGAAUCUAGAACAAAAGGAUUAGAUAGAGAGCAAGAGAGAGCAAGAGAGAGAAGGAGAGAAGGAAAAAAAAAAAACUAAAUGUCCUUCAAAUAGUAGGCAAAAAAGAAAAAUAAAAGCCACGUGAUCAAUUUCUGUUUUUAGUCUAACACAUCAAUGUUAGCAUUUUCUGACAUGUUAGCGCGACGUUAGCAACAUUGACAGUUAAUAUGGAUGAAGUUAGACAAAAAGACUCAAUGGUACAAAAUAUGGAUGUACAAAGACUAAAUUAACGAGUUUUGGGUAUAUGGAUUAAAUUGACAAAAAAAAUUUAAUAUAGGGAUCUAUAAGGUAAAAUGACGAUUAAUAAAUUUCAAUCAACCAAAAGGUGAUGGAUAUGAUCAUGUAAUUUGAACUUUUAUAAAAAUCAUGGCUUUGCACUUUUUUCUUUUUUAUACUUUCAUACUCUGUUAUGCUCUGUUUUUGAUUCCGUUGAACUUAAGUUUCAUUAUUUUUUUAAUUGAUGAAAUAUAAGGGAUCUUUUCUUGGUAACCAAUUCAACUUUCCUUUUAGUUAAGAUACUUUAAGCUCAUCUCAACUAACAAUUGGUAUCAGAGCAAAUUUUUAAGUUUUGUAGGUUUAACAACCUUUAAGAGAUUCUAAACAAAAGCUUAAAACAACAACAAUGGCAUCCUCGAGUUUCAUUUGUGAAAGACAAUCUAUGAUGCAACCUCCUCUAUUCAAAGGUGAAAACUACUCAUUUUGGAGGAUGAGGUUUGAAAAUUUUAUACAAUCUAUUGAUCUAAAUCUUUAGGAUAUUAUUAUUAACAGAUCUUAUAUUCUUGGCAAAACAUUGGUGGUGUGAAACAUGUUAAACAAGAGCUAAAUGGAAUGACAAGGAUAAAAUGCUGAUUCUAUUAAAUCACAAAGUUAUGAUAGCUAUCUUAUGUGCUCUUAGUGAGAGUAAAUUUAACAGGGUAAUUAGGUGCAUUUCAGCAAAAGAAAUUUAAGACACAUUAGAAAAUUCUAUAAAGGCACAAUUCAAGUGAAAGAGUAACAAAUUAGUAUCUUGAUUCUAGAUUAUGAACUCUUUAAGAUAAAGGAUGAGGAAUACAUUAAAGAGAUGCUUGAGAGGUUCACCAAAAUUAUAAGGGGACUUAAAUCUUUAAAAAGAGAAUUUCCUAAUGCUCAAUUAAUGAAGAAAAUCCUCCACUGCCUACCAAAGUCUUGAAGACCUAAAGUCACUACCAUAGAAGAAGCCAAAGACCUAAAUGUACUUACACUAGAUGAACUUUUAGAUUCUUUACUCACUUACGAGAUGACCAUUAGGCAUGAGAAAGAAAGAGAUGAAACAAUUAGAGAAAAGAAUCAAAGCGAAAAGACAUUGCUUUUAAAGCUGUAAAAUAGAAUGAUGGAAAGUUACUUGAGAAUUGUAAUGAUGUACCUUGUUGAUAAGAAACUUCAAUAGAUUCUUAAGAAACAAACAAGGAGAUAAGAAACCUUUUAAGAGGGAUGAAUGAAGAAAUAUAAGAAGAGACAUACCAAAGGAUGACCAUGUUAAAGACCAUAUAAUUUGCUGUGAGUGCAGGAAGCCCAAUCAUACCAAAUAUGAAUGCCUAAGUCUUAAAAAGAGUCAUCAUAAAGACUCGAAAAGAAAAGCUAUGAUGGCUGUUUGGAGAGGAAGAGCAAGUAGCCACUUUGUGUUUCAUGGGAAUUGAGGACCUUAAGGUACACUCCUCAAACAAUGGCUCUUGCUUUUAUGAAUUCAAUGAUGAUUCAUACACAUUUGAUGAACUUCAAGAUGCAUAUAAUGAUUUAGCAUUUGAAUUUGAAAAUAUGACCUUGAAAUAUAAAAAGAUUAUCUCUAAACUCAAGGCUAAAAUGAUUAUCUUGAGAAAAUCAAAGCCGAGUUUGAAGAUAAGGUCAAACAUCUAGAAAAUGAAGUAAAUCUGUUGAAAUAGAAAAAUGAACAAUUAAAUGAAUCAUUCUCUAAAUAGAGUGUGAGCUCACGAGAGACAAAUGAGAUGCUUGAAGCUUAAAAACGUUAUUUGACAAUGAAGGUCUAGGCUAUAAUUAGACACAAAAAGAGGCUAAGACAAAAACUUUCUUUGAAAAAGAAAAAAAAAAACAUGGUGCAUCACAUUUAUAUAUACGCUGUUAUAAGGUUGGUCAUUCUAUAUAUUUUUGCUUUCUUAGAAAACCAUCACUCAAAGGAAAAGUUAUCAAAUAGGUAUGGGUUCCGAAAGGAACCAAGCCUACUUUUGGCAAAUUUGUUGAGGUCAAUGAGGUUUCAAAAAGAACUAACACAGUUAGUACUAACAAAAGGAUCCAAAGAAAUUUGGAUACCAAAAAUAAAAUGAAAAAUGUAUUUUGUAGGUGAUUCAAAGCAAAGAGGAAGACAUUCAUGGAGAUCCAAUGCACCACUAGGUGAUUGCUAUACCAAAACUCUUCAGAGGGCUGCGAAUCUUGAAUGUGCUAUUUCAGAACAAAAAUUUCUUUCAAAGGCAUUAAUCUAAAGUUGGAAAAGUUGAAAUUGUUCAAGAAAUCUCUCAAGAUUUUAUCUUUGAAAUUGGUUUUGGAAAGGAUACUUUCUCUCAAACAUAAACCCAUUAUUUUUCUUAAGAAAGAGUUAGUUCAACACAUCAAAACCAACAUCUUUCUUUCAAACCCAUUUAAAAGACAUCAGAAAAGAAAGGAAGGAAAAGAAAAAGAAUCAGAAAAAGUGCAAAAAGAGAGGGAAAACAAGAAAAAAAUAUUCUUGAAAGACUUGAAAAAGAAAAAUCAUUCCUUUAUUCUAGUAGUGAGCUGAUCAUCUCUAAAGAUCACACCUUUCCUCACUACAAAAAGUUUCUAAGCUUAGAUAUUUCUAUUUUUGACCUUUAUUCUUAGAAAGCUUGCACCUUUAGUACUCCCAUUGCUCAUCAGCCUUUUUUAAAGGCAUAAAGUUUAUACUUUUAUAAUCUACUGUUAUAUUUUGUUAUACCUCCAAACAAAAGGUAGAGAGGUUGUGCUUUAACUGUAAAGAGAAAGAGACUUUGUGAAAGGUUAUGCUUUAACCUUGAAAAGGCAAUGACGUUGUGAGGUUGUGCUUGCUUCUCUUGAAAAGGCAACGAUGUUAUGAGGUUGUGCUUGGUCCUCUCCAAAGAGUAGUGUUUGUGAAGGUUAUGCCUGCUCCUUGGAAGACAGUUUAUAGUGGAUUUAAACUCAUUAUGAUAUCAAGGGAGAAGAUGUAGGCAUUGAAGGCUGAACUUUUAUAAAAAUCGUGGCUUUGCACUUUUUACUUUUUGGCACUUUCAUACUCUGUUAUGCUUUGUUUUUUAUUUCGCUGCACUGCAGUUUCAUUAUCUCUUUAAUCGAUGAAAAAGAGAGGAUCUUCUCUUGGUAACCAAUUCACCUACCCCCUUUCUUUGUUAAGAUACUUUAAGCUUAUUUCAACCAACAUAUUGCAUGAAGCAAUGAAGGCAAAUGAGUAGUCAAGAUAGGAUUCACCACUCCAACUGAUUAAGGAGACAUAUCUCGAUUGUUAAUGCACUAAGUUAGCUUAUGUAAAGACUCUGGCCAAAGCAGUAUGGUUUUUAGGAAAUGGGUUUCCUAUAAUCCAUGAUAGCUAAUCAAAGGCAUGAUUGAUAUGGAAAAGUUUUAGGAGUUGACAUUACACCAUUCUUCUAAGCUUUCUGAGAUACAUGGUGAAAGGAUUGAAUUGCACUAAAAAUUUGAUCACUAAAAGGUUGAGUCAAACCAUCUUGACUCUUCUAAAAUGUAGGUGGUCAUGAUGGAUUGUUAAAUUCCGCUCUUAGUCUGUGAUCAUAAGAUGGCUGAUAUGAUCAAUGAUAAAUUCAUAUUAGUUUGAAUUUAUCUAAUCCUUAAAUUAGUUUAUGGAUUACAUCUUAAAAUCAUUGCCAACAUGUUGGAAGCCUAAUGGGUGACACAUCUAAAAUGAGAUUUGAAAAUAAAAUGGGAUUGGUGAUUAAGUAAAACUUAAUCAAAUUAAAAGACAUAAGCUACUAAGCACUUAAUAAAAAAAGUUAAAUUAAGUGAGGGGUUAAUUCAUAAUGACAUAAAGGUUAUGUAAUUUCCUACACAUGGGCUGAAAUUAACCCUAACUAUGAAAGCUUAACUAGAGCCUCACUUUCAUGAGAGUGUGAAAAACACAAAACCCUAGCCAUUCCAUAGCCGCCAGUUGUCAGAGAAAGAAAAUUGUUUUCUUCUCUAAAGCAUUUGGCCAAAGGAAGUGUGUGCACUUGAGAAAGUUUGAUUGUUGUAAACAACCUAGCUAGCACUUUGUAGAGGCAAGAGUAAUCCCAAUCCUUGAGAAGGAUUUUUGGAGAUCAUUAGUGUGGACUUUUAUCAGAUGUUGCACAAGAUUUUUUUGGAUAGCUUUGGUUUGUAACAACCAAGCUCAGUGUGAGGUCUAUGUAACGGUUAUUCAUGUGUUAAAAUAAAGGAUCCAGCUUCCUUCAUGUUAGAAAUGUUAACUCAAUGUAUAAGUGGCAAUAAUGUCCAAAAGGAAAGUGAAUUGGACUUUAAAAAUUCUAAAAUUUGAGGAACAAAGAGCUAUAGUCAACUAUAGUAAUCCUUUAGUCAAUUCUAGACUAGAAAACUUGUUUUCAAAUCUUAAGAACAAGUUUCUAAAGGAUUUUGAUGAAUAAGCAAAUCCUAAGAAAUUUAGCUCAAUCAAGCAUAGGUAAAUGACCACUCUUGAAAUAUUUAAAACAUUUUUCAAAUAUAAAUCAAACAUGAGUAUCUCAAGAAAAAUGUUUAGGAAAAUCUUUUUGUUAAAAGAAUCAAAACUAAGAUGUGAAAAAUAUGAAUUAAAUCGCAAGAACUUUAUCACGACCCAAAUUUCAGGCCAUGAUCGGUGCAAGGGCUCAAUAGAUGUAAUCCAUUAAGCCCAAGCAAGCCUAUCUAUUUAUCCCACUCAUCAUUCCAUCAAAUAUUGCUAAAUCACAAUUUAUAACUUUAAAUCAAAAUGGUGACAGACAUUGCCAACUUGUAUUGGCAUUACUCAUUUAAAAUAUACAUACAUUGUCUACAGCAUGUAUUCCAAUAAUUUACAUUAGGUUCGUCUAUACACAACAAAAGAAUACUCGACUUCCAACGGAGGGACUCGGAUGAAUGUAUAGCUACUGAAUGCCGAGACACUUACCAAAAGAUGGAUACAAGUCUACAAGGACACCUCGUCCUAGUUACCGAUUGCCUUGUGAUAUGAAAAUAUGAAGUUGAAAACAGUGAGUAUAAACUCAGUGAGUGAACAAGGAAGGGAACAAGCAACAAUAAGGGAGAAUUUAAAAAUCAUGAUGCACUUCGUUCAAAACAAUGCAAUUUAGUUCCAUUCAUAUUAAAAACCCCUCAUCAAGUCCUUAAAUGAUUAAUCAUUUGAAAAUCAUGAACCCAUACAUAAUGAACCAUUUGAAAAAUGAAAGCUUCAAUGAUACGCAAGCAAGUCAAAUACGACAACGAAAUUGUGACCCAAAAACAGAAGGUUUCUCGCUACAGCGAAAUUUAGCUGAUGAAACAGAGAGUUUUUCGCUGCAGCGAGAUUCCUUUUCGCUGCAGCGAGAACCAGUUCUGGUGAAGGUUCUCAAACCCGAGAGUUUCUCGCUGCAGCGAGAAUGAUUCUCGCUGUAGCGAAAUAUAGGGCACCAAAUGAAAAUUUCCCUUUCUCCCAAAGAAAAACCAUCCUACUGAAAUGUUCAAACCAACAUGAAACGCAUAACAAUAGACUUUAUUUAUAUGAUUACAUUUAAUAAUUUUAUUAAUUAUCGCUAUAAUUUUUAUAAGAUAUAAGUUGUGUCAUUAAUUUCAUAUUUACAAUAAAGUAAUAUAUUAUAUAUACAUAUAUUUAAUUUAUACAAAAUUUGUAUAUUUUAUAAUUAUGAAUGAAGUUUGUAAAUUUUAAUAUUAUAAUUUGUAAAAUAAGGUGAUAAAAUUUUGGUCCAUUGGUUCAAAACCAAAUCAUUCAAACCAAUUCAAUAUUUGAUCGGUUUGAUCUUUUUUUAUGUUCAGUUAGUUUUAGUUGGUUUUCUAAAACUAUUUGGUCUAUUUGGUCUUGAGGUAUGGUGGAUCAAACUAUCCAAUCCACCAAUUUGCUCACCCUUAUCCGCAUGUAACCUCCCAUGAAAAUCAAUUAUCUUCAAUCUUGACUCCUUCACCAUUAAAUCAAGGCCAUGUAGUAACCAGUUUUCCAAUCCAACUUUUGCCACUUGAUUCGCGGCCAAUCCAUCUUUAUCACUAGAUCUAAUGUUGUUGAUUUGAGUAUCACGUCUUGUGAGUUGAUCUUGUAGUUCUUGAAUUUGGCGACGUAAUUCCUCAAUCUUGAUCUCAUGAUCAAUUCUUUGAUGAUUUCAGCAUCUUGGUGACAUUUUGUUGGCUCAAAUGAGGAACUACAAUUAUGGCAGUGAUGAUAUGGUGGUGACAUGGUAAUGACGAUAUAGCGAUGUAAAAAAAAUGAUGAUAAAACAAUAAAACAAUAAAAAAGACUAAAUGACCCGAACAAGGAAAGUUUACGUUGUGAAUACACCAAUUUUGACAUGGUUAGAAACUCCACUAAGGUGAAAAAUAGCCAAACUCUCACUUUGGUUGACCAAGCCAAAGAUGCUAGAACCUUUUACUCUUUUAAAAAGAGUCUAUAGAAAAUAAGCACCGCUUAUUUAAAGAAAAUAAUCUUUAUUAAAUAUCAACUUGAAUAUAUAAUAACUAAGUCUAAGGGUGCUAUUUAUAGUGUAAUAGUCCUAAAUCCUAAUAAAACUCUACUUCUAAUUGUCUAAAGAAUUAGAGUAAUUAACAAGAUAUUUAAAUAAAAUAAGUGUUUUACUCCUAAAUAAAACAUGACUAGCCUAAAAUCCUAGUACAAGUAAAUUAAAUAAAAAAGGAAUUCUAUUAUACCUAUAAUUUUUAAAUAAUAAUAACUUAUAAUAUACUCCUAUAUUACAUUUGUUCAUAUUAUUUCAUAGCUUUUCUAAGCAAGAAUCAAAUCCUUAGGAAUUUUCCUUUAUAAGAAGAAAGAUGGAGGACCAAAAGAAGGCAUGGAUAGAAAUUGCAAGAAAUUAUUUUACUUUUAUUGAACUUAUUUAGGAUAAUCAAUCGUAUAUAUAUAUAUAUAUAUAUAUAUAUAUAUAUAUAUAUAUAUAUAUAUAUAUAUAUAUUAUGAACUUUGAAGCUUUGCCAAGUAAUGAGCUUGUUUGAGGCAUGUUCUCAUACUAGCACAAGCCUUUUCAUAGAUUAUUCCUUUUCGGUACAUAUUCCUUUCUUAAUGAUUAGAGCAAUUGAAACUUCUGUUUAGAAGGGAAGAAAAGGGGAUUACAAACUUAAAAUUUUAAUAUUCUUAAAAUCCAGUAAGUAGAGCAAGGUUGAGUAUCUUUGUAGUGAUUUCGUUUCAAAAUGUCUGAGGUCCUUGAUGCUUUUCUUCUUUUGUAAACAAAACACCCUUACUUGCUUAACUAAAGUGGGAAUCAACUCAGCAUGGUACAACAUUGAAAAUCAAUGUUGCUCCUUCUUGGCUUAGAUAAAGCAUAUACUUUUUGACAGAUUUAGAGCAAUUGAAACUUAAGUUUAAACGUAAAAAAUGGGAUUCCAAACUUAAAACUUUUAUCCUCUUAAAAACCAAUAAGUAGAGUCAGGUUGAUUUUCUACAAAGUGAUUUAAUUCUGAAAUGCUUGAGGACCUUGAUAUUUUCCUUCUUUUGUAAACAAAACUAAAGUGCGAAUCAAUUCAGCAUUCUACAAUUUAUAGAAAUGGAUACAUUUAUGCCACCAAUGAUACUUUGCUUCAGAGUCAUAUCAAUCAUGUCUUCUUUUUGUCUUUCCUUAUCUAUCACUUUUGCAUAGAAAUUAAAAGAAUAAAUGUAUACAGGUAUAACUAAAAGAAUAAUUAACCUCAAAAUUUUAGUUUGCCACUGUUAUAUUUUGAAAUUUAGUUUUAAUAAUGAUGCUUCCCAACAAAAAGUUUAAAAGCGAGAAUAGAAGAUUCCAAACUUCAAACCUUUAUCCUUUGAAAAACCAAUAACUGGGCAAUGUUGUUUUGAAAAAAGUAAUUUGAUUCCGAAAUGCUUGGGGUCCUUGAUGCUUUUCUUGUUUUCUCUUCUUUCCUAUUUACUGUUUUAGAUACAAAUUUGUGGUACUAGCAUCUUUGAUAGCCACAUUUGGAAUAAAAAUGUAGCAAUUAAAAGAAGCAUUUUGUCUUUAAUGAUGAGUAAGUUUCCUUUUUUUUGAAUGAAAAAUAGAAUAAUUUUAAAGCAAGAAAGAUUGGCAUAAUAAAUAAAGCAGCACUUGCUUUCAUAUUUUCUCAAUAAUUUCCUUAGCAUAUGCCAUAUUCUUGUUGUUGGUUCAAAAUGCUUGAGGGAAUCUUUGUUUAGCCUUUAUAUAUAAACACCUUCUCCCAUCAAGAGGCUAGUUGUUGAUCAUAUCUCUUUCUUCAUCUACCUGAAUUUCUUUGUUUGUUGGUUUAAGAUGGAUAUCAAACCUUUCCUUCAUGAACACUACUUGCUCUUUGAUGAAUACAUAGAACAAAAGGCACGUUGUGAUAAAUGCAAUUGGAAUAUUUAUGGUUGGGCCUAUUCUUGUGAAAGAUGCAAGUUUUGGUUGCACAAGUCUUGUGCUGAAUAACAGCUACCUCGUCAGAUAAGUGCACAUCCUCUCCACUCCCAACAUAAUCUUACUCUAUUCUGCAAACCUUGGAUGAAUUACCUAUGUGCUAAAUGUUUCAAUCUUUCUACUGGCCAUGGAUAUAGUUGCGAAAAAGGUUGUGAUUUUAGGCUUGAGUGUCUAUGUGCUUUUUCAACCAAUGAUGAGACAAAUAGACCCUCAAUUAAUGGCCACAGAUCCAAAAAAAUUCAGCAUUUCAGCUUUAACGAACCGUUGACCCUUUUUAACUACAGGAAAGUGAGAAAGUAUGAUUUUUUCUGUAAUUGGUGUGAGAAACAUAUAUUUGGAAUGUGCUAUGGUUUUCGAGAUGAAAUCUUUUUCCACUAUUCUUGCUUAAACAACAUGCCUAACGUCUUGAAACACCCUUUUCAUCCAUCACACCAUCUUCACUUACGCAGCUCCUACUUGGGUAUUCGACUUUGCAAAGCUUGUAACAAAUUAAUGAAGGAGUGGGAAAAAUCCUAUUUUUGUCCAAAAUGCACAUUCCACCUUCAUGUUCUUUGUGCUAGACUCCAACCCAGUCUCAAGGUUGAGUUAGAUGAGCAUGAUCUUACUUAUUUUCAAAUAAAAUCUUAUGACACUACCUUUUUGUGCAAGAUAUGUAAUUCCAAUUGUGGUGCCGGAUAUAAGGAAAGUGUUUUUUAUCGUUGUGUUCAGUGUGAUUUCAGUUACCAUUUCAGUUGUCUUGGAAUACUAGCUUCUACUACACAUAAGUAUCAUAGGCAUGAUCUCAUGCUUAUUGAUUCAUUUAUAGAAGAUGAUUCGAAGGAAUAUUAUUGCGAUAUUUGUGAAGAAGAACGAAAGCCCAAGUGUUAUGUUUAUUGUUGCAAGGAGUGCGAAUUUGUUGCUCACAUCGAAUGUGCACUCAAUAAGGUAAGGAAAUAUUUACACUCACUCACUAAAUAAAUUUAUUAAAUUGUUUUUUUAUUAAAAAAGUAGCAUAGGUCGCAUAAAUGUUUCCCCUAGAAAAAUUUUGGUGCUAAUAUUUUCACUUUCCCAGGUUGUAGAUAUAAAACUUGACCAUGGCUUGUUGGACAACAAAGAGGAAACAGAGCAGAGAAAUGCAAAAGUUCCUACUCAUCUUAGCGUAAGUGUACAAUUAAUGGAGCGAUAGUUUAUUUUGGCUUUAUUAUUCAUUUCCAUCAAGCAAGAACAAUUAUGUUUUUGGUUUAUAUAAGCAAUAUGUUAGAGAAAUAGAAACUCAAGUAGUUGAGAAACACCAAUACUAAGAAGAACACUAGGAUUUUUUUUGGAAGUUUACAUCACUUCAGGUCUUCUAAAAUGACUUGGAUUUUUAUAUUAUAAUGAAUUUUUAGUAAUAAACACCAUUUAUGUUUUUGAAUAAAAUUCAAUAAAAAAAACUAAAAAACGUCAAUAAUAAAUGUACCAAACCCCUAUUAAUAUAGCAAGUUUCAAAAUUAAUUUGGAGACUGCUUUAGUAAGAAUAUUGAAUUUUUAAAUAAAAUAAAAACCACAUACAUGCAUCAUGUUAAUUUAUAAAUAUAUAUAAUAAUUAUUUAAUUAUUGCAUCCAUAUUCUACUUUUAUUUUAAAUUUUCAUUUCCUUCUUUUUUUUUUUGCAUUUUAAACAUGAACAAAGAAUAAAUUGUAUUAUCAAUCUUGAUCUAUUUAGAAUAUUUCAUUUUCAUUUGUGCAUUUUGAAUUUGUUCCAAAUGCAUCAAGUCUAUUAAUGUACCAAUAGAAUAUAGAUGAAAUUUUCCAUCAAGGUGCCACAUGUAUGUCCAAUUAUGUGAAUGCAGUCACAAGGACAUACAUGUAGCAAUUAGAUGGCAAAUCCCUUCCAUAUUUUAACACUUUAUUGAUGAAUAGAUGAAUCUAGAAUAAAUUCAAAAAGUCGUACAUGAAAAAAUCAAAUUUGUUUAGUUACAAAUGAAAAUAAAAUAUUAUGACAAUGUUACAAAUUAACAAUGAACUUAAAAAAAUAGAGAAAUAUUAAUGAGUUGCCUCACUCGCUCUCAUUUUACAAAUGCAGAUUGAAAAUUUUGAUCAUCCACAUCCCUUGAGCUAUUAUGAGGCUAUUGAACGGAAUGAAAAUCCUAUUCCUCUUUGUGAUGCUUGCUAUCUAGAAAUUUCUGGUCAAGCCUAUGCUUGUAAAAAUUGCAAAUACUACUUGCAUGAAACAUGCGCCACAUUGCCGUAUGAAGUGUUACAUAUUCUUCACCCCCAGCAUCCUCUCCAGCUCCUCACCUUUGCUAACACCUUUACAUGUUAUGAAUGUAAGGGCCAUUCUUAUGGGUUUUCUUACAAGUGCUAUAAAUGUGAGUUCACACUUGACGUGAAAUGUGCUACCACUCCAAUUGCACCUAAAAAUGAGGGCCAAGGGCUAAUAGAAAUGGAGAGAUUCUCCAAGUUAUGCCUUUUCAAUCAAAAUCAUAAGCUAGAGUUCUUCAAUGUUAGAUCCAAGUCGCUAGAUUUGAAAUGCGAUGCUUGCCGCAAACAAAUCGUGGGUCCAGCUUAUAGAUGUGGUAGUUUGUUUUGCAACUACCAGCUUCAUGAAUCUUGUCUUGCACUUGUGCAGGAGAUGCAACACCCAUUUCAUCCAUUGCAUCCUCUUCAUCCGCAAGUCUUUCGGUCACAAUAUUGUUCUGCUUGUAAACAACAAAUGAAUGCCAUCAGCUAUAGUUGUCAGCAGUGUGAUCUUCACCUUCACUUUGAUUGUGCUAGCUCCUUGAAGCUAGCAUUAAAAUUGAAGUUUCACCAACAUAGUCUUUAUUAUUUUGGACCACAUACUGUGCAUUCCUUCGGUUUAUGUGACAGAUGCAAAAACCAUGUUAGUGGGGCACCUCUCUAUCACUGCAUGGAGUGUGGUAUUUCUUUGCAUUUUGGAUGUGUUCAAAUACCACAUUCAAUUAAAUCCAAAUGUCACAUUCAUCCUUUGACUCUUAAAGAUAGUUUUGUGGAAGAUGAUUCAGGAGAAUACUAUUGCAACAUUUGCGAAGAAGAAAGGAACUCAGAAAAUCAUGUCUAUUGUUGUGAAGAAUGUGAUGGACAAUUUGUUGCUCACAUUGAGUGCAUGCUUCCUACAGUAAGUUUAUUAUCAUCGUUAUCUUUGUAGAAGUUUUCCAUACCACAUAUUAUUUAAUUUUUUUUGAAGGAAAAUAAGAAUCUAAAUCACACAUACACAUCACAAGAUCAUAUCCACCACCUUUAUUAAUGUUCAAAGUACAUCAUAAGUCCCAGACUAUAGAUUUUUCCUUAAUUUAGUUCCUCUACUCAAAAUUGAUUAAUUUAGUCCUAUAAUAUGAGAUUUUAUGCAAUUGAGUCCUUUUGGCUUACUCUGUCCAAAUUAACCGUUAGUGUUGCUGACAUGGCAUUGACAUGUCAGAAGAUGUUGAUGUGGCAUUAACGUAUCAGUUUAAAAAAAAAAUUUGGCCACAUGAUUUUUUUUCUUUCAUUUUUCCAAAACUAUAUUGUUUCAAGCCUACUAUUUAAAGCACAUUUUGUUGUAUUUCAUUUUUCUUUCUUUCCUUUUCUCCUUAGCUCUCUUUUUUCUCUCACCACCUUGCCUUUUUGAUCUCCCCCAAAUUCCAACCCCUAAAUGUACCAAUCACUAAUGGUCAAAAAAUUUAAUAAAAAUAGAAAAAAAAUCAUUUUUUUGGCCCCCUUUCCCUUAGUCAGGAUAGUUUUUUUCUAAAUCUAUCCUAAUUUUUCUAGAUCUAAAAUCAUAAAAUCAUAAAAUCAUAAACUUGAAAAAAAAAAAAACCUUGCUUCUUUCCAUCGUUGGGUCCUCAACUUCGUGUUGAUGGUCACGGGGUUGUGUUUUUCAUGUUGUAGGAUUUUGAAUUUGUAGAUGGAAAUUUUCAUGAAUUUGCUGACUCACCUACUAAGAGGUCCUCUAUGGAUAAGUUGCUUUCUCAACCCCAUGAAGAGGUUUACUUAAACCAAAAUAGAAUGGUAGUUAUCUCUUAUAUAUGUUCAUUUUAAAGAUCUUAUCUUUUAUGCAAAAAUGAAUUUUAUAUUACGAAUAGUUGAAUGGAAGGAAAGUUUCAUGAUUUUGUGGGUGCCAUUGUUGUUGCAGAAGUAUUGGGUGGAUAAAAAGUCAAACAAAUAUUGCUUCAUGUUGUUUGCAAGAGAUCUCUUAAUCAGUUGGGUGGAAGACCAACGUUACUGGCACUGGUCAUACCAAAAAGAAACAAACAGGUUAGUGUAGAUUUAUUAUCCAUUCAGAAUCCUUACUUCAAGUUCCAGCUCAACAAGUUUUCUAAUCUGUAAACUUUUUAUUCUAUAGUGAUGUGUUAAUUGAUGUUGCCGAACUUCUAGCUGUGUGUUGGCUAGAAAUGCGUGUGAAAUUUAAUGUAAAAAAGCUUUCACCAAAAACUUUGUAUGGAGUUGUGUUCGUGUUUAAGUUGACAAAUGAAGCAUAUGGAUGGGAUAUUCCAGUGAACUUUGGAUUCACUCUUCCAAAUGGGUACAAGGAUGAACUCAAGGAAACUUUGAUGACCAAGCCGAAAGGAGUAUGGAUAGAAAUCCCUGUCGGAGAAUUUACAACUUCAUCCGAAAUUGUUGGAGAAUUAGAUAUUUACUGUCACCAAUAUGAUGUAUUGACAUGGAAGGGAGGACUUAUUAUUAAAGGAGUUUCUAUUCUACCAAAGAACUAAGUUAUAAAUUUGUAUUUUCUCACAAUAAAUCUCAAAGUACUAUGGUUUUUUUAUUUGUUCUUAUUCUUGCAAAUUCCAAAAUGAAAUGAACUUAAAAGGAACCAACUCAUCUAAUUAUCAACUCUACACUUGAACCAAUUUUGUAGUCCUCAUUAUACAAUAUAGGUUCCAUGGUAAAUGCUGCAAACAAGCCAAAUGAUUUUUUGGUAUUUUUUAUUAGAUUUUUUGGGAUUAAAAUCUGGGAUAGAAGGAUUUAAUAAGGAGGGAGAGAGAAGAAAGGUAGAAAGAGAAGGAAGAAAAGGGAAAAUGAGAAAAAAAUACUAAAUGUGAUUUAAAUAAUAGGCUUAAAAUGAAAUAAUUUUGGACAAAUGAGAGAAAAAAGAAAAAGAAAAAGAAAAGGCACAUGACCGAUUUUUUCUUUUAAUUUGACACGUUAGGGUCAAGUCAAUGUUUUCUGACAUGUUAACACGAUGUUAGCACCAUUAAUAGUUAAUUUGGAUGGAGUUAAGUAGAGGGAUUUAAUGGUAUAAUAUCAUAAAGUACAUGACUAAAUUAAUCAGUUUGAAUAGUUGGACUAAAUUGAUAAAAAAAAUCUUUAAUAUGAUGACUUAUGAGGCACCCUUUUUUUAUAUAUAGUGAAAAAAGAAUAACCUAUUACAUCAUUCUAAGCCAAGCAACUCCUAAAACAUCAGCUAGUAAAAGAGAAAUAAUGCUAGAAGGAGGAGACUCAAAAACACUAAGUACCAAAGGUAAAUUAUCAUGAUGAGUGGCCAUCCAGUCGGCACAUUGGUUCGCUUCACAAGGUAUGUGAGAUAUUUUACAAUCCCAAUCUCGUAGGAGUAGUUCUUUUAUAUUCCUCAGCAACUUGACAUUAGGAUCUAAAAUAUUACUUUCCAUCGACAACUUCUGUAUAGCAAAGAGGGAGUCAGACUCCACUUGAACCUUCCUAAAUCCCCUUCUCCAACACAAAUUUAAACCUUGAAAUAAUGCCCAUAGCUCAGCAUUUAUCGAAAAAAUUAUACCAAUUUUAUGAAUGAAACCUAGCAUCCAUUCUCCCUUGUCAUCACGAAUAAUUCCACCUGCCGCUGCUUCACCAGGUUGGCCUCUGGCACUCCAUCAACAUUUAGUUUAACAAAUGUCUUGCUCGGUUUUUUCCAAGAAAUCAAUACUUCAUGUUUCACCUUUUGUUGAGUUUUACUUAAGAUAUCAAAAGCCUCUUUGGUUUUCGUCCAGAUUUGCUGCUACGGAUUAUGAGGCCAUGUAAAAGAGCUAUCAAAGAUGAGAAGAUUUCUCCAAUACCAAAAUAGCCAUAUGGUGUACACAAAGAUAGAACUCCACGGCAACCCAUCAAAAACAGUAUUAUCUUGAAUAUUCUUCAGUAUCCAUUGCUGUAAGUUGAGACUGAAAAAAUCAGAACAGAAUAAAUUUCCUCUCAACUACAACCAGACAUUUUUGGAAAUAUUGCAAUCCCUUAAAUCAUGCAGUAUAUCUUCAUUAGAGCUGCCACAACGGAUGUAACCAGGAGAUGAACUCAAGUUCCUUUUAGCUAACCAAAAGGAAGUUGGUAAAGAAUCAUGAAGUACUCUCCAUAGAAAAACACGAACCUUACUAGAGCUUUUGAUUUGCCAUACCUGUUUCCAAAAAUUCAUGCUAGAUUUAUUUUUCUCCAUUUGAAGAACAUAGGCUGACUUAACUGAGAAAACUCCAUUGCUUGUUUCCAACCAAAAGCCAACGUCUUCUUCCUCACUAGUUGGAUCUAUAAGAACAGCAACUAUCAUGGAGACAAUUUCUGGAGGAAGCAAAUGUGUAAGCAUAUCAAAAUCCCAAUUACCAGCCUCAUUGCAAAAACUUGCAACAGAUAAUUCUGCUUCAAGAGCUGAGAUCUCAGCACUAACAUAUUUUAUUAAAGGUCCACAGCUCAACCAAUUGUCAGUCCAGAAUUUUGUUGAGUGCCCAUUACAUACAUUUUUCCCCAAACCUCUCACCAAUACAUCACGUCCUUUUAGAAUGCUUCUCCAAACAUAGGAGUUUGAUGCCUUAGCCUUCACAUUCAAAAGAUCCUGACUUCUCAAAUAUUUCUUUUUAAGAAUAUCUAUCCACAAGCUUUUCUUAUCAGUCCAUAAACUCCAACCAAGUUUGGCUAGAAGAGCAAGAUUAAAUUUUCUAGAGUCCCUUAUUUGCAAACCACCUUCAGCUUUAUUUAAGCAAACUUUCUCCCAACUAACACUAUGAAUUUUUCUGGUUUCUCCAAUGUGCCCCCAAAUAAAGUUUCGAUUCAAUCUAUCUAUUUCUUGAAUAACAUUUUCAGGAAUGAAUAUUGUUUGCAUUAGAUGAGCCGUCAUAGAGCUUGUCAUGGAUUGCACUAAGGCAAUUCUCCCAGCCAUAGACAGAUUUCUAUUAUUCCAUCCUUCCAACUUUUGCUUCACCUUAUUAAGCAGCUCAGAAAAAAUUCCUUUAGAGAGACGACCAUGGAUUACUGGUGUUCCAAGAUAUUUUCCAAAACUUUUAAUUAAUGGAAUCUUGGCAAUUCUACUGAGGGCUCUUGCUUUUAUAUCACAUAAAUUUGAAGAAACCAACAUGCGAGAUUUUACGAGACUCACCUUUUGUCCUAAAGCUUCACAGAAAUUAUCUAAGAUUCUCAUCAUAGUUUUCACUUGAUUCGUUGUAGCAGCUCCAAAUAACAUCAAGUCAUCUGCAAAGCAAAUAUGAGACAAAUUCGGUCCCUUUCUCGUUAGUUGGAAAGGCUUCCAUUUACUAAUCUUGAUUGCAUCAUCUAGCAGGUGAGAUAAUUUUUCUAGACACAAUACAAACAAAUAGGGUGAUAGACUUAUGAGGCACUUUGACCAUUAAUAAAUUCCAAUCAACCAAAAAGAUGGUCGAUAUGAUCAUGUGAUAUGUGUAUGUGUAAUUUAAAUUCUUAUUUUUCUUCAAAAAAAUUCAACAAUGCGGUAUAAAAAAUUCUAUAUACAGAGAGAGAAAAUAAUUGUUGGCACCUUAGCAUUUUGUGAAACCUUUUCUGAAACCUUUUCAGCACUUUGAAGCUUUGUCCAUUAAUUAAUGAGCUUGUCUUGACGCUAUACAGAACCUUUUGUUUCUUUUUGACCUUCUGCAAUCUUGAGUAGGGCUAGUUGUGUAUAUAGUAAAGCCCAGUCGUGCAUACGCCACACAAAAGGCUCUAAUCGUAUAGGUAUUUCGAGGAUAAAUUCUGGGGUGAGUCAUGCUGAAUGUAAGACUCAUAAAAGCAUUCUUCCCUUCCAUAGCUUAUUGAAAGAAAUUUAUUUUUCAAAAAAAAAAAAGAGAUUAGGAGCACUUCAUAAAUGAAGGGGUUUAGUUUGAGUUAAUAGCUUCAAGUAUGGAAGAUGAAAAAGAAGAUUCCGUUGCUUAUUUUUUUCCUUUGUUUUUGUUUUCUUGUGUCAGCAUUAUUUUAUGUCGACAUCCUUAUCAAUUCAUCAUGGUUAGUCAUCAGUAGCUUCAAUAAUUAUGCUUCCCAACAAAAAGUUUAUAAGGAAAAAUAAGAGAUUCCAAAAUUAAAACUUUUAUAUCCUUUGAAAAACCAAUGUAAAUAGACAAGGUUGAUUUUUUUUUUAUUUCAAAAAAGUGAUUUGAUUCCGAAAUGCAUGAAGUGCCUGAUGCUUUUCUUGUUUUCUCUCCUUUUCUGUUUUCUUUUUGAGAUACAAAAUUGUGGUACUAGCAUCUUGAUAGCCACAUUUGAAAUAAAAGGGUAGUAAUUAAAAUAAGUAUUUUAUCUUUAAUGAUGAGUAAGUUUUCUUUGGCCUUUUCUUUUUCAUAUUCUCUCAAUAAUUUCCUUCUUUAAAUAUAUAGAGAAAAAAAACAAUGUUGAUAGGACAUAAAGCACAUGCCAUUUUCUUGUUUUUGGUACAAAGGGUUGAGGAAAUCUUUGUUUAGGUUUUAUAUUUAAACACUCUUUCUCAUCAAGAGGCUAGCAAUUGAUCAUCUCUCUCUUUUCAUCUACCCAAAUUUCUUUCUUUGUUUAUAUGAGAAAACAAGGCAGAGACUUUUCUGCCAUGGGGAUAUCCUGUACUUGCUUUUGACAGAAGUUUAGUACCUCUUCAAGUCCUCAAUCGUCUUGGCACUGCAAAGAGGGGGGUGUAGCUAGAAAUUAACAACAUAAAAAUGCAAGCAAGACUGCUGAUGCGAAUGAUUUAACAACAUAAACAAUUCUUUGAAUGCCAAAUACACUUUCAUAUAUUUAAGCUUAUUCUUCAUAAUGUGUAGGAGUACAGGGCAUUUUAUUCAAUUAUAUUUUCAUUAGAUUGUAGGGAAAAGAAAGCUAGAGAAUCUUUUCAUGACAAUGGCAAAGAGACAAAGGAGAGAAAACAUUUUUAGACAAUGAUUCAAAAUUUUUAUUAAUAAGUUAAAAAAUUACAGCAAACUAGCAUAAAGUCAAAAAACCAUUUUCUGCUCCUUUUAUUCUCUCUUGGCCAGAAGCGAUGUCCAUUCUCAAACUAGUGAAUUGGCAAAUAAGUGGCUGCCUUUCUUGUAUACUUUUGCGUUGAAUGACCAAAUACUUGUCCACUCUGUAUGAAUUUAUGUUAAUAUUGAAGUUUUUUAUAUUUAAAUGGAUUUGUAUUUGAUGUAUUGAUAAUGUAUAAAAAAUACAUUGUUAGUGCAUUAAAUAUAAAUCUUAUUUAAAUAGAUUAGGAGUACUUAAGAAUUGUAGGGGGUUUAAUUUGAGUUAGUAACUUUUUGCAUGAAAGAAGAAAAAGGAGAUUUUGCUGCUAUUUUUUUUUUGUAUUUGUAUUUGUUUUAUUGUCUCGGCUUGAUUUUAUGUCAAGAGCCUUAUCAAUUCAGCAUGGUUUUUUUUUUUUUUUUUUUUAUAAUUGGAGGAAGAAGAUUCGAACCCUACUCUUUAGGCAGGAGGAUAAUGCACUAACCAAUGAGUCAAAUGCUCAAGUGUUAUCAAUUCAUCAUGGUUAGUCAUCAAUAGCUUCAAUAACGAUGCUUCCCAAAAAAGUUUAGAAGGGAAAAUAGGGGAUUCCAAACUUAAAACCUUGAUGUCCUUGAUGCUUUUCUUGUUUUUCUGUCCUUUUCUAUUUAUUGUUUUAGUUACAAAAUUGUGGAAGUAGCAUCUUCAUAGCUACAUUUUCAAUAAAAAAAAUACCAAUUUAAAGAAGCAUUUUAUCUUAUGAGUAAGUUUUCUUUGAUCCUUUUCUUUCUCUUGAAAGACAAAGAGAAUAGUACUCCAUAAAAAAAGGUGUGUCUUAAUUAAAUUAUUUGAAGGCAAGAAAUUAAGAUUAGCAUCAGUAUUCACUUUCAAAUUCUCAUAAUUAUUUCCUUCUUUAAAUAAAGAAAAAGUUAAUGUUAUUUUUAUCACUCACUCGAUCAAUUAAUUUACAAUUAUUGUUGUAUUAUCAAAAUGAAUCGUAAUCAUAACAUACGCACGAUGUGUUUUCAUCGUGCAAGUAAUUGUUGCAUAACUAAAGCAAAAGAAAAGUAAUUGCUAUAUAACAUUGUUUACUUAGAAAGCAAUAUUUAACUAAAGAAAAAAAUGGUAAUUCCAAAGUUAAAAUCUUUAUUCUCUUAAAAACCAGUAAAUAGAGCAAAGUUGAUUCUCUAUAAAGUGAUUUGACUCCAAAAUGCUUUCCUUGAUGCUUUUCUUCUUUUGUAAACAAAACACUUCUGCUUGCUAAAGUAAAGUGGGAAUCAAUUAAGUAUGGUACAAAUUAUAGAUAUGCAUACAUUUAUGCUACCUGUGAUACUUUGCUUUAGAGUUAUUUUUUUCAUGUCUUCUUUUUGUCUUUCUUAAUACCAAUCACUUUUACAUAGAAUUUAAUUUGAAAAAUGUGAUGGACAAUUUGUUGCUCACAUUGAGUGUUUGCUUCCUAUAGUAAGUUCAUCACCAUGAUCUUUUAUGUAGAACUUUUUGACGGAAAAUAAAAAUCUAAAUUACACAUACCACAUGAUUCGUUAAUUGGAAUUUAUUAAUCUAAGCUCCUUCGAUAAAUUUUAAUAUAAUAGGCUUUAUAUUUUACAUAAAGAGCUCUCCUUUUAUCUUAUUUUCUAGUAGAAGCCAAAUUGAAUUUUUGCAUGUGCUUGGUAAAACUUAUUAUUUAAAGUUUUUUUUGUAUAAUUUGUGGACAAAUUAUACAUAGACUAUAUAUGCUAAACAUUGCAAUUUAUUUUCUUGGAAUAGUAUAAUAAUUUUGAGGUUACAUUUUUAGAACCUAACGAAAUCUAUGCUUUCAAGAGGAAGAAGUUGAACCAGCACCAGAGGCUUCUUGCAUUUUGAAUUAAUCUAUGUACUAUACAGGCUGAGAGCUAAAGGAAUCAAACAAGAGCAAAGAAAAUCCAGCCUUCGAGGAAUCAAUAGAGGAGCAGCAGAGUGAUGAAGAAAACUCUUCCUUUAUUCAUUUUCUAAAUAAGAGCUAUUGAUGCCUUUGUUUGGCAUCAGAAGAGUAAUUUAGUUAAUUACUGUUUCUACAUUGAAAAAGGUCAUGCAAGAAGUCUCUUUCUUUCUUUCAUUCUUGACUUUGUUUGCUUGCUUGUGGUGGUUAUUCUGAUGCAUAGAUUGCUACAAGGGAUACUUCGUGACCCUAAAGCUCUUAUUUGGGUUUCUUAUUUGUACUUUUAAAAAAAAAAAAUUGAGAAAAGGGAGAUUCGAACCGUGCUUAAUCAUGCACCAACUAAUAGUAUGAUUUCUUCAUAAAUUUAAAGUAAUCUAAAAUUUAAAUUAAUUACAAUUCAAUUCAAUGAUCAUCCAAACAGAUAAUGUCAUUAGUAUCAUCAAGCAACCAUAAAAACUAAAAAUUUUGUAAUUCAAAUGUACCACGAAAUAAUAGAAUAUGGAUUGAAUCGUGGAUACCGAAUGAUAGAAAGGUGAUGUAGUAUUGGUGAAGCUAUAACAUUUGGUUUUAUCCCACGUCUCAACUCAUAAUUUUCAUAUUUUCUAUGACUUACUCUUUUAUUACCUUAUUUGUUAAUUAUUUUUUUAUUAUUUUAAAUACGAGGAUCAACAUUUUCCAUAUAUUGUUUCAAAGAGCUGACAACUAACUAAAUUGUUGGUUGAUUGUGGGAAUGAGAGAUAAAUUCCACACUACUUAGUUGGAUAGAACAGCAAUGGAGAAAAUAUUGAAAAUUAAUGUUGCCCUUGCUUGGCUUAGAUGAAGCAUUAUUUUUUUUUUUUGCCUCGAACAUAUACUUUUUCAAUUAAUUGAAACUUCUAUUUAAAAGGAAAUGAAAAAAGGGAUUCCAAAUUUAAAACCAACAAGUAGAGUGAGGUUGAUUCUCUAUAAUGUGAUUUGAUUCUAAAAUGCUUGAGGCCCUUGAUGUUUUUAUUCUUUUGUAAACAAAACACCCUCACUGGCUAAACUAAAUUGGGAAUCAAUUUAGUAUGACACAAUUUAUAAAAAUGAAUACAUUUAUGCCACCAAUGAUACUUUGCUUCAGAGUUACCUCUAUACUGUCUUCUUUUUGACUUUCCUAAUAUAGAUCACUUUUACAUAGAAUUUAAUUUUAUUUGUACAGUUCGAUUGUUGUGCUGCUGGGGUACAGUGAUAGAGGGGUCAAUUUGAUGUAAGUUAAUCAACUUGGAUUUACAGCAUAAAACUCAACCAAAUUCCGACAAAGAUUUGUUCCCAAUCCAUACACAUAUGACGAAAUUGAAGCAAUUUUAUCUAAAGGAGAUGAGCUUAAUUUCAUUCCAAUAAGUUACUUGAGUGAUUUACUUUGAAGAAGUAAAUUUGCAUGUCAAUAGUGAAAAUAUUGAUCAAUAUAAUUACUUUUGGCUGAAAAAAAAAGAAAAUAUAGAAUUACCACUAGGGCUUACUAAAUUUGAUAAAUAAAUCAUCUUAAUAAGCAAUAAAUAUGUAUGCGAGGGCUAAUUAUCUGAGUUAACAUUCCGUGAAAUAUACAUCAAAAUUGAUGUUAAUAUUCUAGGUUGUGAUUAAGUCAAAUAUUCAAGUUUUUAACAUUUGAAUAGAUUAGGAGUAUUUCAUAAACGAGGGGGUUUAGUUUGAGGUAAUAGCUUCAAGUAUGGAAGAAGAAAAACAAGAUUAUGCUGCUUAUAUUUUUCGUUAUUUUAAUAUUUUCUUGUCUCAAGUUGAUUUUAUGUCAACACUUAUCAAUUCAUCAAGGUUAGUCAUCAAUAGCUUCAAUAAUUAUGAUUCCCAACAAAAAGUUUAAAAGGGAAAAUAAGGAUUCGAAACUUAAAACCUUUAUCCUCUUAAAACCAAUAAAUAGAGUGAUUUGAUAAUGUGAUUUGAUUCGGAAAUGCAUAAGGAGAUUAAUGCUUUUCUUAUUUUUUUUUCAUAUUUACUGUUUUAAAUACAAAAUUGUGGUAGUAGUCUUGAUAUCCACAUUUAGAAUAUCAAAGUAGCAAUUAAAAGAAGCAUUUUAUCUUUAAUGAUGAGUAAGCUUUCUUCGAUCCUUUUCUCUUUUUUGAAAGACAAAGCGAAUAAUAUUCUUUCCUUGCUUAAAUAGAGGCAAAAAAAAAAAAAACAAUGUUGACAGAGCAUGAAGCAUAUGCCAUAUUCUUCUAUUUGGUUCAAAGGCUUGAGGGAAUCUUUGUUUAGCUUUUAUAUUUAAACACUCUUUCACAUAAAGAGCCUAUUGGUCAUCUCUCUUUCUCGUCAUCUACCAAAAUUUCUUUCUUUGUUUAAGAUGGAUAUCAAACCCGUCCUUCUUCAUGAACAUCACUUGCUCUUUGAUGAAUACAAUGAAUCAAAGGCACUUUGUGAACUAUGCAAUAAGAAAAUUUCUGAUUUAUCCUAUUCUUGUGAAAGAUGUAACUUUUCGUUACAUAAUUCCUGCGUUCAACGACAACUACCUCCUCAGAUAAGUGCACAUCCUUUCCAUUCCCAACACAAUCUUACUCUCUCAUGCUCAAAACACAUAGAUUACAUAUGUGCUAAAUGUUUCAAUCUUUCUCGAGGCCAUAGAUACUAUUGCAAAGAUUGUGAUUUUAGCCUUGAGUAUUCAUGUGCUUUUCCAAUCAAUGAUGAGAAAAAUAGACUCAAUGAUGAGACAUCCAAAAAAAUUGGUCUUCUCAGCAAUUCGUUGACCUUAUUUAACUAUAGGAGAGUGAAAAAGUACGAGUAUAUAUGUAGUUGGUGUGAGAUGCAUCUGUCUGGAAUGUCUUAUGGUUGUCUUGAAAAUGGUGUUUAUAUCUGGUUCCACGAGUCUUGCCUAAUCAACAUCCCUAGCAUAAACCCAUUUCAUCCAUCACACCCUCUUUCAUUACUCAACAUUCGCUUUGAUAAUGGGCUUUGCAAUGCUUGCAACCUACCAAUAUGGGAGUUCGGAAAAGCCUAUUGUUGUAGAAAAUGCGAAUUCCACCUUCAUGUUCACUGUGCUAAACUACAACCCAGUCUCAAGGUUGAGUUACAUGAGCAUGAUCUUACUUUUUUUCGAAUAAAAGCUACGGCUACCCACCUGUGCAAGAUAUGUGGUUUUAAUUUUGAUUCUAUAGGGAAGGAAAGUCCUUUUUAUCGUUGUGUUCAGUGUAAUUUCAAUUACCAUUUCUAUUGUCUUAAAAUACCGUAUUCUACUUCACAUAAGUAUCAUAGGCAUGAUCUCAAGCUUAUGGAUUCAUUUGUAGAAGAUGAUUUUAAGGAAUAUUAUUGUGAUAUAUGUGAAGAAGAAAGAAAACCAAAGCAUUGUGGUUACUGUUGCAGGAAAUGCAAAUUUGUUGCUCAUAUUGAAUGUGCACUCAAUAAGGUAAGGAGACAUUUACUCUCUUUGUAAAGAAAUUUAUUAAAUGUUUUUUUCAUUUGAUAAACUAUUAAUUAUUUGAUCAUAGGUGACAUAUAAUAUGCCCCUUAGAAAAAUUUUGAUGCUAAUAUUUUCACUUCCCCAGGUUGUAGAUAUGAAACUUGACCAAAGUUCGACCUCUAAUUUGUUGGAUAGCGAAGCUUCAACAUCAAAGGUGAUGGAAUUGGGUCUUCUAUAUAAAUAUUAUUGUGAUAUUUUCAUUGUUAAUAAUUUUUUUUUGAGGUUUACAUCCCUUUUAGGUCUUCUAUAAUUCCUUGGAUAUAUAUAUAUAUAUAUAUAUAUAUAUAUAUAUAUAUAUAUAUAUAUAUUAUAUANAUAUAUAUAUAUAUAUAUAUAUAUAUAUAUAUAUAUUAUAAAGAUUUUUUUAUUAAUAAACACCAUUUAUGUUUUGAAUAAAAUUCAAUAAAAAAAUAAAAUCUGUAAAUAAUAUACGUAAGAAACCUUUACUUAUAUAGUAGUAUUAAUUCAAAAUUAAUUUGGAGGCAGCUUUAGUAAAAAUAUUGAAUGUUGAGUAAAAUAAAACCACAUACGUGCAUCAUGUUCAUUUAUAAACAUAUAUAUUUGAUUACAUUUAAUUAUUGUUUCCAUAUUUUAGUUUUAUCUUAAAUUUUCAUUUUUUUUACUUGUUAAACAAAAAUAAAGAGUAAAUUUUACUAUUAAUCUUGACUUAUUUUGUAACGUUUCGUUUUCAUUCACCCAUAUUGAAUUUGUUCCAAAUCCAUAUGUCUAUUAACAUGCCAAUAAAAUAUAGAUGGAAUUUGUCAUGUACGUGUCACAUAUAAGUCCAAUUAUGUGAAUGUAGUCAUAUGAACAUACUUAGAUGGCAAAUCUCUUCCAUAUUUUAAUAAUGUAUUAAUAGAUAGAUGAAUUUAAAAUAAAUUUAAAAAGGCGAAAAUGAAAAAAAUCAAGUUUGUUUAGUAACAAAUGAAAAUAAAAUAUUAUGACAAUGUUACAAACUAAGGAUGCACUUUACAUAAAAAAUAGAGAAAGAUUAAUAACUUUCUUCACUUGCUCUGGUUGUGCAGGUGCAAAUUGGACGUUUUGAUCACCCACAUGCCCUGAGCUAUAAUAACGCUAUUGAACAGAAUGAAAAUCUUCUUUGCAAUGCUUGUCGUCAGGGAAUUUUUUAUCAACACUAUGCUUGCAAAGAUUGUAAAUACUACUUACAUGACAUGUGCACUACAUUGUCAUAUGAGGUGUCACACCCUCUUCAUCGCCAGCAUCCUCUCAAACUCUUCACGGAUAUAGUUGAAUUUACAUGUCAUGGAUGUAGGGACCAUUCUGGUGGGUUUGCUUACAUGUGCCUUCCAUGUGAUUUCCAACUUGACGUGAAAUGUGCUACCACUCCAAUUGCACCUAAAAAUGAGGGCCAAAGGCUGAAAGAGAUGGAGAAAGUUUCUCAGUUGUGCCCUUUCAAUCAAAAUCAUAAGCUAGACUUCUUCAACCAUAAACCCAAUCUCAAAGAUUUGGCUUUGGAAUGCAAUGCUUGCAAGCUACCAAUCUUGGGUCUAGGUUAUGCAUGUCGUUAUUGUUUCAAUAUCAAAAUUCAUGAAUCUUGUCUUGCAUUUAUGCGGGAGAUGGAACACGCCUUUCAUCCAUUACACCUGCUUCAUCCACAAAUCGGGGAUUGGGAAAAUUGUUCUGCCUGUAGAUUUAAAAUCAUUGAAAGUAUCGGUUAUAGUUGUCGGCAGUGUGAUUUCCACCUUCAUUUUCAUUGUGCUAAUUCCCUGAAGCUAG